rnacentral:lncRNA from 1 species
GGUAACAAACAAAGCAACCUUUCAUGGAGAGAAACUUUAGUCUCAGUAUGAUCACUGUGUCAUUAACCCACUUCCUGCUUCUUUGCUUGGUUGUUGCAGCAGCAGCAGCAGCAGCAAGCAACAAUAUUACCACAGACCAACAAGCUCUUCUUGCCCUGAAAGAUCAUAUAACUUAUGAUCCAACCAAACUUUUUGCCCAUAAUUGGACCUCGAAUACCUCUGUUUGCACCUGGAUUGGCCUCAGUUGUGAUGUCAAUAGCCAUAGAGUCACAGCCUUAGAUAUUUCUCAAUUCAAUAUACAAGGCACCAUCCCUCCUCAACUUGGAAACCUCUCUUCACUCACAACACUUAAUCUUAGUCGUAAUAAGCUUUCUGGAAGCAUUCCCCCCUCCAUCUACACCAUGCAUACGCUAAAAUUUCUAGACUUCACUGAUAACCUGCUCUCUGGUUCAGUGUCUUCCUCCGUCUUCAACAUGUCUUCAAUAUUAGACAUUCGUUUGACCAAUAACAGACUUUCUGGUGAGCUUCCGAAAAAUAUUUGCAACUAUCUUCCUUACUUGAAAGCCCUUUUUCUGGACAAAAACAAGUUGCAUGGCAAAAUUCCUUCAGCUUUAUCAAAUUGCAAACAACUGCAACAAUUGCAUUUGCAGUUCAAUAAUUUAUCCGGUGCAAUACCGAAAGAAAUCGGCAACUUGACUAUGCUCAAAUGGAUAGAUCUCGGCUACAACAAACUCCACGGUAUGUUUCAUAAUGCUAUCUAAAUAUUUUAAUUUAUCACUUGUUUAUUUUAAUUUCUCACUUGUUAUUUUUCUUGAAUACUUUAGAUAAGAUCUAGUAAGUGAGAUUUUUUGCAUCUAUGUUAAUUUACCAGGUGAGAUACCCCCCGAAAUCGCUAAUCUUCGAAAUCUAGAGGCUUUGGUGCUUGGAAUGAACAACCUAGUGGGUGUGUUACCAGCUACAAUCUUCAACAUGUCAACACUGAAGGUAGUUAUCCUCAUUAAUAACUCUCUCUUCGGAAGUCUCCCAUCAAGAAUAGACCUUUCACUUCCAACUAUUGAGCACCUUAACUUGGCACUUAAUAGAUUUUCUGGAACCAUUCCUAGUUCCAUCACCAAUGCUUCUAAGCUCACCUUUCUAGAGUUGGGAGGAAACACAUUUUCGGGCUUUAUUCCGAACACAAUUGGUAAUUUAAGAAACCUUGAGUGGCUCAGCUUGGGUAAUAACUACUUGACAUCUUCAACCUCAAAAUUGAGCUUUCUUUCCUCUUUGGCAAAUUGCAAGAAAUUAAGAGACAUAGGCUUAACAGGCAAUCCACUCGACGGUAUCCUUCCAAGUUCAAUAGGUAAUCUUUCCAUGUCUUUGAAAACACUUUACAUCGGCAAUUGCAGUAUUAGUGGCAACAUUCCUCAAUCAAUUGGCAAUUUAAGCAACUUAUUGGCCUUAGUAUUAGAAGGCAAUAAAUUGACCGGACCAAUCCCAACUACAUUCGGCCAACUGCAGAAACUCCAAGGCUUAUUUCUUACAUUCAAUAAGUUGGUAGGUUCAUUCCCAGAUGAGCUUUUCCAUCUAGCUAGGCUGGAUAAAUUGGUAUUAUUGGGAAAUAAGCUUUCAGGAUCUAUGCCUUCAUGCUUAAGUAACCUCACUUCUCUGAGAUCUCUCUACUUAGGGUCCAAUAGGUUUACUUCUGUUAUUCCCUCAACUUUCUGGAGCCUAAAAGACAUCUUGUUCUUUGACUUUUCAUCAAAUUUCUUGGUUGGUACUCUUUCUUUCGACAUAGGUAAUUUGAAGGUGCUUCUAGGAAUAAGUUUAUCAGAAAAUAACUUAUCGGGUGAUAUGCCAGCCACAAUUGGAGGGAUAAAAAAACCUUCAAAUUAUGGACCUAGCAUAUAAUAGAUUGGAAGGGCAAAUUCCUGAAUCAUUUGGUGACUUGACAAGUUUGGAGGUUUUGAAUUUGUCAAAUAAUAAAAUCUCUGGGUCUAUUCCAAAAUCCAUGGAGAAACUCUUUUACCUCCGAGAGUUAAAUCUCUCUUUCAAUGAACUAGAAGGUGAGAUUCCUAGUGGAGGAAUUUUUGCCAACUUCACAGCUGAGUCAUUUAUGGGAAAUGAGUUAUUGUGUGGUUUACCAAAUCUUCAAGUCCAACCAUGCAAAGUUAGCAAGCCGAGGACAGAACAUAAAUCAAGGAAAAAGAUACUUCUCAUUGUGAUUGUUUUGCCAUUGAGUAUUGCUCUAACAAUAGCAAUCACUCUACCUCUCAAAUCUAAGCUGAUCGAAUGUGGAAAAAGAAGCACAGUGUUGUCAAAUGAUAGUGUCUUGUCAUCACAAGCAACACUAAGAAGAUUUUCAUACUUAGAACUUUUACAAGCAACAGAUAAUUUUGCUGAAAACAACGUAAUUGGCAUAGGAGGUUUUGGUUCUGUUUACGGUGGAAGACUUGAAGAUGGGAUGAAGAUUGCAAUAAAAGUGUUUCACCAGCAAUGUGCAAGCGCAUUGAAGAGUUUUGAGGCUGAAUGUGAAGUGUUAAAAAAUAUUCGCCAUCGAAACCUUAUUAAAGUUAUCAGCAGUUAUUCAAACAAUGACUUCAAAGCAUUAGUUCUAGAAUACAUGUCCAACGGGAGCUUAGGGGACUGGCUGCAUUCUAGCAAUUAUGUGCUGAAUAUAUUUCAGAGGUUGAACAUAAUGAUUGAUGUUGCAUCAGCUUUAGAACAUCUCCACUUCGAUCAUUCGACUCCUAUUAUUCAUUGUGACUUAAAGCCUAGUAAUGUAUUGUUGGACGGAAAUAUGGUUGCUCAUUUGAGUGAUUUUGGCAUAGCAAAGCUUUUAAGUGGAGAGGAUGAGUCUAUGAUGCGAACAAAAACCCUUGCCACUAUAGGUUAUAUGGCACCAGGUUUGCUUCAAACAACUUUUUUUUUUUAGUUCAUUUUAAAUUUUGCAACUUAUUGAUUUUUACGAUCCUCACAUCAAAAUGUUAUUGAUUAUUUAUCUAAUUUUGAAAUUAAUUUGAUUCAUAGAGUACGGCAUAGAAGGAGAAGUAUCUACAAAAAGUGAUGUUUACAGCUAUGGGAUUAUGUUGAUGGAAACUUUUACCAAGAAAAAACCCACAGAUGAAAUUUUUGUUGGAGAAUUGAGCUUGAAGCGUUGGGUUAAUGACUUGCUUCCUACUUCAUUAGUGGAAGUUGUGGACAAAACUCUGCUAAGUGGAGAGGAAAAACAUUCUGCAGCAAAGGAGCAAUGUCUGUUGUCUAUCUUUAGUUUGGCUCUGGAGUGUACAAUGGAAUCACCGGAAAAGAGGAUUAAUGCAAAAGAUAUUGUUACAAGAUUACUCAAGAUAAGAGACACAUUGAGUAAAAGGAUAGGAAAUUUAAGUUAAUUUCGUUUGCUUUCAUUGAUAGUUAAUUCGAAUUCAUGUAAUAAGUCUAAGAAUCUUAUAUCUUCAAAUUCGCAUUUUAAAAUGCACAAAUGUUUGUGUAUACAUAAUUAGUAAUCGAUUCUCAAGCUUUGGACAUUUAAAAGCACUGCUAAAAGACAAAAUUUUAAUUCACUAUUUUUUUGUCUUUUAAUUUUCUUUAAGUUUUAAUGAUUCCGCAUUUUAAAAUCCUGUGGAACGUGCAUGUAAAAUUCUUUUAUCUUUUAGAGGAAAAUGGGCAAGAGAAGAAGAUUUGGCAAAGGAAUUGCAACCGCAUUUGGAGCUAGUUUUAAUUUUGUCUUUUAAUUCUUUUACACUUGGCUUUUGUUAUUGAUGUUAACUUCGAUGUGUGUGCGUGUGCGACUGAAUUCAACUUACAUGCUAUUGAUGCAGCCACCAAAAAGGGGUGGUCCAUCAUCAAUCAACAAGGUUUAUUAUUAUUAAUUUCCAUAUUGAUUUUCUUAAUUAUAAAUAAUACUAAUGCUAUUUCAUAGUUAUAAAUAUAUUAGAAUUAAUCGAAAUCAUUUUUUAGUGUGGCAUGGCUAAAACUACCUUUUUUUUAUUAUAAGUAAUUACUACUUUCACAUUAAGAAAAAUACUCCUAUUUUUAAGGAAAAGUCAAGUACCUGUAGUUGUGAAGACUCGAGCUCACUCCCUUAUGAUAAAUCUUCAUAUUAAUUACGUAAAUAUCCUCUAAAAUUUUAAAUUAGCUAUUCAAAAUUUGAUGUUAUACGGGUAUUUCAUUUAUUUGAGUAGGGGUUAGGGGUCAAUUGGAUACAAAUUCAAAAUUAUCCUUACUUGAGAAGGUGAUAAAAAUUGGGGAUUUAGUUUGGAUGUCAUUAGCUACAAAUAUUAAACUCAUACAUUUAAUUCAAAAUUAGAGGGCUGAUAUAUGCGCAUCAUCGUCCACGUUAUAGUGACACUGCGUCACCAUUCCACAACCUCUCCAAUGAAAAAUUGACAUGCUUCUUGUGCGCAUCUAAUCAGAAUCUUGAAAAUUAAUCACAAAAUUGUACUUUUAUUAUAAAAAGAAUAAAGAAACUCCAAGAAAAAAAAAAGACUUACAUAAAUAGAUUGAAAAAUCUAGAUUUCAAGUUGUCUAUAUUAGCUUGAUAUUUUUAUUAAUAGUCAUCCUCCCAAAAAAAUUCCAUCAAAAUAUAUUUUAAUUUUAUGUUAAUUCAUAAACUUGAAAAAAUCAUUUUAGAAUUAAUUAAAACAUAAUUUAUUGUUGCUCAAAAAAGGUAGAACUUAGUUAUCAGAAAAAAGUGUCUAAAAUAUAUGUUAAAAAAAAAUCAUGGUUGGUUGGACUGAUUGAAUUUUUUUUUCUUUUUUAAGAAUUAAGACAAUUGGAUGGAUUGAGUAAUAAUAAUACAUAUUUAUUUGGCAAAUGGCAGGGAGGCUUUCGUCUGAUGCAGAUUGAUUAGAGAGAAAAUAUAACAAUUUUAAGCUCGUCAGAUUCGAAGCUGCUUACCUGUCGUGUGGGGAUCACUUCCGUGUCUUAUUUUUCUAGAAAAAUCUGGACCAUUGGAUUUACCAUUAGUCAAUAGAGAAAUGUUGAUCUUGAUUCUUGAUCAAGAUCGAAGUUUGAUUCUAACUAACACGAUAUCAGAUUGCGAAGCAAGCAAAUUGAAAGUCACUUGUUCUAUGGAAGAAACACAAGUUCUAAUAAAACAUUCUCAUAGUAAAGUGAAUUACCAUCCAACGAUCCAACUCAUGUUUUCAAAUUGUAAAUUGCAAAUCGUGUGUUUGCUCCAUUACAGAGUUUCUUCAAUCUGAAAUAGCGAAUCAUUUGUGUUCUAGAUUAAUCGUGGGUCUAUAUCCAAAUCUAAAAAUUGACUAACUUGAUUUCUAUUAAAUUCUUAAUCCUAACAAGAAAAAUUGAAGAUUAAAAACGACUAAUUUGGUACCAUACCACUAUUGUAACAUAGGUAGAUCCUCUAUUAAUUGGAGUAAAGAUUGAAUUAUCUCAUUUAUUAAGGUUUAUCAAAAUCUUGUGUCAAAAUCUAUUAAUGAUAUAGGUUCAAGGAUGAAAAAGUCACUGCAUUACUUUUGAGUUCCCAAAUAGAUGAAUGGAUGUUAUUUUUAGAUUCCGGAGAGUCGAAAAUAUUAAGAUAGGUGCUAAAUCGAAUUAAGUUGUAGAUACGAUAGAAAUGGAUUUGGAGAGAUUGGAAUCCUAGGUAAUCCGGUGCACGUUGUCGUGUUAAAUUCUCGUUGACUUCACGUUGACUGAAGCAUUAUUGGAAGAAACAAGUUUAUUGAUGUGAGGCCUUUGAGGUUGUAAGUGUUAAAUAUGAGAAGAAUACCCACACACCCAUUAUCCUAUUACUCUUAUAUCACAUGAAGAGAAUUCAACAUUUGAUUCACACGGAAAAAAUUUGUGAGGAUUGUGAGGGUUGAUGGAAUAUAAUUUAGAUACAAAGUGUUUUACCAGUGCGAUGCUUCGCAAGUGUUCUUGAAUCAAUAUAAACUCACGUUAUUUUCAUAGUGAUUGUUUCAUGUGCACGUGGAUAUAAUCACAUGUCGAGAUUUUUUUCCUUAAAUUAUGGUCUUAUUUAGUAUUAAGGUGUUAUAUCUUUUAAGGUACAAUUAUUGUUGGAAAAAAGUUGCAUCUAUCAAAUAAAAUUAGUACUAUGUGCUAAAUAUAAUUGUUAAAUAAUAAUUUUGACAAAAUUAGUGAAGUUAUAUAGAUUUUUUUUCAUCAUACAAGCAUAAAAUCAAAUCAACUUAACUUCUAAGUUAUAUAUCGGCUACUUAGGGAUGGCAAUGGAUUGGAUCUGACCCAAGAUCCACGUGAUCCAAAUCUAAUCGGAUCGGAUUUGGGUCAGUUUAAAAUGAAUUUGGAUCGGAUUUGGAUAUUGAUGUGCGGAUCUAAGACGGAUCUGGAGCAGGUCUGGAUCUAUCUUAGUAUCUAAAUCCAUAUCCAUAUCCACCCAUCUUUUAAUUUAAUUUUAUUUUAAAAGUUUCUUAACAAUUGUGGAAUUAUAAUGAUAAUGAAUUUUAUUCAUAGCAUAUUAGUGGUAUUUACCAUGCAUUUAAACUCUUUAAAAUUAAAGGUUAGUUUUGUAAAUUUAAAGACUAGCCAGGCCCAAAGCAUGUACAUGCAAUAUUCAAAUUGCAAGCCAAGUAAUACAACCUGGCAAUUUAUUUUAUUAUAUUGGCCAAAUAAUUUUUAAGGAAUAUAGGUAUUCAUAUAUUUUGUCAAAUAUGGUCAUAAUAAAAAUAAUAAAGGACUGAAUAUAAAUCAUAUUUUAUUUAUAUGUCAUUAUCUAAUAUUAUAAGAAUGAGGGUGGGUGUGUUGUAGAUAUUAGAAUGAUGAAUGAGACAAUAGAAUAUUAGAUUGAUCUUACUCCUGCAAUUACUUUUAAAGGAUAUUUUAUUAUCUUAUUUGUUGUUUUGGUGUAAAAGUAUAAGUUACAAUAUUUAUUAUAUUUUUGAGAAAAAUUAUAUAAUUUAUUUGUUAUCAAUACAUUUUAACCUUCAAUUUUCAUUCUAAAAAAUUAUUACUUUUUAAUUGAUGAGUUUUAGAAUUCAUGACAGAUCUAGAGCAGAUUUGGAUUUUAAUUUUUUUUUUCAGAUUUGGAGCAGAUAUAAAUAUUUAUUUCUUUUAUGGAUAUGGAUAUGGAGCGAAAAAUAUAGAUUCAUGAUGGAUCUGGAGCAGAUACGGAUCUUGAUUUUUAUUAUGGAUUUGGAUCUGGAGCAGAGUAGAUCCAACCCAUAUCUGCCCCAUUGCCAUCCCUACGGCUACUGUUAAUCAUAUGUUUUAGUUCUGUAACUUUUAAGUUAUAGUUACCCAAUCUCAAUUCUAAACCAGACCUAUAAAGAUCAAAGAUUUCCUCAUUAAAUUAUAUGUCUUGUGAUUGCUUAUUUAAUUUAUAUUUUUUUUUAUUUAUCUUUAUUAAUUAUAAUCAUCUUUUUAUAAAUUAAAAUUGAAGGAAGUUGAUUGAUGUUGUUGACACACGCACACACGCACACACUCACAAAGAUAUAUUGGAAGUGCUUACGUCGACUCGAAGUUGUUGGGAAUUAAUGCAUGUAUUGAUUUAUUGGGAGUGUUUAAAUGAUUUUUUGAUUUACUUGAUUUAUUGAUUGAAUAUUGUUUGAUUGCUUCAUAUCCAUUCUAGAAAGUUUAUUUCUUUGUGAAAUUUCAACGAAAUAUGUUUUUUUUUUUAAAUAAGGGUGUUCUAAAUAAUUUAAAAAUAUAUAUGGACUAAUUAGAAUUAAUUAUUAGGUAAUUAACUCAAUCUGUAUAGGGUGAAACAACAUUUAUCCUAAUUAUAUCAUGAUAAAUACUUUUCCUAUUAGAAUUAGGAAAUCAUAGGUUUAUUGAAUUGUUUUUUUUUUUCCUUUGCGGAAACGGAUUAGAGAAUUAGAAAACAAUCAUGUUGAUGUCAAAAUCUGAUCUAGUCGGUUAGCGACUUAAUAUCAUAUUACUGCACCAACAUUAAAUUUAUUGGGUGGAGAAUCGACUGGUCAAUUGUCAAGAUGUCCUGCAAUCACUAGCGAUUAACCUACGAAUACCUAAAAUCACAGAAGACGGUAAGAGGCACCGGAAGUUUUUUCGGCGUGAACCUUCCGACGCUCAAGUCAGUUUAUAGGUUUACCAUAAUAAAAAUAAAUAAUUUCUAUUUAAAAAAAAAUAGAGUUCAAAAGCUCAAAAAUAAAACCCAAUCCCAAUAUGAAAAUGAAUUUUUUUUUUUUUUUUUCUAGCUUGGCCGAAUCCUUCUGCCUCCUAAAGAAACAUAACAGAGAAGCAGGUAGCCAUGUUCCCUAGGUAACGCCCCACUCCCCUCUUUUAUUCCUCCCCCUCUCUUCCGUUUCCUUCUUUUGCUCACUAUCCUUCAUAAUUUUUUAUGCUUGUCUUCCCAAAAUAGCCUUUUAAUACACAAGUAAAUGUCUAGGCUUUGGUGAGGAUAGUUUGGUCAUUGCAUUUUACAAGUAAGAUGAGUGGUGGAGAAAAAUGAGGAGUGCACAUAUAACGCUUCAGCAAAUCCCACCAGCAAUUCCAUUUUCUUAAUUAAUUAAUCUCUUCAGCAAAUCCCACCAACUCUUCAGCAAAUCCUAAUGAUAUUAUUAUCAGGUUUAAAACAGUACACAAAUAGUGAAAAGCUAACUAGUCUGUAGAGUAAUUUGCUAAUUGCUAUCUCCUCUCUCCGCGCGCUGAAUAAUUUGUUGCAUGCAAACUUUUUAUUUUAUGCAAAUCGUACGUACUGUAACAUUGGAAUUGAUGUAAAAGCAAAAAUACAAGAAUAUUUAUGUCAAUAAAAAUAGUUUUUUUGGCCUUUUUAAAUAAACACAACGCGAUAUUGCUCUGCUCUACAUUUUUGCUAUCUCUUUAUUCUUCUUUUUUUUUUUGGGCUUCUUAAAGCCUCAAACUUUGAUAACCAAAACUUCAUCGACCUAUGAAAAAAUCUGCAGAUUAGUUUUUAUUAUCGGAAUAAUCAUUUGAGAAUACUAAAACAAAAUAUAAAUAAGAAAAUAGGAGGUUAAAUUAGAGGGGGGAAAAAAGGUAUGUUGGAUAGAUUACUAUAGUUUAAGAAAAAAAAAUCCAAUUGGGAAUUUUUUUCUUUAAUUUUUGUUUUACUUGAUUGAGAUUUCUCCUUGGUCCUUACAGUUUUAAGUUUGGAUGCCGUAGGGUUAGUAAUUUAGUACUUCCUUUGCAAGCUGAGUGCAAGAAUGAAAAUCUUUAAAGAAAUAAAAAAAAAAAAAAAAAGCAUACCAAUAGGUAAUUAUAAAUAACCAUACAUAAACAUAAACAAAAUGAGGUAAUUAUUAAUAUUAUUUUUUGUUUUAUUUCUUACUUGUCUAUUUUAUUUGCUGCUUGAUAACCCGUAAAUACUAAUCUAGUACUGCUAAUUUCAGACACAAAAUUUUUAACUCUAGGCUGCAGUUUUACUCAAAAUGAUGACCACUGGCUUCGCACCAUUUAACCGGCAUACAUUUCUACAAAUUGAACAAGGCUAUUGAUUUUCAUUAUUAUUUUUUAUUUUUUUAUAAAUUACUAUUUUAAUUUUCACUUUUCAUUGGGUUGUUUAACGGAUUAGUGAAGUUGGUGGUCGUGAUGCACUCACAAGGUACAAUUUUAUUUUAUAAUUUCAAAUUUGUAUUUUAAAAUGCAGGUACAUUAUGUAUACAUAAUUAUUGAUUUUCGUAUGUGGGUGUUUUGAAAUAUUGCUAAAAGACCAAACUUUAAUAAACUAUUUUUCAUCUUUUUUUUUUCCUAAAGUUUAAGUGAUAUCCGCAUUUUAAAUUCAUGUGGAACAAAAGCUAAUGUAUGCACAAAAUCCUUUUAUUUUUUCCGAGAAAAAUGGUUAAGAGAAGAAGAUUUUUCUCUUGAAAAAGAAAAACUAAUACGAUGCAAGCAUAGGAAAGAGGUCAGUGUUUUGGAUUAGAAUUUAGUAUUGAGCUGAAUUUUAUACUAAACUCUUUUAUAGUACUGCGAUUAAUAAACUCAUGAUUUGCUUUUGCUUUUACCUCAAGUGAAAGAAAGAGGAAACCUUUUGUUUUUUGUUUGAUUCUUGACUAUAGGUGUUACCUAUAUAGAGAGUUGAGGUAGCUGCCUUAAGUGAUGGUGAUAAAAAGAUUAAGCAGCGCACACAAUCUUACUGUCGUCCAGACCAUCCAGCUGUGAUGACUCUUGUUUUUUGGUUACAUUAGCUUUAGUGGAACGGAGGGCCAAUUUAACAAAGACUAGAUUUGGUGGCUUACUAUAAUGCUUAUUCUCAGGGAAUCUAAUGUUAUAAGAUGAUUUAAUGAUCUUCUAUGAUUGUGAGUAGUAUAGUAUAAUUGAAAAGAGCUUGGGCUCCUAUGAUGAAUAUUUAAUAGUAACACAGUACUGUUAUUGAAAAAAACACAGUUACAAUAAACUCUUCAUUUAUUCAUUGUGGAGAUUGAAUGGCAAACAGAGAAUAAAAUGAAGCAGAGGAAUCUCAUUGCCAGUAAAAUUGACCCUCUUUAAUGUUAUAUGGCACAGGUGUGUGUACAGCAAGAUCAAGUUACUUGCAGUUUUUAUUGUAAAAUAUAUAGGUUAUGACCAUGAUCAUUGUAGUUAGGUUUUGAUGAUUUUAGAUGCUUUUUUUAUUUUUUUUAAAAUUGUGACACCUUUGAUUUAUGGUAGUUUUGCAGAAGAAAAAAAUAUAUAUAAAAAUUAGGAGGGAUGAGUUAACUAACGAUUGCAAUCAUUACAGUAAUGUUGAUGAGUGAUACAUCAUUUGAAAUUUACUUGUCAGUUGCUGAAAUGAUGAAAAAAAACAGUAAACAAUAGCAGUAAUAUUUUUUGGCAAUAUAAAAAAUUAUUGCGGUUAUUUUUUGGCAAUAUAAAAAAAUUUUAGCAAAUAAAAAUUAAUUUUUUUCCGAUUAACUAAAAAAUUAAUUAAAAACUUCUGCGAUGGCAUUUUUUAUGGGUGCAUAUACCCUCCCUUUAAAAGAAAAAAUAAUAAUUAAUACUUAAUAUAGUAUUAAAUACGAAAAUAUCAAUAUUUGACUACACAAAUUUAAUAGUCUUGUGUAAUUAGUGAGUGAGAGAUUGGGUGUAUUGGAGUUUUGGGUAGUGAGCCAAAAUAUUACAAUACUUGUAAUCUUUAUUUCACUAGUGAAAUAUUUUCCUUCUGUUUUUGCCCGUGGACGUAGGCUAAAAGCCGAACCACGUAAUUUCUGGUGUCCUCUAUUGUACUUGUUCUUUAUUUGCUUCCAAUUUUAUUUUAACUGCGCGUCUGCUUCACCCAUCAAUUUCCUAACAAAUCUUGAUCCCAUGCACACGCAAAUAUGUUAAUUUCUAUACGCUUCACUUACCUGUAGAAUCAAUUAUCUAAAAUGCAAGUUUGUGGCCACAAAAAAAGCCAAAGAAAGAAGAUAAUAACAAUUGACUUGUAUAUUAUACUCAUACAAUCCACUCGACAUAAUGAUAUCAUUUUAAUAAGGCAAUGGCUGAUGAUCUCCAUUGAAAAACUAAUUCAAUUUUUUUGCUUCAUUUAACUUUUUGGUUGUUGAAAAUAACCUUAAUUAUCAAAUAAUUGGAGAAAGAGUAAAGAACAUUUAACAAAUUUAUGUGCAAAAAAAAAAAAAAAGAAGUUGAAGAGAAAGGGUGCUUGCAGAAGUGGGUGUCAAAGAAACAUCGGUCCAUAAGAAUUAUUGCGGUUAUUUUUUGGCAAUAUAAAAUAUUUAUAGCAAGUAAAAAUUAAAUUUUUUCCGAUUUACUAAAAAAUUAACUAAAAACUUCUGCCACAACAUUUUUUAUGGGUACAUAUACCCUCCCUUUAAAAAAAAAAUAAUAAUUAAUGCUUAAUAUAGUAUUAAAUACCAAAAUAUCAAUAUUUGGCUACUCAAAUUUAUAUCAUUAGGUCCUUAAAAUUAAAAAUUGAUGAUACAAAAGGAAAUAUAUAUAAAUUUCAUUCUCAUGGAAAGGAUUCUCUUAUAAUCUUAUAAUAUUUGAGUUUUGAAAUUUUUUGAAGCAAAUGUAAUUUUAUUUGUGUACAAUCAAUAUUUACUUAUUUAUUAUAUUUUAAUUUGUUAACUAUCAAUCAUUUAAGUAUAUUUAGUCAGAAAAAUUAUAUCAAGAGAGAAUCCUAAUUUCACGCAAACACAAAUACAAGAUAAAUAUGUCAAUUUCUAUACUAUCCACUUUCCUGUAGAAUCAAUUAUCUAAAAUGCAAGUUUGUGGCUACCGAAAACUCGCCAAAGAAAGAAGAUAAUAACAAUUGAGCAUUGAUAGCAAAACUAAUGCAUCAUUUUCUUCUUGACUUGAUGAGAUGGUGCCAUUACAAAAAAAAAAGUACCUUAAUUGACGGGCACUGAGUGAUGUGAAUACUACCAGCCAGUUCAUCUCUUCCAGUCUUGCUUAAUCACAAUCACAAACACCACGAGAUUGACAUUUGCAUUAUAUAUAUCUUCAGCAAUCGAAACACCUUGCAUUACCAAAUUAACCGGUAACAAACAAAGCAAUCUUUCAUGGAGAGAAACUUUAGUCUCAGUAUGAUCACUUUGUCAUUAACCCACUACCUGCUUCUUUGCUUGGUUGUUGCAGCAGCAGCAGCCGCAAGCAACAAUAUUACCACAGACCAACAAGCUCUUCUUGCCCUGAAAGAUCAUAUAACUUAUGAUCCAACCAACCUUUUUGCCCAUAAUUGGACCUCGAAUACCUCUGUUUGUACCUGGAUUGGCAUCACUUGUGAUGUCAAUAGCCAUAGAGUCACAGCCUUAGAUAUUUCUCAAUUCAAUCUACAAGGCACCAUCCCUCCUCAACUUGGAAACCUUUCUUCACUUACAACGCUUAAUCUUAGUCAUAACAAGCUUUCUGGAGACGUUCCAUCCUCCAUCUACACCAUGCAUUCGCUAAAAUUUCUUGACUUCACUGAUAACCAGCUCUCUGGUUCAGUGUCUUCCUUCGUCUUCAACAUGUCUUCAAUAUUAGAAAUUCUUUUGACCAAUAACAGAUUUUCUGGUGAGCUUCCGAAAAAUAUUUGCAACUAUCUUCCUUAUUUGAAAGCCCUUUUCUUAAACAAAAACAUGUUUCAUGGCAAAAUUCCUUCUGCUUUAUCAAAGUGCAAACAACUGCAAAAAUUAAAUUUGCAGUUCAAUAAUUUAUCCGGUGCAAUACCGAAAGAAAUCGGCAACUUGACUAUGCUCAAAGGCAUAUAUCUCGAAUACAACAAACUCCACGGUAUGUUCAUAAUACUAUGUAAAUGUUUUAAUUUCUCAAUUGUUAUUUUCUUGAAUACUUUAGACAAGAUCUUGUAAGGGAGAUAUUUUUGGAUCUGUGUUAAUUUGCCAGGUGAGAUACCCCACGAAAUCGCUAAUCUUCGAAAUCUAGAGGAUUUAUUGCUUGGAAUGAACAACCUAGUUGGUGUGUUACCAGCUCCAAUCUUCAACAUGUCAACACUGAAAUUAUUUGACCUCAUAAAUAACUCUCUCUCCGGAAGUCUUCCAUCAAGAAUAGACCUUUCACUUCCAACUGUUGAGUUUUUUGGCUUGGCACUUAAUAGAUUUUCUGGAACCAUUCCUAGUUCCAUCACCAAUGCUUCUAAGCUCACCGUUCUAGCGUUGGGAGAGAACACAUUUUCGGGCUUCAUUCCAAACACAAUUGGUAAUUUAAGAAACCUUGAGUGGCUCAGCUUGGAGAAUAAUUACUUGAAAUCUUCAACCUCAAAAUUGAGCUUUCUUUCCUCUUUGGCAAAUUGCAAGAAAUUAAGAUUCUUAAACUUAGCAGGCAAUCCACUUGACGGCUUCCUUCCAAGUUCAAUAGGUAAUCUUUCUGUGUCUUUGGAAACACUUUUCAUCGGCAAUUGCAGUAUUAGUGGCAACAUUCCUCAAGCAAUUAGCAAUUUAAGCAACUUGUUGACCUUAGUAUUAGAAGGCAAUAAAUUGACUGGACCAAUUCCAAUUACAUUUGGCCGACUACAGAAACUCCAAGGCUUAGAUCUUGCAUUCAAUAAGUUGGUAGGUUCAUUCCCAGAUGAGCUUUGCCAUCUAGCAAGGCUGGAUCAAUUGGUCUUAUUUGGCAAUAAGCUUUCAGGAUCUAUACCUUCAUGCCUAAGUAAUCUCACUUCUCUAAGAUCUCUCUACUUAGGGUCCAAUAGGUUAACUUCUGUUAUUCCCUCAACUUUCUGGAGCCUAAAAUACAUCUUGUUCUUUGACUUUUCAUCAAAUUUCUUGGUUGGUACUCUUUCUUUCGACAUAGGUAAUUUGAAGGUGCUUCUAGGAAUAAAUUUAUCAGAAAAUAACUUAUCGGGUGAUAUGCCAGCCACAAUUGGAGGACUGAAAGAUCUUCAAUUUAUGGACCUAGCAUUUAAUAGAUUGGAAGGCCCAAUUCCUGAAUCAUUUGGUGACUUGACAAGUUUGGAGGUUUUGAAUUUGUCAAAAAAUAAAAUCUCUGGGUCUAUUCCAACAUCCAUGGAGAAACUCAUUUACCUUCGAGAGUUAAAUCUCUCUUUCAAUAAACUUGAAGGUGAGAUUCCUAGUGGAGGAAUUUUUACCAACUUCACAGCUGAGUCAUUUAUGGGAAAUGAGUUAUUGUGUGGUUUACCAAAUCUUCAAGUCCAACCAUGCAAACUUAGCAAGCCUAGGACAGAACAUAAAUCAAGGAAAAAGAUACUUCUCAUUGUGAUUGUUUUGCCAUUGAGUAUUGCUCUAACGAUAGCAAUCACUCUAGCUCUCAAAUCUAAGCUGAUCGAAUGUAGAAAAAGAGGCACAGAGUUAUCAAAUGAUAGUAUCUUGUCAUCAGAAGCAACACUAAGAAGAUUUUUAUACUUAGAACUUUUACAAGCAACAGAUAAUUUUGCUGAAAACAACAUAAUUGGCAGAGGAGGUUUUGGUUCCGUUUAUGGAGCAAGACUUGAAGAUGGGAUGAAGAUUGCAAUAAAAGUGUUUCACCAGCAAUGUGCAAGCGCAUUGAAGAGUUUUGAGGCUGAAUGUGAAGUGUUAAAAAAUAUUCACCAUCGAAACCUUAUCAAAGUUAUCAGCAGUUGCUCGAACGAUGACUUCAAAGCAUUAGUCCUAGAAUACAUGUCCAACGGGAGCUUGGAGGAUUGGCUGCAUUCUAGCAAUUAUGUGCUGAAUAUAUUUCAGAGGUUGAACAUAAUGAUUGACGUUGCAUCAGCUUUAGAAUAUCUCCACUUCGAUCAUUCAACUGCUAUUAUUCAUUGUGACUUAAAGCCUAGUAAUGUAUUGUUGGACGAAAAUAUGGUUGCUCAUUUGAGUGAUUUUGGCAUAGCAAAGCUUUUAAGUGGAGAGGAUGAGUCUACGAUACGAACAAAAACCCUUGCCACUCUAGGUUAUAUGGCACCAGGUUUGCUUCAAACAACUUUCGUUUUUAGUUCAUUUUAAAUUUUCCAACUUAUUGAUUUUUACAAUCCUCACAUCAAAAUGUUAUUGAUUAUUUAUCUAAUUGUGAAAUUAAUUUGAUUCAUAGAGUAUGGCAUAGGAGGAGAAGUAUCUACAAAAAGUGAUGUUUAUAGCUAUGGGAUUAUGUUGAUGGAAACUUUUACCAAGAAAAAACCCACAGAUGAAAUUUUUGUUGGAGAAUUGAGCUUAAAGCGUUGGGUUAAUGACUUGCUUCCUAAUUCAUUAGUGGAAGUUGUGGACAAAACUCUGCUAAGUGGAGAGGAAAAACAUUCUGCAGCAAAGGAGCAAUGUCUGUUGUCUAUCUUUAGUUUGGCUCUGGAGUGUACAAUGGAAUCACCGGAAAAGAGGAUUAAUGCAAAAGAUAUUGUUACCGGAUUACUCAAGAUAAGAGACACAUUGAGUAAAAGGAUAGGAAAUUUAAGUUAAUUUCGUUUGCUUUCAUUGAUAGUUAAUUCGAAUUCAUGUAAUAAGUGUAAGAACCUUAUAUCUUUUACUUUGAUUUUUUUUUUCUUGAGAAAACUGUUGUAGUCAUCUUGUUUCCAUGGGCGGAGUUGAUUUAGUUCUUCCAAGAAAUGCUACUGAUGACAUUUGUUUUAUACUUUCUCUUUUUUUUUGCAUGUGUUUAGGUAGAAUAGUGGUUUGGUUGCACUCUAAGAAGUCUAACUACACUAAAAGAAUAUGAUUUAAUUUAUUAAACAAAACUUCAAGUUCAAGAAAAGUAUCUCAUUGCCCCCAAUGCUUUGGACACCUAUUGGUAGGUUUGUACGUGUCCUCAACUUUUUUUUGGAGCACAAAAUUCGAGUCCCAUAAAGGCUCAAACAUUCCUUUCCUUCAUCCCGAGGGCGCCUUCUGUCCUCUGUUUUCUGUUUCCACACACAAAUAGCAAAAAGAAAUUAGAAUGACAACUGGGACAUAUAUAAGAGUGAAAUAAUUAAAAAAAUUAUGCUUUUUUGUCUGUCGUGUUAAAAUCGUAAGUACCGAAGUACUGUGAAAGAGAUUAAUUUACAGAAACUGAAGCCAAGGGUUCAAAAAAAACUAUUGAUGUAGGUAGAAUGCAAUGUCAUAUUCAUACAGAGAUGAAGUAUAUUAUUUACGGCUGGUAAGGACUAAGAAUUGAUGUAGCUAGAAUGCAAAGAUGAUGAGGUAUGUUGUACACUAUUGUUUUUAUUCUACAAUCAAUCUUGACCCCUGAUGCUUGGCUCUCAAUCUUGUCCAUUGAUCUUCUCUGAUUUUGGAGACUUGAAGACCUUUCAGUAUCAUGCCUUGUUGUUGGUGUCUUCCGUGCUGUAGAAUUCAUAUACAAGUUUUCCCGCCGACUUGCCAAGUAUUUGUUCAUUGAUGCAUUUUAUCAAACAGUUGGCCUGCUCAGAGCAAACAGCUCCUGUUUUAACUCCCCCUCCGUAGCUCAACUAUCUGGGAAGACAAUUAAUUGAGCUUGUUUCACAAUUAUAUGAAUCUGAAAGUUCAAUUAUAUCCUCUAAUGGAGAGAACUCAUUGCCUCAGUAUGAUCACUGUGUCAUCAACCCACUCCCCGCUUCUUUGCUUGGUUGUUGCAGCAAGCAACAAUUUUACCACAGAUCAACAAUAGUUUGUCCAUUUGUUCCAGUGAGGUCGUCAUUAAAAAUUAAUUUUCAUAUUGAUUUUCUUAAUUAUAAAUAAUACUAAUGAUAUUUCAUAGUUAUAAAUAUAUUAGAAUUAAUCGAAAUCAUUUUUUAGUGCGGCAUGGCUAAAACUACCUUUUUUUUUUUUAAGUAAUUACUACUUCAAGGAAAAUACUCCUAUUUUCAAGGAAAAGUCAAGUACCCGUAGUUGUGAAGACUCGAGCUCACCCUCUUAUGAUAAAUCUUCUUAUCAAUUACAUAAAUAUCCUCUAAAUUUUUAGUUAACUAUUCAAAAUUCGAUGUUAUACGGGUAUUUCAUUUAUUUGAGUAGGGGUUCGGGGUCAAUUGGAUACAAAUUCAAAAUUAUCCUUACUUGAGAAGGUGAUAAAAAUUGGGGAUUUAGUUUGGAUGCAUUAGCUACAAAUAUUAAACUCAUACAUCUAAUUCAAAAUUAGAGGGCUGAUAUAUGUGCAUCCUCGUGCACAUUAUAGUGACACGUGUCACCAUCCUACAACCUAUCCAAUGAAAAAUUGACAUGCAUCUUGUGCGCUUCUGAUCAAAAUCCUGAAAAUUAAUCACAAAGUUAUACUUUUAUUAUAAAAAGAAUAAAGAAACUCCAAAAAAAAAAAAAGACUUACAUAUAUAAAUAGUUUGAAUAAUCUAGAUUCCAAGUUGUCUAUAUUAGCUUGAUCUUUUUAUAAAUAGUCAUCUUCGAAAAAAAAUUCCACCAACAUAUAUUUUAAUUUUAUGUUAAUUAAUAAAUAGAAAAAAAUCAUUUUAGAAUUAAUUAAAACAUUAUUUAUUGUUGCCAAAAAAAGGAAGAAUUUAGUGAUAAGAAAAAAGUGUCUCAAAUAUACGUUAAAAAAAUUAAUCAUGGUGGGUUCGAUUGAUUGAAUUUUUUUUUUUAAUCUUUUUCUUUUUUAAGAAUUAAGACAAUUGGAUUGAUUGAGUAAUAAUAAAAUAUAUUUAUUUGGCAAAUGGCAGGUAGGCUUUCUUCUGAUGCAGAUUGAUUAUAGAGAAUAUACAACAAUUUUAAGCUCGUCAGAUUCGGAACCUGCUUAUCUGUCGUGUGGGGAUCACUUCCGUGUCUUAUUUUUCUAGAAAAAUCUGGACCAUUAGGCAGUAGAGAAAUGUUGAUCUUGAUUCCUGAUCAGGAUCGAAGUUUGAUUCUAUCUAACAUGAUAUCAGAUUGCGAAGCAGGCUAGUAUGUAAAUUUCUUUUAUCUUUUAGAGGAAAAUGGGCAAGAGAAGAAGAUUUGGCAAAGGAAUUGCAACCGCAUUUCUAGUAUGUUCUGAUCAGAGAAGCGAAAUCCAUCACGGUCUUUUAUCUUUACCCAUGUGGAGAAAUCAAGGGAUUUCGAAUCAGAGAAGCGAUGGGAUUUAGUUCUGAUCUGGGAUUUUGGAGACUUAGGGAGUGUGCGGUCUUGGACCAACAUUGAUGACGAUGACGCUUCAAAUUCAAUGACUUGAAAGCAGAAAACAAAGACAGACAAAAACAGACAUGCACUACAGCAAGAAAGAUUGACUGAAUCUUGGGUUACUGUGUCUGUGGUCUCAAAUGAAACACAAGUGGGAAGCCUUGCUGCAGUUUCAGCUUUGGUUUGUGUUUGAAGUUUUGAAUGUAAAAAGAGAACCGAGCAUGUGGUUGCCGACAAGAAUGGCCUGAGGUUUCUUAAGCUUCAUUGUAAUGUUACAACUGCUACUAAUUUGGUGGGGUGGGAGGUCGCUGGGUCGCUGUCAGUCCAUUUGCUUCUUUUCUUUCUUUUUGUUAUUUGUUGAGUUUUUUCCAUUUCUACUUUUCUUAAUAUAUAAAUUAUCAUUUUUUUAACAUGCAAAAUAUAUAGAACAUUUUAUGAGUUUAUAAAUAAAAAUUAUAUUAUGGGAUAAUAGUGAAUGAGUUCCUGGUGCUUUGGAGUUCUUUAAAUUAAGGGCCCAGUUUGUCCAUUUGUUUUAGUUAGGUCCUUCUUAAAAAUUGAUUUUCUUAAUUAUAACUAAUACUAAUGAUAUUUCAUAGUUAUAAAUAUAUUAGAAUUAAUCCAAAAUAUUUUUUAGCGUGGCAUGGCUAAAACUACCUUUUUCUAUAAGUAAUCACUACUUUUGCAUUAAGGAAAAUAUUCCUAUUUAAAAAAAAAUUGAAUAUCUAUAGUUGUGAGGACUCGAACUCACUCGCUUAUGAUAAAUCUUUGUUGAUGCGAGAUUCUGGUUACCCACUCGACCACGUCCAGGAUCUCUGCUCAAUCAACUAACUCGACCACGAUCAGGAUCUCUCCUCGUAUGCUUUCUUCUUCAAAAAUUCCUGCGUACACAGAAACAAGUCAGAGCACGCCAGUUGUUUUCCCGGCGUAAACCCUCCGACGCUCAAGUCAGAUAUGAAGGUUUUGUGUUCCUGGGAACGUUAGCCACUAGUCUUAAGCUUUGCUUUUGGUAUCGAUUGCUGAAUGCUCUCUUUAUCUCAAUUUCCGUAUUAAAAGUUAACCCUUUUACCUUCGUUGGCUGCCUUUUUAUAGGCUCCACCUGAGUCCAGAUCCUCCCCUCCAUUCACGCCCGUUACCUUCCCACCUCUCGAAAGUGGAUGCUUUGUUUCCGUAAUCGUGGGUGAUUGCAUGGCCUUCGUGCCUCGAUUCUCAGGCUGGAGAGUACGUCUCGCCAACUGUCGUUGACUGGGUCUCCUCGCCUCAAACCUUAGCAGGAAUGGCUUUAUGCUUCUAACAAGAGACCGGCUUCGCGGAUGGCGUAUUCAUGGACGAGCAGAUAUUCCUGCUUAUGUUCCAAUGCUACCAGACCUCUGCUCAUCACGGCUGGUCUCGUCGAAGUACAUCCCCCAAACACCGGUCCCCCAGUUUCUGGUGUUGGGUAACAUAGUGAGCCAACAGUAGAAACUCGACAGUUCUUGCUCGCGCGAGAUAGGAAAAGACUGCCAAGAGUCGUGUCGCAUUUAAUGGCGGAUGAGGUGAUGUGGCAGAAAUCUACCCCUCCAUUUGAAUUUCAAACCGACGGUUACGAAACCCUAGGGAUUUGUGCCGUUAAAUGCCGGCAGCCCAAGAGUUUGUUCUUCAUUAGGAAAACCCAAAACCCCCAAAAGAGGAACUCGUCUUUUACUCCGUUUCUGUCUCUCCUGCGAAUGAGUCCUUCCUCUCCCUCGGCGUAAAAGCUUCCUUCCUUGUCUCUCUCCGACUAAGUCACAACUUCAGGUACUAUUUCUUUUUUCCUCGGUCGUGGAUAGUUGUAAACAAUUUCUUUUACAUUUUGCUUGGGUAGUGUUUGGUGGUGCAGUUCUGGUUAUAGUUUAGGGAAUGUCGAAAGGUAAGGAGAAAGUCAUUGAGAUUGAUGACGACGAGUUAGACUUCUUGCCUAGUCUGCUCGCCGAUUCUGCUUUCGACACCGGGAUCCCCUUAGAACCCGUUAGACCUAAUGUUGCGACUAGUGCUAGGAGGAUGUCCCCCCAAGUAACCUCCUCAACUGGAAAUAGCGACGACGAGGGUUCUUCUGGUUCGGAAGACACUUUGAGUGAAGAUCAGGGAAAUGAUUCUGGUGAGAUGUCCUCACCAGGAACAUCGUGACCAGAUAGGAGGGGCAUAGUAGGAGGUAGAGCUCUAUCACAGAAUUACACUAUUGAUUUUAUGACGUGCACGACCACAGUAGAUGAGCUAGUUAGUCUCCGGGCUAGAUACGGCAUCCCUGAUGAAAUUUCCCUUAGGAUCCCAGGAAAAAAAGAUACCCCCAGCCGGCCUCCUAGGGGAUAUAUUACUCUGUUUCUAGAGAGUUUUAAACUUGGGCUAAGGUACCCCAUACAACCCUACUUUGCCCGAAUACUCAAUGGGUUGAAUUUAGCUCCUGGUCAACUGAACCCCAAUGGGUGGUGAGUACUUUCUGGUCUGUUCAUAUUGUGAGACAGAUGUUGCCAAAGCGAGCCAACAAUUGACGAGGUGAAGCACCUGUACCAGCUAAAGAGCAGCCCCAAAGAUGUCGGCUGGUAUUACUUCCAGUCUAGUACCAAGACCAGGAAACCCAUAACCGAUCUUCCAACUGGUGGUGGUAGGACUUGGAAGAAAAAAUUCUUUUUUGCUGGGGGUCCCUGGGGUCAAGUUGCACAGAUUGACGAGAAGGAUUACCGUGUCCCACCUCAUUUCGUGGUCCCAGGUUGCCUACUCGCUUAAGAUGUUUUGUCUCCAUAGUCGUUCUCAUUUUGCUGAUUUGUUUCUAAUCCAAAAUCUGUUCGCAUUGCAGGUUCCUGGGGUGUGCACUACCAGCUUAAACCCGAGCCGCUCAAGCGAGUCGAAGCUGUACUGGCCAAUUUCUACACGAACCGAGAGCUGCUAACUACUUUCAAUUUGGUCGAAUCUCGUUUGGUGUCUACCGGCCAUAAAAUGGAGGAUGCUGUGAUCGGGGCUCUGACUCGGAAACGUCCCCAACCUCAUGCUACCAAGCAGGACCAGAAUAAAUAUGCUCCCACUGCGAAGCGGGUGAACAUUGUGCAGCAGGUUCCUCCCUUGAAGACCCUACCACCUCCUUCUGCCAAAGUCGGAGAAACUAGCGGAGCAGCCACCGAUCCCGCUUCCUCUUAUCCUCCAGUCGGGCCGAGAUCUCGUUUAUCUGACAAUCGAGCAAAACAUUUGGUCCCCUAUAUCAACGAGUUCUCUAAACUCGUGAGCAAGAGGGACCUAGAGGACUUUGACGACAGCACCUUGGGUGAGCUGGUGGGGGCCAUGCAAUAUAGCGCUUUCCAUCUCGACUGUAUGGCCACUUACUACAAGGCCAAGGUUGGUCGUUAUGACCGAAAGAUGAAGGAGGACAUUCAAUCGGCCAUGAUCAAAGCUGAUGCUGCCGAGAAGAAAGCAGGGGACUUGAAUCUCGAGAAUUUGAAGUUGAUAGAGCGAGAAUCUCUUGCUCAAGCAAAAGCCAUUACUCUCGAGGAUGAGCUAGCUAAGGUCAAGGAGGAUCUGCAAAGACAGCAGGCUAUGUACGAGGCCCAGCUCGAAUCUCUUCGGGAUUCCCACAAGGUUUAGGUCGAGAACCUGGAGAAGGAAGCUGAUAAUCAAUAUGACCAGGGGCUUCAGCACUCCUAUCAUUGCAUCAUGGCCGUCCUUGGGAAGCAGCAUCCGGAUAUGAAAAUGGACGAGCUUGCUACUGGUGUUGCUCAGCAUAUGGAUGAGGAGGCAGCAAAAGAGGACGCCGAAGAGGUGGAGCCAACUGAGGUUGAGGAGGGAAACACUCCUCCUCGUGCAAUCCUUGCUGAUGUCGCUGAGGCGAGUACCCCCCGAAUGCAACUGGUGAUACCCCCUGCCCCUGAGGUGGACCAGCCAACCAAGGCUGCUCGGCUUACUGACCCGCCGUCCUCUUGAUUGUAUUUUGUGUUGUAGUUGCUUUCUUGAAACGCUAUAUGUUAUGACUAGCAGUUUUUUCUGGUUGUUGAUUAAUAAAUAAGAAUGUUCUCAUUUGCUUUCUCGUCGUAAAUCAUUUUAAGUUUGAGGGUCUACUUGCCUUCUCUUGUACUAGCAGUUCUUGACACGCUUGGCUUCUGGUCUCGCCAUAGAACAUGCUUGUGACUUGGUGAGCCUUUGCAUGCCUUAGAAAUUUUUUCAAUGUUGGGAUUCUGCUCGCCUUCGCUUGGUCGAGCAGAUCUUGGCACGCUUGGCUUUUGGUCUCGCCAUAAAAACAGGCUUUGAAAAUUGGUGAGCCUUUGCAUGCCUUAGAAAUUUUUUCAAUGCUUGGGAUUUUGCUCGCCGUCGCUUGGUCGAGCAGAUCCUGGCACGCUUAGCUUUUGGUCUCGCCAUAAAAUAGGCUUUGAGACUUGGUGAGCCUUUGUAUGCCUUCGAAAUUUUUUCAAUGAUAGGGAUUCUGCUCGUCGUCGCUUGGUCGAGCAGAUCCUGGCACACUUGGCUUCUAGUCUCGCCAUAAAACAGGCUUUGAGACUUGGUGAGCCUUUGCAUGCCUUAGAAAUUUUUUCAAUGCUUGGGAUUCUGCUCGCCGUUGCUUGGUUGAGCAGAUCCUGGCACGCUUGGUUUCUGGUCUCGCCAUAAAACAGGUUUUGAGACUUGGUGAGCCUUUGCAUGCCUUAGAAAUUUUUUGCACAGUUACAAGUGAAUGAAAUUCCUCGACGUUUCAUUAAUUACAGAAUUCAACUUACAUAGGAAUGCAUAGCAACGAGAACAAAUUAAAGUAAUUUUUGAACAUGAGCAAGUCUUACUGGAAAUAUUUCCUGAGGUGCGCUGCGUUCCAUAGGCGUUUCACCUCGUGGCCAUCCGUGCGAACAAGCUUGUAAGCUCCGAGUCCCACUAUCUGCUUGACCCUGUAUAGCCCCUGCCAAUUCGGUCCAAGCACUCCUUGAGUCGAGUCUUUGGUGUUCUGAUUCACUCUCCUUAGCACCCAAUCUCCGACCCUAAACUGCCGUACAUUCACCUUCUGGUUAUAAUACCGAGCAACCCUCUGCUGGUAAAUGGCUAAUCGCUUCGAUGCUUGCUCCCUCUUCUCUACAAGCAAAUUCAGAUUCAAGCACAUCUGCUCGUUGUUAUCUUGCUCAUUGAAAUGAUCUGUCCGGUGCGUGGUCGUUCCUAUCUCGGCUGGUACGACCGCUUCAUGUCCGAAGGCCAAGGCGAACGGUGUUUCUCCAGUUGCUGUUUUGUAGGUUGUCCUGUAUGCCCAUAAAACACAUGAUAGCUCAUCAACCCAUGCUCCAUUUUUUGCUCCAAGCCUGGUUUUCAAAAGCCUCUUGAUCGUCUUGUUGGCUGCUUCUACUUGUCCAUUGGAUUGAGGGUGAGCAAGCGAGCAGUACUUCAACUCUAUCCCGAGGUUCUGGCAGAAAUCCCUGAAACUGUGAUUAUCGAACUGCCUGCCAUUAUCCAUUACCAAGGCAUAGGGGAUCCCGUACCGACAGACCAGGUUUCUCCAUACGAAGUCUGUUGUCUUCUUCUCUGUGAUCUUGCUGAGGGCUUCUACUUCUAUCCACUUCAUGAAGUAGUCUAUUGCUACUAUUCCAUGUGUUGUUGCUCCUCGUCCCCUUGGCAACGGCCCGAUCAGAUCAAUUCCCCACUGAGCAAAUGGCCAAGGGGAGGCUAUAGAGGUGAGCUUCUCUGGUGUUUGGCUGGAGAAACUUGCAAAACUCUGGCAGCUUAAGCAGCUCCUGGUCUUCUCCUGCGCAUCCUGGUGCAUUGUCGGCCAGAAAUAUCCCUGCCUUAGAACCUUAUGGGCAAGGGACCUCCCACCAGAAUGGUUUCCGCAAAUUCCUUCAUGUACUUCUCUCAGUACGUAGUCUGCGUUGUCCUCAUCUAAGCACCGAAGGAACGUGAGUGUAUAUCCUCGCCGAUAUAGCACCCCAUCAAUCAUUGUGUACCUUGAGUCUUGGGCUCUAAUCUUCCGAGCUCGUAGCUUAUCUGGUGGUAACACCCCGUCUCUGAUAUAUGAAAUUAUCGGAUCCAUCCACGAGCCUUUUUGUUCUAUCUGCAUCACCUUCAAAUUCUGCUCGAUGCUAGGGUUGGUUUUCACUUCCAAAGGGACCGUCUUAGGCAUUUUAGGGUCUGCUACAACUGUCAUCCUGGCCAGAAUAUCGGCUCGACUAUUUUGUUCCCUUGGGAUUUGUAUCAACUUAACCGCUUCGAACUUCCUCAUCAUCUGCCUGACUUUCUUCAAGUACUGCUCCAUCUUCUCAUCUCUCGGUUGAAAACUUUCACUGACAUGAUUUGCGACCAGCUGAGAAUAAGUUCUGAUCUUCACCCUAUCUGCUUUCAUUGCCUUAGCCAAUUCCAAACCUGCUAUCAAGGCUUCGUAUUCUGCCUGGUUAUUUGUGGCUGUGAACUCUAACUUUACAGCAUAAGAAAUCUCCUCCCCCUCUGGGUCUUUUAAGACAAUUUCUGCUCCUGAUCCUUGCUCACCUGAUGACCCAUCUACAGACAUCUGCCAUACUCGAGCUUUGCUGCUAUCUGUAGCGGUGUCCAGUUGGUCCAAACAUACUUCAAGCUCCGCGAAUUCUGCUAUGAAAUCGGCCGUUGCCUGAGCCUUUAUUGCUGCUCGGGGUUUGUAAUCUAUGUCGAACUCGCUAAGCUCUAUAGCCCACUUCACGAGCCGACCAGAAGCAUCUGGCUUGUGCAGAGUUUGACGCAAUGGCUGGUUUGUUAUUACCGUGACGGGGAAUGCUUGAAAGUACGGCCUCAGCUUCCGAGCAGCAACCACAAGGGCGAGUGUCCAUUUCUCCACCAAUGGGUAUCUGGUCUCGGCAUCGAGCAGGGUCUUGUUGGUGAAGUAUAUCGGGUACUGAACCCCUUCUUCUUCUCUUACUAGAACAGAACUUGCAGCAUGAUUUGAUACCGCCAAAUAUAAGAACAACCUAUCGUCAUCCCUUAGUGUGGACAGCAAAGGUGCUUGUUGCAAGUACUGCUUCAAGUUCUGGAAGGCUUCUUCACAUUCUGGGGUCCAUUCUGUAUUCUUUCCUCUCCUUAUCACUUGGAAAAAUGGCUGACACUUAUCUGUAGCCUUGGAUAUGAAUCGGCUUAAUGCCGCCAACCUCCCCGUAAGGCUCUGUGUCUCCUUCAGGUUACGAGGUGACCUCAUCUGCACGAUCGCCUGGAUCUUCUCAAGAUUUGCCUCGAUCCUGCUCGAACAUGGGGAUUUGGUUGUAUCCCGAGAAUGCGUCCAUGAAGCUGAGCAAGCCAUGUCCGGCUUUUAAGUCUACAAGCUGGUCAAUCUUUGGUAAUGGAAAGCUGUCUUUCGGGCACGCCUUGUUGAGGCCCGUGAAAUCCACACACAUCCUCCACUUGCCAUUAGCCUUUUUUACUAACACCACAUUCGAUAUCCACUCGGGAUAAUUGACUUCCCGAAUGAACCCUGCUUUCAAGAGCUUCUCCACCUCGCCGUUUAUAGCCUCAUACCUCUCCUGGUUGAAGCACCUCCUUUUCUGCCUUACUGCCCGAGCACCUUUCUUUAUUGCCAGUUUAUGACAUGCGACCUAAGGGUCGAUUCUUGGCAUGUCUUCAUGUGUCCAAGCAAACACAUCUGCAUGAGCCCGCAAGCAUUGCACCAACUCCUGCUUCUGCUAUUCUUUAAGCCUCAACCCAAUUCGGAUCGUUUUUCCCAGAUCCUUUGGUCCUAGGCUCACUGUCUUCAACUCCUCUACAGGUUCUUGUCUACCAGUCUUGGUUCCCACUCGGGUAUCAAGGGAUGUUAUCUGCAUUGCUUCCCUUGCUGACGAGGAGUAAUAGCUUCGUGCGAUUCUCUGGUCUCCUCAUACCACUCCAACUACCCCAUUCACCCGGUACUUGAGAGCUAGAUAAUGGUUGGAUGACACCGCUUUACUCAUCCUCAGAAAUGGUCGACCUAGGAUCAUCUGGUAAGGACCCUCUUCAUCGACUACCAAAAAAUCCAGCAUCAUAGUCCUUUCUGUCGGGGAGCUUCCAAUCGUGAUAGGCAGCUCAACCACGCCCAGGGGGACCAGCUUUCCUCCUCCAAAUCCCUUCAAGGAGGUAUUGGUGUGCUCCAACCUCAGGUCUGUUAUUCUCAUCUCCUCCAGAGUUGACUUAAACAACACAUCAACUGAGCUCCCUGUGUCAACCAGUAUCCGGUCAAACUUCUUGCUGGCGACGGUGGCCUUGAUGACUAAGGCAUCCUUGUGUGGGUAUAGAAUCCCUUAUUCAUCCUCAUCUGUCCACAUGAUUGGCACUUGUCAGACUCUUGCUCGUUUGGCUGCUGGGGUGUUGAAGAACACAUCUUUACUAGUCAUGGCAAAUUUAGCAUAAUUUUUCCUCGAUCUGUUGGAAUCUCCGGCCAACGUUGGACCCCCUAACAAUCACUCUUACUAUAGGCUGCCUGUGGCUCAAGUUCCUGUUACCCUGCUCCUCUUCACAUAUCGGGGCCACCGUCGGAAAAGUCCCAUCGAUAAACUCGUCCAGGUAUCGAUUUCUCACCAAAUCUUUAACCUGGGUCUUAAGGUCUCUUCAUUCUAUUGUGGUAUGGCCAUGAGUACCAUGGAACUUGCAAUAGUGCCCCUAUCCCUUCUGCUGGGUAGCUUUGUUAUUGGGGCUGGGAGGUACAGUAAUCCCCAGUCCUUUAUGGCCUCACAGACUUCGUCCAGUGGGAUAUUCAAGGAAGUAUACUGCCCAUAGUCCUGGUUCUGGUCGAUCAUAUGCACUGCCCUUUCUCUGUUUGUGCCAUUCUGAGUUGGAGGUGGUGGCAGCGCUUCUGGUCUGCUCCCCCUACUACCAUGGGGGUGUGGGUGAAGGUGACCGUAUGUCGCGUCAUGCCUUCUCCUAGGCUCCCUAGCUGGUGAGCGAGAAGGUUGCGCCCUGCUGUGCUGAUACUGUGGUGGCCUCUAAUGAGGUUGGUAAGCGGUUACCCGACCUCUUGUACCACUACCUAAGGCAUGGUGGUCCCUCCUCUUAAUCGGCCCAUUUCCUGGUACGGCUCUCUUCUCUUUCCUCUUUAAUCCUUCCAGCUGGUCUGUCUUAAUCCGUGCCGCCUUUUCCUCCUCUAUUUCUAUGUCUCUCUUAGCCUGCUCGUAAGCAACUGAAUAUGUCUGAAUAACUGGGCUUCUCAAGUUAUAUCACAUCCGUCUUAUCUUCACUCCUUCUUUCAAUCCCCUUAAUGCCUGAGGAUGGUUGAAGGCUCCCAAGUCGAGGACAGCACGGUGGAACCUUUUGAUGAAUUCCCGAAGGGUUUCCUCCUCUCUCUGCUUCAUGCUCGUUAACUCCAUCAUAUCAUCUUCCGGUGCCAUUACCCCACGAAACUGCUCUGCAAAUUCCUGGCACAUCUGCUCGAAGGCUUUAAUGCUCCCUCGAGGAAGUUUCCUGUACCACUCGCGUGCUCGUCCCUCUAGAGAUAGUGGGAACACCCUGCAUCUUUGGGCUUGAGAUAGUCCUUGCACCCCGGUCAUGUUGUUGAAGCGCUCUAUGUGCACCAACGGAUCAGUUCGCCCCAAAUAUCUGAGGUCUGGGAGGCGAAAAUCUCUUGAAAUGACUGCCCUCAUGAUCUCUGCCGAGAGCGGGGUUUCUCCGUCCAGCAUUAUCCUCCAACCAGGUGCUCUACUCCUUCCUUGCAUAUCAUCAAUUACUUGCGCUAGUUUGCGCACUUCCUUCUCUAGCUGCAUUGCACGACCAGGGUCACGUGCUGUAACUUGAUCCCGCUCUUUCUCUACAUCAUGUAAGUAUUGCCUGAGCUCUGUUUCCUCUGCAUUCACCACCCCAUCAUCCUCAUCAAAAAUCUAUCUUCUUGGGGAUUGCUCUUCUUCUCUAUGAAUUCCUCCCCGUAAAGAUAAGUUACCUCUCUCACCACCAAAUCUCCUGGUGGUCUGACUUCUCAUCAUACCAUCGUGCCCUGGUGCCACUCUGCCACCUCUCACCCUUUUCUCAUGGGUUCCCCUUCGUUCACUCCUUAGUUCAUGUAGGAUGGUUGUCAGGGUCUCCAUCUGCUUUUCCAUCCGUUCCAUUCGGUCAUGCAUGGCUUUUUCCCGUGCUUCAAUGGCUAUCUCCCUUAACGUCAUGGAUUCGUUAAGCCUCAUAUCACCUCCUUGUGCACUACUUCCUCCUACAUCCAUUGUUUCUUCUCUUGCUUUGUUUUUCCUUUCUCUGUCAACAGAAGUUUUUUUAUCAGCUCCCUACAGACGGCGCCAAAAUGUUGAUGCGAGAUUCUGGUUACCCACUCGACCACGACCAGGAUCUCUGCUCAAUCAACUAACUCGACCACGAUCAGGAUCUCUCCUCGUAUGCUUUCUUCUUCAAAAAUUCCUGCGUACACAGAAACAAGUCAGAGCACGCUGGUUGUUUUCUCGGCGUAAACCCUCCGAUGCUCAAGUCAAAUAUGAAGGUUUUGUGUUCCUGGGAACAUUAGCCACUAGUCUUAAGCUUUGCUUUUAGUAUCGACUGUUGAAUGCUCUCUUUAUCUCAAUUUCUGUAUUAAAAGUUCUAACCCUUUUACCUUCGUUGGCUGCCUUUUUAUAGGCUCCUCCUGAGUCCAGAUCCUCCCCUCCAUUCACGUCCGUUACCUUCCCACCUCUCGAAAGUGGAUGCUCCGUUUCCGUAAUCGUGGGUGGUUGCAUGGCCUUCGUGCCUCGAUUCUCGGGCUGGAGAGUACGUCUUGCCAACUGUCGUUGAUUGGGUCUCCUCGCUUCAAACCUUAGCAGGACCAUUAUGCUUCUAACAGGAGAUCGGCUUCGCGGAUGGUGUAUUCGUGGACGAGCAGAUAUUCCUGCUUCUGUUCCCAUGCUACCAGACCUCAGCUCAUCACGGCUGGUCUCGUCGAAGUACAUCCCCCAAACAAUCUUCAUAUUAAUUACGAAAAUAUCCUCUAAAUUUUAACUUAACUAUUCAUAAUUCAAUGUCAUUCGGAUAUUUCGUUUAUUUGAGUAGGGAUUAGGGGUCAAUUUGAUACAAAUUCAAAAUUAUCCUCAUUUGCGAAGGUGAUAAAAGUUAGGGAUUUAGUUUGGAUGUCACUAGCCACAAAUAUUAAACGCAUGCAUCUAAUUCAAAAUUAGAGGCAUUAUCGUUAUAUUGACAUGUGUCACCAUCCCACAACCUCUCCAAUGAAAAAUUGACAUGCAUCUUGUGUGCUUCUUAUCAAAAUCCUGAAAAUUAAUCACAAAAGUUAUAUUUUUAUUAUAAAAAGAAGAAAGAAACUCCAUGAGUGAAGAAAAAAAAAAAAGACUUACAUUAAUAGUUUGGAUAAUCUAGAUUUCAAGUUGUCUAUAUUAGCUUGAUAUUUUUAUAAAUAUCAAGAUUUCAAGUUGUCUAUAGUAGCUUGAUAUCUUCUAAAAAAAACUCCAUCAACAUAUAUUUUAAUUUUACGUUAAUUAAUAAAUAGAAAAUCCAUUUUAGAAUUAAUUAAAGCAUUAUUUAUUGUUGCCAAAGAAGGAAGUAUUUAGCGAUAAGAAAAAAGUGUCUCAAAUAUAUGUUUAAAAAAAAAUAAUCAUGGUUGGUUGGACUGAUUGAAUUUUUCUUUUCUUUUUUCUUUUUUAAGAACUAAGACAAUUGGAUUGAUUGAGUAAUAAUAAAAUAUAUUUAUUUGGCAAAUGGCAGGUAGGCUUUCUUCUGGUGCAGAUUGAUUAGAGAGAAUAUAUAACAAUUUUAAGCUCGUAAGAUUCGGAACCUGCUUAUCUGUCGUGUGGGAAUCACUUCCGUGUCUUAUUUUUCUAGAAAAAUCUAGACCAUUGGAUUUACCAUUGGGCAGUAGAGAAAUGUUGAUCUUGAUUCCUGAUCAGGAUCGAAGUUUGAUUCUAUCUAACAUGAUAUCAGAUUGCGAAGCAAGCUAGUUGUGAGUAACUUGUUCUAUUUUGAUGGAAGAAACACAAGUUCUAAUAAAAAAUUCUAAGUAUACAUUUUUUUUUUUAAUUUUUUUAUUGUGAUCAAUAUAACUAGUCAAAUCUAUUUUUAAACAUUUUUUUUAAAUAUUUUGUUAACAAUGAUAUGAAAAUAUUCGAACCCCUCCUCAUAUAGUAAAGUGAAUUACUAUCCAACGAUCCAACUAACGUCUUCAAAUUGUAAAUUGCAAAUCGUGUGUUUGCUCCAUUACAGAGUUUCUUCAAUUUAAAAUAGAGAAUCGUUUGUGUUCUAGAUUAAUCGUGGGUCUAUAUCCAAAUCUAAAAAUUGACUAACUUGAUUUCUAUUAAAUUCUUAACCCUAACAAGAAAAAUAGAAGAUUAAAAAUGACUAAUUUGGUUUCUAUUAAUUUGAGUAACGAUUAAUAUUUAUCAUUCAAUAGUCACUUAUAUUAUCAAAAUCUUGGGUCGAAAAUAUUAGGAUAGGUGAUAAUUGGAAUUAAGUUGUAGAUAAGAUAGAAAUGGAUUUGGAGAGAGAUUGGAAUCCUGGGUAAAUCCGGUACACGUUGGUGUGUUAAAUUCUCGUUGACUUCACGUUGACCGAGGCAUUAUUGGAAGAAACAAGCAAGCUUAUUUUCUUCUCUCAUUUUUAACCUUUGUCUAAAUUUAUUGGUGUGAGGCCUUUGAGAUGGUAAAGUGUUAAAUCUGAGAAGAGUACCCACACUAUUACUCUUAUUUUAUCACGUUUUAUCACAAUAUUACUCUUAUAGUCAAUGUUUGAUUCGCACGAAAAAAAAUUUGCGAGGAUUGUGAGGGUUGAUGCAAUAUAAUUUAGAUGCAAAGUGUUUACAAGUGCGAUGCUUCGUAAGUGUACUCGAAUCAUUAUAAACUCACGUUAUUUUCAUAGUGAUUAUUUCAUUUGCACGUGAAUAUAAUCAUAUAUGUGGAGAAUUUUUUUUCCUAAAUUAUGGUCUUAUUUAGUAUUGAGAUGUUAUAUCUUUUAAAUUAUAAUUAAUAUUAGUAAAAAAACUGCAACUAUAAAAUAAAAGUUAAUAUUAUGUCCUGAAUAUAAUUGUUAAAUAAUAAUUUUGACAAAAUUAGUGAAGACAUACAGAUUUUUUUAUCAUAUAAGUGUAAAAUUCUAUCAACUUAGCUUUUAAGUUAUACAGCAUCUAUUGUUUACCAAAUACUUUAGUGUUGUAACUUUUAAGUUAUAACUGUCUAACCUUUAACCUCAAUCUCAAACGAGGCUUAUAAAGAUCAAGGAUUUCCUCAUAAAAAUUAUUACGUCAUGUGAUUGCUUAUUUAAUUUAUAUUUUCGUCAUUUAUCUUUAUUAAUUAAACAUGCACAUAUUAUUUCCUUUUAUUUUCUGCUUGGUAACCCGUAAAUACUAAUCCAGUACUACUAAUUUCAGACAGAAAAUUUUGAACUCUAGGCUGCAGUUUGACUCAAAAUGAUGGUCACUGGCUUCGCACCAUUUUACCGGUAUACAUUUCUACAAACUGAACAAGGCUAUUGAUUAUUAUUAUUAUUAUUUUAAUUUGUUUAUAAAUUACUAUUUUAAUUUUCACUUUUUAUUGGGUUGUUUAACGGAUUGGUGAAGCUGGUGGUCGUUGAUGCACUCACAAGGUACAAUUUUAUUUUAUAAUUUCAAAUUCGUAUUUUAAAACGCAGGUACAUUAUGUAUAUACAUAAUUAUUGAUUUUCGUAUGAGGGUGUUUUGAAAUAUUGCUAAAAGACCAAACUUUAAUAAACUAUUUUUGAUCUUUUUUUUUUUUCCUAAAGUUUGGGUGAUAUGCGCAUUUUAAAUUCACGUGGAACAAAAGUUAAUGUAUGUAUAAAAAUUCUUUUAUUUUACUGAGCAAAAUAGGCAAGCGAAAAAGUUUUGGCAAAUGAGUUGCAACUGAAUUCAAAACCAAUACAAUGCGAGCAUAGGAAAGAGGCCAGUGUUUAGGAUUUGAAUUUAGGUAGCGUUUACUUUUUGGAUUGGAUUGGGAAUCCUGGGGAGUGGGAAUCCUAGGAUUGAGAGUGUGGAGUGGGAGUGGGAGUAGGUUGUUUACUUACACUGGAAUGGAAGCAUGGAAUGGAGAUCAGAAUCCAAUUUAUGUGUUUACUUUGUCUUGGAUUGGGAGUAAAUAGUUUCAAAUUACAAUUUUAUCCUUAUUUAAAGAAUUAUAAUUUUAAUUACAAAACUAAUAAAAUAUAUAUUUAAUGAAUAAUAUUUAUUUUAUUAUAUUUGUAAAUUUAUUAUAAUUAUUAAUAUUCUUAAUUAUGAACAAUAAAUUAUUAAUUGUAAUUUUAAUAUAAAAUGAAAUGUUAUUUUAUUUAAUAUAAUUAUAUUAAAUUUAUUAUUAUAUAAAAUAAUAAUAUAAUAUUAUUUAGUACAAAAUUAAUAUUUUCUUAGAAUAAAGUAUUUAUUAUUAUUAUUAAAUAAAAUAUAGUACUAUUAUUUUUAAAAUAAAUAUAAUAAUAUUAUAUUUAUUAAUUCUCUAUUAAUAUAAUAAUAUUAUUUUAAAAUAAUUUUAACUUAGAAUCAAUGUAAAUUAUUAUUUAGUUAAAUAUAAUAUUAUUAUUUAAAUAAAUAUAAUAUUAUUAUUUAAAUAAAUAUAAUAUUAUUUAUUUUAUUUUAUUAAUUAUAAAACAUAAAAUAAAAAAAAAAAGGGUAGAAAUGGGAGAGGUGGGAGUGGAUUCCCACUCCCACCUCCCCCAAUGGGAGUCCCACUCCCACUCCCCACUCCAAAAAUGGGUGGGGCCCACGGAGUGGGACUCCCAAUUCCUUCUCAUUUUAAGUAAGUAAACGCUGGAGUGGGAGGAAUCCACACUCCUCACUCCCACUCCAGCAAGUAAACACAACAUUAGUAUUAAGCUGAAUUUUAUGGUAAGCUCUUUUAUAGUACUGUGAUUGAUAAGCUCAGCCCCGGAUUUGCUUUUGCUUUUGCUUUUACUUCAAGUGAAAGAGAGAGGAAACCUUUUGUUUUUUUCUUUGGUUUUCAACUAUGUUACCUAUACAAAGAGUCAAGAUACCUGCCAUAAGUGAUGGUGUUAAAAAGAUUAAGCAGCGCACACAAUCUUACUGUCGUCUAGACCAUCCAGUGAUGACUCUAGUCUUUUGGUUACGUUAGCUUUAGUUGAAAGAAGGGCCAAUUUAACAAAGACUAGAUUUGAUGGCUUACUAUGUUUAAUGUAAUGCUAAUUCUCAGGGAAUCUAAUGUUAUAACUUAUAAGACGAUCUCCUAUGAUGAAUAACAGUAACACAUUACUGUGAUUGAGAAAACUCAGUUACAAUAAACUAUUCAUUUACUCAUUGCGGAGAUUGAAUAGCAAAUAGAGAAUAGAAUGAAGCAGAGGAAUCUCAUUGCCAAUAAAAUUGACCCUCUUUAAUGUUAUAUGGCACAGGUGUGGAGGAAGAACAAGUUACUUGCAGUUUUUAUUGUAAAAUAUACAGGUAUGACCAUGAUCAUUACAGUUGGGUUUUGAUAAUUUCAGAUGCUUUUUAAAAAAAAAAAAAAUUAUGACAUCUUUGAUUUACGGUAGUUUUGCAGAAAAAAAAAUAUAAAAAUUAAGAGGGAUGAGUUAAACUGACGAUUACAAUCAUUCCAGCAAUGCUGAUGAGUGAUACAUCACUUGAAAUUUACUUGUCAGUUGCUGAAAUGAUGAAAAAAAAACAAUAAACGAUAACAGUAAUAAUGUUCCGUUGCUGAAAUUCAAUUUUGACUUUCUACUCUUGGCUUUUAUGGAAAGUAAAAUGACUUGUAUAUUAUCCUCAUACAAUCCACUCUACAUAAUGAUAUCAUUUUAAUAAGGCAAUGGCUGAUGAUCUCCAUUUAAAAACUACAUCAUUUUUUUUGCUUCAUUUAACUUUUUGGUUGUUGAAAAUAACCUUAAUUAUCAAAUAAUUGGAGAAAGAGUAAAGAACAUUUAACAAAUUUAUGUGCAAAAAAAAAAAAGGAGAAGUUGAAGAGAAAGGGUGCUUGCAGAAGUGGGUGUCAAAGAUAAAUCGGUCCAUAAGAAUUAUUGUGGUUAUUUUUUUGGCAAUAUAAGAACUUAUGCGAUAGCAUUUUUUAUGGGUGCAUAUAACCUCCCUUUAAAAAUAUAUAUAAUAAUUACUGCUUAAUAUAGUAUUAAAUACAAAAAUAUCAAUAUUUGACUACUUAAAUUUAUAUCAUUAGGUCCUUAAAAUUUAAAAUGGAAGAUAUGAAAGGAAAUAUAUAUAAAUUUCAUUGUCCUGGUAAAGGGCCCUCUUAUAAUCUUAUAAUAUUUGAACUUUGAUAGAUUUUUUGAAACAAAUGUACUUUUAUUUGUGUACAAUCAAUAUUUACUCAUUUAUUAUAUUUUAAUUUAUUAACUAUUAAUCAUGUAAGUAUACUUAGUCAGAAAAAUUAUAUCAAGAGAAAAUUCUAAUUUCACGCAAAAACAAAUACCAAAACAAAUAUCUCAAUUUCUAUACUAUUCACUUUCCUGUAGAAUCAAUUAUUUAAAAUGCAAGUUUGUGGCUACAGAAAACUCGCCAAAGAAAAAAGAUAAUAACAAUUGAGCAUUGAUAGCAAAACUAAUGCAUCCAAUUCUUCUUGACUUGAUGAGAUGGCGCCAUAACGUAGACACAAGUACCUAAAUUGACCGGCACUGAGUGAUGUGAAUACUACCAGCCAGUUCAUCUCUUCCAGUCUUGCUUAAUCACAAUCACAAACACCACGAGAUCGACAUUUGCAUUAUAUAUAUCUUCUGCAAUCGAAACACCUUGCAUUACCAAAUAAGCCCGUAACAGACAAAGCAAUCUUUCAUGGAGAGAAACCUUAGUCUCAGUAUGAUCACUGUGUCAUUAACCUACUGCCUGCUUCUUUGCUUGGUUGCUGCAGCAGCAGCAGCGGCAAGCAACAAUAUUACCACAGACCAACAAGCUCUUCUUGCCCUGAAAGAUCAUAUAAUUUAUGAUCCUACCAGCCUUUUAGCUCACAAUUGGACCUCGAAUACCUCUGUUUGUACCUGGAUUGGCAUCACUUGUGAUGCCAAUAGCCAUAGAGUCAAAACCUUAGAUAUUUCUCAAUUCAAUCUACAAGGCACCAUCCCUCCUCAACUUGGAAAUCUCUCUUCACUCACAACACUUAAUCUUAGUCAUAACAGGCUUUCUGGAAGUGUUCCCUCCUCCAUCUACACCAUGCAUACGCUAAAAUUUCUUGACUUCACUGAUAACCAGCUCUCUGGUUCAGUGUCUUCCUUCGUCUUCAACAUGUCUUCAAUAUUAGUAAUUCGUUUGACCAAUAACAUAUUUUCUGGUGAGCUUCCGAAAAAUAUUUGCAACUAUCUUCCUUAUUUGAAGGCCCUUUUCUUAAACAAAAACAUGUUUCAUGGCAAAAUUCCUUCUGCUUUAUCAAAGUGCAAACAACUGCAACAAUUAAAUUUGCAGUUCAAUAAUUUAUCCGGUGCAAUACCAAAAGAAAUCGGCAACUUGACUAUGCUCAAAGGGAUAUAUCUCCUCUACAACAAACUCCACGGUAUGUUCACAAUACUAUAUAAAUAUUUUAAUUUAUCACUUAUUAUCUUUCUUGAAUAAUUUAGUUAAGAUCUUGUAAGAGAGAUUUUUUGCAUCUACGUUAAUUUACCAGGUGAGAUACCCCACGAAAUCGCUAAUCUUCCAAAUCUAGAGGCUUUAGCGCUUGGAAUCAACAACGUAGUUGGUGUGUUACCAGCUCCCAUCUUCAACAUGUCAACACUGAAGGUACUUAUCCUCAUAAAUAACUCUCUCUCCGGAAGCCUUCCAUCAAGAGUAGACCUUUCACUUCCAACUGUUGAGCAACUUAACUUGGCACUUAAUAGAUUUUCUGGAACCAUUCCUAGUUCCAUCACCAAUGCUUCUAAGCUCACCUUUCUAGAGUUGGGAGCAAACACAUUUUCGGGGUUUAUUCCAAACACAAUUGGUAAUUUAAGAAACCUUAAGUGGCUCGGCUUGGCUAAUAACUCCUUGACAUCUUCAACCUCAAAAUUGAGCUUUCUUUCCUCUUUGGCAAAUUGCAAGAAAUUAAGAUUCGUAAACGUAAUAGGCAAUCCACUGGACGGCUUCCUUCCAAGUUCAAUAGGUAAUCUUUCUGUGUCUUUGGAAACACUUGGCAUCGGCAAUUGCAGUAUUAGUGGCAACAUUCCUCCAGCAAUUAGCAAUUUAAGCAACUUGUUGACCUUAGUAUUAGACGGCAAUAAAUUGACUGGACCAAUCCCAACUACAUUCGGCCAACUGCAGAAACUCCAAGGCUUAGAUCUUGCAUUCAAUAAGUUGGUAGGUUCAUUCCCAGAUGAGCUUUGCCAUCUGGCAAGGCUGGAUCAAUUGGUCUUAUUUGGCAAUAAGCUUUCAGGAUCUAUACCUUCAUGCUUAAGUAACCUCACUUCUCUAAGAUCUCUCUAUUUAGGGUCCAAUAAGUUUACUUCUGUUUUUCCCUCAACCUUCUGGAGCCUAAAAGACAUCUUGUUCUUUGACUUUUCAUCAAAUUUCUUGGUUGGUCCUCUUUCUUUAGAUAUAGGAAAUUUGAAGGUGCUUCUAGGAAUAAGUUUAUCAAAAAAUAAUUUAUCCGGUGAUAUCCCAGCCACAAUUGGAGGACUGAAAGAUCUUCAAUUUAUGGACCUAGCAUAUAAUAGAUUGGAAGGCCCAAUUCCUAAAUCAUUUGGUGACUUGAUAAGUUUAGAAGUUCUGAAUUUAUCAAAUAAUAAAAUCUCUGGGUCUAUUCCAACAUCCAUGGAGAAACUCUUUUACCUCGGAGAGUUAAAUCUCUCUUUCAAUAAACUAGAAGGUGAGAUUCCUAGUGGAGGAACUUUUGCCAACUUCACAGCUGAGUCAUUUAUGGGAAAUGAGUUUUUGUGUGGUUUACCAAAUCUUCAAGUCCAACCAUGCAAAGUUAGCAAGCCGAGGACAGAACAUAAAUCAAGGAAAAAGAUACUUCUCAUUGUGAUUGUUUUGCCAUUGAGUAUUGCUCUAACAAUAGCAAUCACUCUAGCUCUCAAAUCUAAGCCGAUCGAAUGUGGAGAAAGAAGCACAGUGUUGUCAAAUGAUAGUAUCUUGUCAUCACAAGCAACACUAAGAAGAUUUUCAUACUUAGAACUUUUACAAGCAACAGAUAAUUUUGCUGAAAACAGCAUAAUUGGCAGAGGAGGUUUCGGUUCCGUUUAUGGAGCAAGACUUGAAGAUGGGAUGAAGAUUGCAAUAAAAGUGUUUCACCGGCAAUGUGCAAGCGCAUUGAAGAGUUUUGAGGCUGAAUGUGAAGUGUUAAAAAAAAUUCGCCAUCGAAACCUUAUCAAAGUUAUCAGCAGUUGCUCGAACGAUGACUUCAAAGCAUUAGUCCUAGAAUACAUGUCCAACGGGAGCUUAGGGGAUUGGCUGCAUUCGAGCAAUUACGUGCUGAAUAUUUUUCAAAGGUUGAACAUAAUGAUUGACGUUGCAUCAGCUUUAGAAUACCUCCACUUCGAUCAUUCAACUCCUAUUAUUCAUUGUGACUUAAAGCCUAGUAAUGUAUUGUUGGACGAAAAUAUGGUUGCUCAUUUGAGUGAUUUUGGCAUAGCAAAGCUUUUAAGUGGAGAAGAUGAGUCUACGAUGCGAACAAAAACCCUUGCCACUAUAGGUUAUAUGGCACCAGGUUUGCUUCAAACAACUUUUUUUUUUAAGUUCAUUUUAAAUUUUCUAAAUCAUUGAUUUUUACGAUCCUCAUAUCAAAUUGUUAUUGAUUAUUUAUCUAAUUGUGAAAUUAAUUUGAUUCAUAGAGUAUGGCAUAGGAGGAGAAGUAUCUACAAAAAGCGAUGUUUACAGCUACGGGAUUAUGUUGAUGGAAACUUUUACCAAGAAAAAACCCACAGAUGAAAUUUUUGUUGGAGAAUUGAGCUUAAAGCAUUGGGUUAAUGACUUGCUUCCUAAUUCAUUAGUGGAAGUUGUGGACAAAACUCUGCUAAGUGGAGAGGAAAAACAUUUUGCAUCAAAGGGGCAAUGUCUGUUGUCUAUCUUUAGUUUGGCUCUGGAGUGUACAAUGGAAUCACCGGAAAAGAGGAUUAAUGCAAAAGAUAUUGUUACCGGAUUACUCAAGAUAAGAGACACAUUGAGUAAAAGGAUAGGAAAUUUAAGUUAAUUUCGUUUGCUUUCAUUGAUAGUUAAUUCGAAUUCAUGUAAUAAGUGCAAGAAUCUUAUAUCUUUUCCUUUGAUAUAUUCUUUUUCUUGAGAAAACUGUUGUAGUCAUCUUGUUUCCAUGGGAAGAGUUGAUUUAGUUCUUCCAAAAAAUGCUACUGAUGACCUUUGUUUAAUACUUUCUCUUUUUUUGCACGUGUUUAGGUAGAACAGUGGUUUGGCUGCAGGCUAAUAAGUCAAGCUACGCCAAAAGCGUAUGAUUUAAUUUAUUAAACAUAACUUCAAGUUCAAGAAGUGUUUCUCAUUGCCACCAAUGCUUUGGACACCUGUUGGAAGGUUUGUUGUCCUCAGCUUUUGUUUAGAGCAAAAGUUCGAGUCCCAUAAAGGCUCAAACAUUCCUUUCCUUCAUCCCGAGGGCGCCUUCUGUCCUCUGUUUUCUGUUUCCACACACAAAUAGCAAAAAGAAAUUAGAAUGACAACUGGGACAUAUAUAAGAGUGAAAUAAUUAAAAAAAUUAUGCUUUUUUGUCUGUCGUGUUAAAAUCGUAAGUACCGAAGUACUGUGAAAGAGAUUAAUUUACAGAAACUGAAGCCAAGGGUUCAAAAAAAAACUAUUGAUGUAGCUAGGAUGCAAUGUCAUAUUCAUACAGAGAUGAAGUAUAUUAUUUACGGCUGGUAAAGACUAGGAAUUGAUGUAGCUAGAAUCCAAAGAUGAUAAGGUAUGUUGUGCACUAUUGUUUUAUUCUACGGUCAAUCUUGACCCUUGGUGCUUGGCUCUCAAUCUUGUCCAUUGAUCUUCUCUGAUCUUGGAAACUUCAAGACCUUUCACUCUCAUGCCUUAUUAUUGGUGUCUUCCAUGCUGUAGCUUUCAAAUACAAGCUUUCCCGCCAACUUGCCAAUUAUUUGUCCGUUGGUGCAUUUUAUCAAACAGUUUGGAUACUUAUACCAAACGCCUUCUGUUUUAACUCCCCCCCUCAAGCUCAAGCAUCUGGGAAGACAUUAAUAAGCUUGUUUCUCAAGUAUAUAUAUCUGAAAAUUAAAUUUUAUAAAUUAUAUUCGGACUCUACAUUUUCUAAUGAACAUUGGUUUGGCUUAUAAGCUUAUUAUACUCAGGUUUGGUAGGAGCCAUAUCACAAUGUUAACGCUAACCAGCAGUACUGCCAAAGCUGGCCAACUCAGCCUGCAAGUUCAUAGCAACCAUAGUUACAGUCCUAGUCCGGUACAAAAAUCGUAAAUAUCAUUUACAUUACAAUGGUGUGGGGGGGGGGGGGGGGGUUUGUUGGGUGGCUGGAGAGGGAAUCAACAAAGAUCUAGAACGAAGGGUAGGCUUGUAUCCGUAACCCAUGUCACAGUGUUAAUGCUAACCGUGGACCUUAUUAUAUUAGUUGCUGGACUAUUAUUACUUUUGAAUUGCCAUCUUUGAAUUUACGUUCAUUUCUGCCUCGACAAGAUGUUUGUAAAAAUAUGCUAAUUAUUAAUGUGCCGUGUACAAAUAAGCAUGUUACUGUGCAAGGAUUGUAGUCAUGAUACAGUGGUGCAAAAUGUACAUGCUACUUCUUCUUUUCCUCAGUUAGGAUCACCGUCGUCACCAUUUAAUUCUAAGUCCACCCAUGCGGCCUAUGCAAUUGAAAUCAUGUGACCAUGUAAUUUUAGGUUCUGAUCUUCCUUGUGGGGUUAAACCUCAAAACUGUGACCAUUUUGGGACUUUUAAUCAGUUCCAAUCAUUUUCUGGUUCCCAUUCGUCCACCCAAGCCUUGAUUCCCCCGAUAUAGCAUUGCAAUAUAUAUAGGAAUAUUAAGGUUGUGUACAGUUUUUUUCUUUUCUGUUUUUAAUUUGAUAUAAAUUAUCAAUCAUGAAUCUACAUAAAGUUUCAACUAGGCUACUACCACAAUAAACAUUUGGAUGAACUAUUAUUGAAACCUUAUUGAGAAGUAGGACAUGUCGCAUACCAAUGCACUGACAUAUCUUCAAAUAGUGGUAACUCCACACAACAUGGCACAAUAAAUUAAGAGUUAUAUAGAUAAAAUCUUUCACUCUUUGGUAAUCAUCAAUGUCGGCAUGACAAUGCGUCCCACAAAUAUGGCUCCUUAUCAAAAUUCAUAAAUCAAAACAAAAAUAGAGAAUCAUAUUUGUUCUAGAUUGUAGUGAUGGUUGUUGAUGCACUCACAAUUUACAAUUUUAUUUAAUAUCUUCAAAUUCGCAUUUUAAAAUGCCCAAAUGUUUGUGUAUACAUAAUUAGUAAUCGAUUCUCAAGCAUGGCCAUUUAAAAGCAUUGCUGAAAGACAAAAUUUUAAUUUACUAUUUUUUGUCUUUUAAUUUUCUUUAAGUUUUUAAUGAUUCCGCAUUUUAAAAUCCUGUGGAACGUGUAUGUAAAAUUCUUUUAUCUUUUAGAGGAAAAUGGGCAAGAGAAGAAGAUUUGGCAAAGGAAUUGCAACCGCAUUUGGAGCUAGUUUUAAUUUUGUCUUUUAAUUCUUUUACACUUGGCUUUUGUUAUUGAUGUCAACUUCGAUGUGUGUGAAGACUCGAGCUCACUCCCUUAUGAGCUAGUUUUAUUUUUCUACUUUCACAUUAAGAAAAAUACUCCUAUUUUUAAGGAAAAGUCAAGUACCUGUAGUUGUGAAGACUCGAGCUCACUCCCUUAUGAUAAAUCUUCAUAUUAAUUACGUAAAUAUCCUCUAAAAUUUUAAAUUAGCUAUUCAAAAUUUGAUGUUAUACGGGUAUUUCAUUUAUUUGAGUAGGGGUUGGGGGUCAAUUGGAUACAAAUUCAAAAUUAUCCUUACUUGAGAUGGUGAUAAAAAUUGGGGAUUUAAUUUGGAUGUCAUUAGCUACAAAUAUUAAACUCAUACAUUUAAUUCAAAAUUGGAAAGCUGAUAUAUGCGCAUCAUCCCACAACCUCUCCAAUGAAAAAUUAACACGUUUCUUGUGUGCAUUUGAUCAGAAUCCUGAAAAUUAAUCACAAAAUUGUCCUGGAAAAAAAAAUGCUUACAUAAAUGGUUUGAAAAAUCUAGAUUUCAAGUUGUCUAUAUUAGCUUGAUAUUUUUAUAAAUAGUCAUCCUCUCAAAAAAAUUCCAUCAAAAUAUAUUUUAAUUUUAUGUUAAUUCAUAAACAUGAAAAAAUCAUUUCAGAAUUAAUUAAAACAUAAUUUAUUGUUUCUCAAAAAAGGUAGAACUUAGUGAUAAGAAAAAAGUAUCUCAAAUAUAUGUAAAAAAAAAAAAAUCUUGGUUAGUUGGAAUGAUUGAAUUUGUUUUUUUUUUCUUUUUUAAGAAUUAAGACAAUCGGAUUGAUUGAGUAAUAAUAAUAUAUAUUUAUUUGGCAAAUGGCAGGUAGGCUUUCGUCUCAUGCAGAUUGAUUAGAGAGAAAAUAUAACAAUUUUAAGCUCGUCAGAUUCGAAGCUGCUUUCCUGUCGUGUGGGGAUCACUUCCGUGUCUUAUUUUUCUAGAAAAAUCAGGACCAUUGGAUUUAUGCGAAUCGUACUGAACAUUGGAAUUGAUGUAUAAGAAAAAAAUUCUGUAGUUUAAGAAGAACAAAAAGGCAUGUUGAAUAGAUUACAAUAGUUUAAGGAAAAAAAUUAUUCAAUUGGGAAUUUUUUUUUCUUUAAUUUUUGUUGUACUUGAUUGAGAUUUCUCCUUAGUCCUUAGAGUUUUAAGUUUGGAAACCGUAGGAUCAGUAAUUUCGUACUUCCUUUGCAAGCUGAGUAUAAGGAUGAAAUUCUUUUAAGAAAUUAAAAAAGAUAAAAAAAAAGCAUACCAAUAGGUAAUUAUAAAUAACCACAAAUAAAUAUAAACAAAAUGUUUAUGAAGUAAAUUAAACAUGCUCAUAUUAUUUUCUUUUAUUUUCUGCUUGGAAACCCAUAAAUACACUAAUCCAGUAUUACUAAUUUCAGACAGAAAAUUUUGAAUUUAACCAGUAUACACUAAUCCAGUAUUAUUUUUAUUAUUAUUUUAAUUUGUUUAUAAAUUACUAUUUUAAUUUGUUUAUAAAUUACUAUUUUAAUUUUCACUUUUUAUUGGGUUGUUUAACGGAUUAGUGAAGCUGGUGGUCGUUGAUGCACUCACAAGGUACAAUUUUAUUUUAGAAUUUCAAAUUCGUAAUUUAAAAUGCAGGCACAUUAUGUAUACAUAAUUAUUGAUUUUCAUAUGUGGGUGUUUUGAAAUAUUGCCAAAAGACCAAACUUUAAUAAACUAUUUUUGAUCUUUUUUUUUCCUUUGUACCUAAAGUUUGAGUGAUAUCCGCAUUUUAAAUUCAUGUGGACCAAAAGCUAAUGUAUGCACAAAAUUCUUUUAAUUUUUUCCGAGAAAAAUGGGUAAGAGAAGAAGAUUUUUCUCUUGAAAAAGAAAAAAUAAUACGUUGCAAGCAUAGGAAAGAGGCCAGUGUUUUGGAUUUGAAUUUAGUAUUGGGUUGAAUUUUAUGCUAAGCUCUUUUAUAAUACUUUAUAGAAUAAAAAUGUAAGGGAUAUUUGGCUAGGCAUGUACUUUAUAGAAUAAAAAUGUAAUAAUGUAAGUCAGUGCAAUGAUCUGCUGUCAUAGUAGUUAUAAAUAUUUAUGUGUAAUACAGUAACAUGAUGCUUAAUCAGUUAAAAAAAAAUUGUAUAUCUUUUUUUAUUUUUUUUAUUGUGAUCAAUAUAACUAGUCAAAUUUAUUUUUAAAUAUUUUUUUAAAAAUAUUUUUAUCGUGUGUUUGCUCCAUUACAGGGUUUCUUCAAUUUAAAAUAGAGAAUCAUUUGUGUUCUAGAUUAAUCGUGGGUCUAUAUCCAAAUCCAAAAAUUGACUAACUUGAUUUCUAUUAAGUUCUCAACCCUAACAAGAAAAAUAAAAGAGUAAAAAUGACUAUUUUGGUUUCUAUUAAUUUGAGUAACGCUUAAUAUUUAUCAUACAAUAGUCACUUAUAUUAUCAAAAUCUUGGGUCGAAAAUAUUAGGAUAGGUGAUAAUUGGAAUUAAGUUGUAGAUAAGAUAGCCUUUCAAAAAAAAGAAAAGAAAAAAAGUUGUAGAUAAGAUAGAAAUGGAUUUGGAGAGAGAUUGGAAUCCUGGCUAAUCCGGUGCACGUUGUUGCGUUAAAUUCUCGUUGACUUCACGUUGACCGAAGCAUUAUUGGAAGAAACAAGCAAGCUUAUUUUCUUCUCUCAUUUUUUACUUUUGUCUAAAUUUAUUGAUGUGAGCCCUCUGAGAUGGUAAAGUGUUAAAUCUGAGAAGAGUACCCACACACCCAUUUGUUGGAGGAUUAACAAUUAAAACACACUAUUUUAUUUCUUCAACAACACUCCUCACCAAUUACAACUCUUAUUUUUCACUCUCUACACCUUAGAGAUUUUGCUGCUUCACUUGAUGUUUAAACCAAAAGGGAGAGGGGGUAUUUAUAUAUGAAACAAACUAAUCACAACCAUUCAUUUAUUCAACUAAUAAACACAUCCUCACCAUCCAUUAAAACCUACCACUCACCUACUUCACCAACCACACCUAACACACCUAACACAAAUAAUUCAAACCUCACCAACCAUACCUACUCAUGGAACCUUCCAUGAGUUGGGCUUGAUUUAUUCAUCUUGGAUCAAGUUUAUGAUCCAACACCUCUCCUUAAACUUGAUCCUGUGACACCAAGCAAACUUCUGAAUCUUACAAAGUCUUCUUGUUUGAGUGGUUUAGUGAAGAUAUCAGCUGCUUGAUCUUGUGAUUUUACAUACUUGAUUUGCACUUCUUUUCUUGCAAUACACUCUCUUAUGAAAUGAUAGCGAGUGGCUAUGUGUUUACUUCGAUCAUGAAAGACUGGAUUCUUGGAUAGGGCAAUUGCUGAUUUGUUAUCAACACAAAUCUCAGUUGGCUCUUCUUGUGCCAAACUCAACUCCUUUAGCAAAUUUCUGAGCCAAAUUGCAUGACAAACACUUGAUGUGGCAGCUACAUAUUCAGCUUCACAGGUGGAUAGCGUGACAAUUGGUUGCUUCUUUGACAUCCAUGUGAAAGCAGUAUCUCCUAUGAAGAACACAAAUCCUGUGGUGUUAUUUCGAUCAUCUACAUCUCCACCCCAAUCGCUAUCGCUAUAUCCAACAAGCUUGUAGUCAUUAGAAAAUGAGUAUAGCAAGCCGAAAUUAGUUGUACCUUUGAUGUAGCGAAGGAUUCUUUUUGCAGCUUUAAAAUGGGUGGUCUUUGGAUUCUCCAUGUAUCGGCUCACAAGUCCAACAACAUAAAGGAUAUCUGGUCUUGUGCAUGUCAAAUAACGUAGGCUUCCAACCAAACUUUUAAAGAAUGUUGGAUCUAUAUCUUCGCCUUCAUCAUGUUUGGAUAACUUGACUCCGCAUUCCACUGGCGUGCUUAUAGGCUUACAAUCAUUCAUCUUGAACUUCUUGAGAAUCUCCUCUGCAUAGCUUUCUUGGGAGAUAAAUAUGCUUUCUUCCUUUUGCUUGACUUCAAUGCCGAGGUAAUAUGCCAUCAGUCCGAUGUCAGUCAUCUCGAACUCUUUGAUCAUCACUCUCUUGAACUCUUCAAACAAGCCUGGAUUACUUCCAGUGAAAAUGAGAUCAUCCACAUACAGGCACACAAUCAAAAUAUCUCCAUAUUUUUCUUUGACGUAGAGAGCAUGUUCAUAUGGGCAUUUGGUGAAGCCUUUCUCUUGAAAAUACUUGUCAAUUCUGCUAUUCCAUGCCCUUGGUGCUUGCUUUAACCCAUAAAGAGCUUUCUUCAAUCUCAAAACUUUGUCCUCGUGUCCUUUCACCACAUAGCCUAAUGGUUGUUCGAUGUAAACUUCUUCUUCAAGGAAUCCAUUCAAGAAAGCAGACUUCACAUCCAUUUGAAAAAUCUUCCAUUUGUUCUGAGCAGCCAAAGAAAUAAUAAGUCUAAUAGUUUUAAGUCGAGCUACAGGAGCAAAUACCUCGUCAUAGUCUAUGCCAGCCUUUUGACUAUAGCCUUUUGCAACUAGCCUCGCCUUGUGCCUUUCAAUUUCUCCCUUCGCAUUUCUUUUUGUUUUAUACACCCAUUUGACACCGAUCGCCUUGUGACCUUUUGGAAGAGUAGUAAGCUCCCAAGUAUCAUUCUUCACAAUGGCUUUGAUUUCUUCAUCCAUUGCAAUUCUCCACUUCUCAUCUAGUGCAGCUUCUUGGAAGUUGACUGGCUCACAAUCAGCAAAGAGGCAAAAGAGAGUGAGAUUAUCAUGUCUCUCAGUUACCUCAUAGAGAUCUUGAAGACUCCUUGCACGUUCUUCGGUUCUUUCAUUUAAGAAAGACGGCGGUGAAUCUCCGCAUGUGGUUGGUGCUGGUGAGAUAGGUGGAGUGGCAGGCUCUUGUUGUUCGUCUACUUGUUUUACCUGUGUAUGAUCAUCUUCUUCAAUGGGAAAGAAGUUGAAGUCAUCCACACCAGAGCCAAAAUCUCAUUCUCCUUCUUCAUCAAAAAUUACAUCUCGACUGAUCACAAUCUUUCCGUUGUUUGGAUUGUAAAGCUUGUAUCCUUUGGAGUUGUUGUCGUAGCCGAUGAAGAUGAACAACUCACUUUUGUCAUCCAGCUUGGCUCUACUUUCGUCUGGUACAUGUACAUGGGCAAUGCUUCCGAAAACUCUUAGAUGGGUGAUGCCAGGUUUUCUUCCACUCCAAGCUUCUUGUGGCGUCUUGCCCCACACGCUUCUUGUUGGAGAUCGAUUGGAUAAGUAGAUUGCACAUGCAACUGCUUCAGCCCAAAAUUCUUUAGGUAGCCUCUUACUCUUAAGCAUGCUUCUUGCCAUGUCGAGGAUGGUUCUGUUCUUCCUUUCUGCAACACCAUUUUGUUGGGGGGAUCUUGGAACUGUCAAAGGGCGUCGAAUUCCAUUUGCUUCACAAAACUCUAAAAAUUCUUUGGAAGUGAACUCUCCACCUCGAUCAGAUCUCAUGGCUUUAAUCUGGUAUCCACUUUCUUUUUCAACUGCAGCUUUAAACUUCUUGAAAGCUUCAAAGACUUCUGAUUUUUGCUUCAAAAAAUACACCCAAGUUUUUCUUGAAAAAUCAUCUAUAAAAAGAAUGAAGUAGUUACUUUUACCAAGGGAGUUUGGCUUGAAUGGACCGCACACAUCAGUAUGAAUGAGCUCGAGUGGCUUCUGAGCUCUUGAGUUUGACUCCUUUGGAAAGCUCUUUCUGAACUGCUUGCCAAGUAAACAUCCUUCACAAAGUUGAUCAGGGUGAUUGAUGUAUGGUAAGCCUUUCACCAUGUUCUUCUUAGAGAGUAGCUCCAGUCCUCUAAAGUUGAGAUGCUCAUAUCGAAGAUGCCAAGUCCAGGAUUGAUCUUUGUGACAGGCUUUGAGACAUUUUGCAACAUCAUUUUGAAUAUUUAAAGGAAACAUUCUAUUCUUUGACAUUCUCACUUUUGUAUUUAGAUUUCCUUUUUCAUCUCUUAGAAAAAGACUAUAAUCUUUUAAGUGAAUAUCAUAGCCCUUUUUCUAAAAGUUGACCUAAACUAAGAAUGUUGCUUUUCAUAUUGGACACAUAGUAAACAUUCGAAAUUAUUUGGUGGCUACCAUCUUUUGCACGAAAAAGAAUGUUACCUCUACCCUUCACUGGUACUUUUGAAUCAUCUCCAAAAGUGACACUGCCAUUCACAAAUUCACUUAGUUGCACGAACAUGCUUCUGUUUCCACUCAUAUGAUUGCUAGCACCUGUGUCAAGAUACCAUGUAUUUUCUUGACCUCCAUUUGUGUCAUUGCGUGCUAGUAAAAGUGUGUCAUCUUCACCAUUUUUCUCUUCAGCAUAGUUCACUCUCUCUUUAAUUCUGGUGCUUGGAGCUCUGCAUUCUGAAGCAUAAUGCCCAAACUUUUGACAAUUAUAGCACUGUACUUGGGAUUUGUCAUACCUCGAUCUUGAAUUGCCUCUGCCUUGUUCUCUGGUUGAGCUUUCUCCUUUGGCAUAAUUGGAGUUGUUGUUGUUGAAAUUCCAACCUCGUCCAUGACCACGACCUCUACCUCGUCCUCGACCUCUACCUCGGACAUAGUGCCUUCUCUCAUUGUCGGAGCUUUCUUCUCUUUUCUUUGGAUUGACUUCCAUCUUGAGAAGUUGUUCUUCGAUUCCUUGCUUCUUUUUUUGUUUUUCUUCAUAGGCUUGCAACCUUCCUUGAAGUUGCUCGAUCGUCAUAUCCUCCAGAUCUCUUGUUUCUUCAAUUGUCAUAACAAUAUGAUCAAACUUCGAGUCUACUGAUCGAAGUAUCUUUUCAAUGAUCCUUACCUCUUUUAACUCCUCGCCAUUUCUUUUUAAUUCAUUGGAAACGGUCACAACUCGAGUAAAGUAGUCAGAAAUUGACUCCGACACCUUCAUGUGUAAGGACUCAAAUUCUCCUCGUAAUGUUUGGAGACGAACCUUCUUAACUUGCUCUGCUCCUUUGUAAGAGGUCUUUAGUUUCUCCCAUGCUUCUUUUGAGGAGGUUGUACCAGCAAUCUUUUCAAAAGCAUCUUCAUCUAAUGAUUGAAAGAUGAGAUACUUUGCUUUAUUCUCUUUCUUCUUCAAGUCUUUUAAAUUCUCCUUCUGCGCCGCAGUUAAAGUGGCUUCAUUUUCUGGCACAAUAAAGCCUUUCUCCACGACAUCCCAUACGUCAUGUGCACUCAAUAGAGCCUUCAUUUUAAUACUCCAAUUGUCAAACUUACUUCCUUUUAAUUGUGGAACUUGAAAUGACAUCAUCAUACCACCGUUUGCCAUAACUCACAAAUUGAGUGAGAAUUUGGAGAUUCUGAAUGCACAGAUGGAUCCGGCACGUCGAAAAACCUUGGGAAGGACUCGAGUCAACUUUCGGUCAACGGUCAACGUCGGUCAACGGUCAACACCGGCUUGGUAGUCUCGGUUCGGUCCGGAUUGGUUCAGCUCGAGUUGGCUCGGUUCGACUUGAUUCGGUUCAGCUCGGCUCGGCUUGGUUCAGUUCGGCUCAGCUUGGUUCAACUCGGUGAGUCGACUCAGCUUCAGGACAUAAAACUUCCGGCGGCAGGUGUGGGCGCGUACGGUCUCGGAUCGGGAUGAUUUUUGCGGCGUCACGUUCCUCUCGUCGAGAUCUUCGAUUUGAUAUGCUAUAUGACUAUAUAUAGCAUCAAACACUAGCUCUGAUACCACUUUGUUGGAGGAUUAACAAUUAAAACACACAAAAAACACACUAUUUUAUUUCUUCAACAACACUCCUCACCAAUUACAACUCUUAUUUUUCACUCUCUACACCUUAGAGAUUUUGCUGCUUCACUUGAUGUUUAAACCAAAGGGGAGAGGGGGUAUUUAUACAUGAAACAAACUAAUCACAACCAUUAAUUUAUUCAACUAAUAAACACAUCCUCACCAUCCAUUAAAACCUACUACUCACCUACUUCACCAACCACACCUAACACACCUAACACAAAUAAUUCAAACCUCACCAACCAUACCUACUCAUGGAACCUUCCAUGAGUUGGGCUUGAUUUAUUCAUCUUGGAUCAAGUUUAUGAUCCAACACCAUUAUCCUAUUACUCUUAUUUUAUCACAUGCAGAGACGUCAACGUUUGAUUCGCACGGAAAAAAAUUUGCGAGGAUUGUGAGGGUUGAUUCAAUAUAAUUUAGAUGCAAAGUGUUUACAAGUGCGAUGCUUCGUAAGUGCACCCGAAUCAUUAUAAACUCACCUUAUUUUCAUAGUGAUUAUUUCAUCUGCAUGUGAAUAUAAUCAUAUGUGGAGAUUUUUUUUUUCCCUAAACGAUGAUCUUCUCUAGUAUUGAGGUGUUAUAUCUUUUAAAUUAUAAUUAUUAUUAGUAAAAAACUGCAACUAUGAAAAAUAAAUUUAAUAUUAUGUCCUGAAUAUAAUUGUUAAAUAAUAAUUUUGACAAAAUUAAUGAAUAUAUACAGAUUUUUUUAUCAUAUAAAUGUAAAAUUAUAUCAACUUAGCUUCUAAGCUAUACAACGGUUACUAUUUACUAAAUACUUUAGUGUCGUAGUUUUUAAGAUAUAUUUAUCCACCCUCAAUCCCAAACAUAACCUGUAAGGAUAAAAAAUUUCAUCCUAAAAAUUAUACGUCUUGUGACUUAUUUAAUUUAUAUUUUUGUUAUUUAUAUUUAUUAAUUAUAGUCAUCUUUUAAUAAAUUACAAUUGAAGGAAGGUGGUUGAUGUUGUCGAGACACACACACAAAGAUAUAUUGGAAGUGCUUAUGUCCACUCGAAGUUGUGGGGAGUUAAUGCAUGUAUUGAUUUAUUGGGAGUGUUAAUGCAUGUAUUGAUUGAUUGAGUGAUUGAAUACUGUUUGAUUGCUUCAUAUCAAUUCUAGAAAGUUUAUUUCUUUGUGAAAUUUCAACGAAACGUGUUUUUUAGAAUAAUAAGGGUGUUUUAAGUAAUUUUAAAAAAUGAAUGGACUAAUUAGAAUUAAUUAUUAGGUAAUUAACUCGAAUUGUAGAGGGUAAGCAAACAUUUAUCCUAAUUAUAUUAUGAUAAAUCCUUUUCCAAUUAGAAUUAGGAAACCAUAGAUAUACUGAAUUUUUUUUUAUUUCCCUUCGCGAAAACGGAUCAGAGAAUUAGAAAACAAUCCUAGUGAUACUAUUGUUAGGUUUAAAACACUGCAUAGAUGGUAAAAACAUUGGAAUUGAUGUAGAUUAAUUUGUUAAUUGCUAUCGUACUGAACAUUGUUUUAUGCAAAUUAAUUUGAGAAUUAGAAAAAAGUUUGUUGCAUGCAAACUUUUUGUUUUAUGCAAAUCGUACUGAACAUUGGGACUGAUGUUUAAGAAAAAAAUUCUGUAGUUAAAGAAAAACAAAAAGGCAUGUUGAAUAGAUUACGAUAGUUUAUUCAAUUGGGAAUUUUUUUUCUUUAAUUUUUGUUGUACUUGAUUGAGAUUUCUCUUUAGUCCUUUCGUACUUCCUUUGUAAGCUGAGUAUAAGGAUGAAAUUCUUUUAAGAAAUUAAAAAAGAAAAAAAAGCAUGCCACUACGCAAUUAUAAAUAACCACAAAUAAAUAUAAACAAAAUGUUUAUGAAGUAAAUUAAACAUGCACAUAUUAUUUUCUUUUAUUUGCUGCUUGGAAACCCAUAAAUGCACUAAUCCAAUAUUACAAUUAAUUUCAAACAGAAAAAAUUGAACUCUAGGCUGCAGUUUGACUCAAAAUGAUGACCACUGGCUUCGCACCAUUCAACCGGUAUACAUUUCUACAAACCGAACAACGCUAUUGAUUUUUAUUUUUUUUUUUAAUUUGUCUAUAAAUUACUAUUUUAAUUUUCACUUUUUAUUGGGUUGUUUAACGGAUUAGUGAAGCUGGUGGUCGUUGAUGCACUCAUAAGGUACAAUUUUAUUUUAGAAUUUCAAAUUCGUAUUUUAAAAUGCAGGCACAUUAUGUAUACAUAAUUAUUGAUUUUCAUAUGUGGGUGUUUUGAAAUAUUGCCAAAAGACCAAACUUUAAUAAACUAUUUUUGAUUUUUUUUUUCCUUUUUACCUAAAGUUGGAGUGAUAUCCGCAUUUUAAAUUCAUGUGGAACAAAGCUAAUGUAAGCACAAAAUUCUUUUAUUUUUUCCGAGAAAAAUGGGUAAGAGAAGAAGAUUUUUCUCUUGAAAAAUGAAAAAAAAUACAAUGCAAGCAUAGGAAAGAGGUCAGUGUUUUGGAUUUGAAUUUAGUAUUGAGCUGAAUUUUAUGCUAAGCUCUUUUAUAGUACUGCGAUUAAUAAGCUAGCUCAGGAUUUGCUUUUGCUUUUACUUCAAGUAAAAGAAAGAGGAAGCCUUUUGUUUUUUUGUUUGAUUUUUGACUAUAUAUGUUACCUAUAUAGAGAGUUGAGGUAGCAGCCUUAAGUGAUGGUGAUAAAAAGAUUAAGCAGUGCACACAAUCUUACUGUCAUCCAGACCAUCCAGUGAUGGCUCUAGUUUUUUUGUUACGUUAGCUUUAGUGGAAAGAAGGGCCAAUUUAACAAAGACUAGAUUUGGUGGCUUACUAUGUUUAAUGUAAUGCUUAUUCUCAGCGCACACAAUCUUACUAUGUUUAAUGUAAUGGUUAUGUUGAAUGAUCUUCUAUGAUUGUGAGUAGUAUAGUAUAAUUGAAAAGGGCCUGGGCUCCUAUGAUGAAUAACAGUAACACAUUACUGUGAUUGAGAAAACUCAGUUCCAAUAAACUCUUCAUUUACUCAUUGCGGAGAUCGAAUGGCAAACAGAGAAUAGAAUGAAGCAGAAGAAUCUCAUUGUUAGGUUUUGAUGAUUUCAGAUGCUUUUUUUUUAAAAAAAAAUUGUGACAUCUUUGAUUUACGGCAGUUUUGCAGAAAAAAAAAACAUAUAAAAAUUAAGAGGGAUGAGUUAACUGACGAUUACAAUCAUUACAGCAAUGCUGAUGAGUGAUAUAUCACUUGAAAUUUACUUGUCAGUUGCUGAAAUGAUGAAAAAAAACCAACAAACGAUAACAGUAAUAAUGUUCCCUUGCUGAAAUUCAAUUUUGACUUUCGACUCUUGGCUUUUAUGGAGAGUAAAAUGACUUGUAUAUUAUACUCAUACAAUCCACUCUACAUAAUGAUAUCGUUUUAAUAAGGCAAUGGCUGAUGAUCUCCAUUUAAAAACUACAUCAAUUUUUUUGCUUCAUUUAACUUUUUGGUUGUUGAAAAUAACCUUAAUUAUCAAAUAAUUGGAGAAAGAGUUAAGAACAUUUAACAAAUUUAUGUGCAAAAAAAAAAAAAAAAGGAAGAAGUUGAAGAGAAAGGGUGCUUGCAGAAGUGGGUGUCAAAGAUAAAUCGGUCCAUAAGAAUUAUUGUGGUUAUUUUUUGGCAAUAUAAAAAUUUUUUAGCAAGUAAAAAUAAUUUUUUUUCCGAUUUACUAAAAAAUUAACUAAAAACUUCUGCGAUGUCAUUUUUUAUGGGUGCAUAUACCCUCCCUUUAAAAAAUUUAUAAUAAUUACUGCUUAAUAUAGUAUUAAAUACGAAAAAUAUCAAUAUUUGACUACUCAAAUUUAUAUCAUUAGGUCCUUAAAAUUUAAAAUGGAAGAUAUGAAAGGAAAUAUAUAUAAAUUUCAUUGUCCUGGGAAAGGACCCUCUUAUUAUCUUAUAAUAUUUGAAAUUUGAUAGAUUUUUUGAAACAAAUGUACUUUUAUUUGUGUACAAUCAAUAUUUACUCAUUUAUUAUAUUUUAAUUUAUUAACUAUCAAUCAUGUAAGUAUACUUAGUCAAAAAAAUUAUAUCAAGAGAGAAUUCUAAUUUCACGCAAAAACAAAUACCAAAACAAAUAUCUCAAUUUCUAUACUAUUCACUUUCCUGUAGAAUCAAUUAUUUAAAAUGCAAGUUUGUGGCUACAGAAAACUCGCCAAAGAAAGAAGAUAAUAACAAUUGAGCAUUGAUGGCAAAACUAAUGCAUCCAAUUCUUCUUGACUUGAUGAGAUGGCGCCAUAACGUAGAAACAAGUACCUAAAUUGACCGGCACUGAGUGGUGUGAAUACUACCAGCCAGUUCAUCUCUUCCAGUCUUGCUUAAUCACAAUCACAAACACCACGAGAUCGACAUUUGCAUUAUAUAUAUCUUCUGCAAUCGAAACACCUUGCAUUACCAAAUAAGCCCGUAACAGACAAAGCAAUCUUUCAUGGAGAGAAACCUUAGUCUCAGUAUGAUCACUGUGUCAUUAACGUACUGCCUGCUUCUUUGCUUGGUUGCUGCAGCAGCAGCAGCGGCAAGCAACAAUAUUACCACAGACCAACAAGCUCUUCUUGCCCUGAAAGAUCAUAUAAUUUAUGAUCCGACCAGCCUUUUAGCUCACAAUUGGACCUCGAAUACCUCUGUUUGUACCUGGAUUGGCAUCACUUGUGAUGCCAAUAGCCAUAGAGUCACAACCUUAGAUAUUUCUCAAUUCAAUCUACAAGGCACCAUCCCUCCUCAACUUGGGAACCUCUCUUCACUCACAACACUUAAUCUUAGUCAUAACAAGCUUUCUGGAAACGUUCCCUCCUCCAUCUACACCAUGCAUACGCUAGAAUUUCUUGACUUCACUGAUAACCAGCUCUCUGGUUCAGUGACUUCCUUCGUCUUGAACAUGUCUUCAAUAUUAGACAUUCGUUUGACCAAUAACAGACUUUCUGGUGAGCUUCCGAAAAAUAUUUAGAGCUAUCUUCCUCAUUUGAAAGCCCUUUUUUUGGACAAAAACAUGUUUCAUAGCAAACUUCCUUCUGCUUUAUCAAAGUGCAAACAACUGCAACAAUUAAAUUUGAAGUUCAAUAAUUUAUCCGGUGCAAUACCAAAAGAAAUCGGCAACUUGACUAUGCUCAAAGGGAUAGACCUCGGCUACAACAAACUCCACGGUAUGUUCAUAAUACUAUACAAAUAUUAUCUUUCUUGAAUACUUUAGAUAAGAUCUUGUAUGUGAGAUUUUUUUGCAUCUAUAUUAAUUUUCCAGGUGAGAUACCGCACGAAAUCGCUAAUCUUCCAAAUCUAGAGGCUUUAGCGCUUGGAAUGAACAACCUAGUUGGUGUGUUACCAGCUCCAAUCUUCAACAUGUCAACACUGAAUGUACUUAUCCUCAUAAAUAACUCUCUCUCCGGUAGUCUUCCAUCAAGAAUGGACCUUUCACUUCCAACUAUUGAGCAUCUUAACUUUGCACUUAAUAGAUUUUCUGGAACAAUUCCUAGUUCCAUAACCAAUGCUUCUAAGCUCACAUUUCUAGAGUUGGGAGGAAACACAUUUUCGGGCUUUAUUCCAAACACAAUUGGUAAUUUAAGAAACCUUGAGUUGUUCGGCUUGGUUUUUAACUACUUGACAUCUUCGAGCUCAAAAUUGAGCUUUCUUUCCUCUUUGGCAAAUUGCAAGAAAUUAAGAGUCAUAGGCUUAACAGGCAAUCCACUCAACGGCAUCCUUCCAAGUUCAGUAGGUAAUCUUUCUAUGUCUUUGAAAACACUUCACAUCGCCAAUUGCAGUAUUAGUGGCAACAUUCCUCCAGCAAUUAGCAAUUUAAGCAACUUGUUGGCCUUAGUAUUAGAAGGCAAUAAAUUGACUGGACCAAUCCCAACUACAUUCGGCCAACUACAGAAACUCCAAGGCUUAGAUCUCGCAUUCAAUAAGUUGGUAGGUUCAUUCCCAGAUGAGCUUUGCCAUCUAGCUAGGCUGGAUGAAUUGGUCUUAUUUGGCAAUAAGCUUUCAGGAUCUAUACCUUCAUGCUUAAGUAACCUCACUUCUCUGAGAUCUCUCCACUUAGGGUCCAAUAGGUUUACUUAUGUCAUUCCCUCAACUUUCUGGAGCCUAAAAGACAUCUUGUUCUUUGACUUUUCAUCAAAUUUCUUGGUUGGUCCUCUUUCUUUAGACAUAGGAAAUUUGAAGGUGCUUCUAGGAAUAAAUUUAUCAGAAAAUAACUUAUCGGGUGAUAUGCCAGCCACAAUUGGAGGACUAAAAAACCUUCAAAUUAUGGACCUAACAUAUAAUAGACUGGAAGGGCAAAUUCCUGAAUCAUUUGGUGACUUGACAAGUUUGGAGGUUUUGAAUUUGUCAAAUAAUAAAAUCUCUGGGUCUAUUCCAAAAUCCAUGGAGAAACUCUUUUACCUUCGAGAGUUAAAUCUCUCUUUCAAUGAACUAGAAGGUGAGAUUCCUAGUGGAGAAAUUUUUACCAACUUCACAGUUGAGUCAUUUAUGGGAAAUGAGUUAUUGUGUGGUUUACCAAAUCUUCAAGUCCAACCAUGCAAACUUAGCAAGCCAAGGACAGAACAUAAAUCAAGGAAAAAGAUACUUCUCAUUGUGAUUGUUUUGCCAUUGAGUAUUGCUCUAACAAUAGCAAUCACUCUACCUCUCAAAUCUAAGCUGACCAAAUGUGGAAAAAGAUGCACAGUGUUGUCAAAUGAUAGUGUCUUGUCAUCACAAGCAACACUAAGAAGAUUUUCAUACUUAGAACUUUUACAAGCAACAGAUAAUUUUGCUGAAAACAACGUAAUUGGCAUAGGUGGUUUUGGUUCUGUUUAUAGAGCAAGACUUGAAGAUGGGAUGAAGAUUGCAAUAAAAGUGUUUCACCAGCAAUGUGCAAGCGCAUUGAAGAGUUUUGAGGCUGAAUGUGAAGUGUUAAAAAAUAUUCGCCAUCGAAAUCUUAUCAAAGUUAUCAGCAGUUAUUCAAACAAUGACUUCAAAGCAUUAGUCCUAGAAUACAUGUCCAACAGGAGCUUGGGGGAUUGGUUGCAUUCCAGCAAUUAUAUGCUGAAUAUAUUUCAAAGGUUGAACAUAAUGAUUGACGUUGCAUCAGCUUUGGAAUAUCUCCACUUCGAUCAUUUACCUCCUAUUAUUCAUUGUGACUUAAAGCCUAGUAAUGUAUUGUUGGAUGAAAAUAUGGUUGCUCAUUUGAGUGAUUUUGGCAUAGCAAAGCUUUUAAUUGGGGAGGAUGUGUAUGUCAUGCGAACAAAAACCCUUGCCACUAUAGGUUACAUCGCACCAGGUUUGCUUCAAACAACUUUUUUUUAGUUCAUUUUAAAUUUUCUAAAUCAUUGAUUUUUACGAUCCUCAUAUCAAAUUGUUAUUGAUUAUUUAUCUAAUUGUGAAAUUAAUUUGAUUCAUAGAGUAUGGCAUAGAAGGAGAAAUAUCUACAAAAAGUGAUGUUUACAGCUAUGGGAUUAUGUCGAUGGAAACUUUUACCAAGAAAAAACCCACAGAUGAAAUUUUUGUUGGAGAAUUGAGCUUAAAGCGUUGGGUUGAUGACUUGCUUCCUGAUUCAUUAGUGGAAGUUGUGGACAAAACUCUAGUAAGUGGAGAGGAAAAACAUUUUGCCGCAAAGGAGCAAUGUCUGUUGUCUAUCUUUAGUUUGGCUCUGGAGUGUACAAUGGAAUCACUGAAAAAGAGGAUCAAUGCAAAAGAUAUUGUUACCAGAUUACUCAAGAUAAGAGACACAUUGAGUAAAAGGAUAGGAAAUUUAAGUUAAUAUCGUUUGCUUUCAUUGAUAGUUAUUUUGAAUUCAUGUAAUAAGUGUACGAACCUUAUAUCUUUUCCUUUGAUAUUUUUUUCCUUGAGAAAACUAUUGUAGUCAUCUUAUUUCCAUGGGCAGAGUUGAUUUAGUUCUUCCAAGAAAUGCUACUGAUGACCUUUGUUUUAUACUUUCUCUUUUUUUGCAUGUGUUUAGGUAGAACAGUGGUUUGGCUGCAGGCUAAGAAGACUAACUACACUAAAAGAAUAUGAUUUAAUUUAUUAAACAAAACUUCAAGAAAAGUAUUUCACUGCCCCCAAUGCUUUGGACACCUACUGGUGGGUUUGUACGUGUCCUCAACUUUUUUUUGGAGCACAAAAUUCGAGUCCCAUGGAGACUCAAACAUUCCUUUCCCACAUCUCGAGCACGCUAAAUUUAUCAGACUGACAACUGGGACAUAUACAAGAGUGAAAUGUUUAGAGCACUCUAAGUUCGAGUGAAAGAGAUUAAUUUACAGAAAAUAAAGCCAAGGGUUCAGAAAAAAGUGCAAAGAGAAUAAAGGAACGUCUGAGCUAUUUAAAGCUUCAUGGAAAGUUGAAGGCUCUCCAUAUUUUGUUAGAAGAUAGUAUGCAACAUUGAUCUCUGUGACAUACUCCGAGUGCCACGUUGGCGGUCGUCUCUCACGAGUUGACCGACGAAUUUCUUGAGCCUCGGACUCGACUAGUUCUUGUUCCUCGUGCUCUGGUGCUGCUUCAGAAGAAUUUGAAUCUUUUGAAUUAUUUUUCACAUAUACCGGUACAGUCUCUGACUUUUCUUUUACAGUGCUAUCAUCCUCAUCUUUCCUUUGCAAUUGAUCUUCUAUAAAAAUAACAUCUCUGCUGAUGACGAUCUUGUGGGCAGUGGGAUCCCACAGACGAUACCCUUUUACUCCAUCAGCAUAUCCCAAGAAGAUACAUCUUCUAGAUUUUGCAUCCAGUUUUGUUUUUUCUUGAGCAUUGUACAUCACGUACACAGGACAUCCAAAUGUAUGUAGGUAGGAAUAAUCAGCUGGCUUUCCAGUCUAUAUCUCCAUCGCUGUCUUCAGCCCAAUUACUGUAGAUGGUGAUCGAUUUACUAUAUAACAGGCAGUUUUGGCUGCUUCUACCCAAAAUGAAUUGGGUAGACCAGCAGUCCUCAACAUAGCUCUUAUCCGUUCUGUAAUAGUUCUAUUCAUCCGCUCUGCCACUCUAUUUUGUUGAGGAGUGUAUGCCACCGUGAACUGUCUCUGAAUACCUUCUUGCUUACAGAAAACAAGAAACUCGCCGUCUAUAUACUCUCCACCAUUAUCUGUCCUCAAGCACUUGAUCUUUUUACCAGAUUCAAGUUCUACCGUGCUUUUAAACACUGGAAAUACAUCUGACUUUUUCUUAAUUGGAUACACCCAACAUCUUCUGGAAUAAUCAUUAAUGAAAGUCACCAUGUACUUUGCACCUCCCAUGGAUAUAUCCGGUGAUUCCCAAAUAUCAAAAUGAAUCAAGUCUAUAAUGCAUUUACUUCUAGCAAUAGAUCUACUGAAUUUUAAUUUAUGCUGCUUACUUGUAACACAAUGCUCGCAAAAUGGUAAACUUACCGAUUUGAGCCCCGGAAGCAAUUUUCGCUCAAAGAGAAUCUUCAAUCCUUGUUCUGACAUGUGGCCAAGUUUGAGAUGCCACAUCAUCGUUGACUCUUCUCCAUUUGACGCGACACAUGCAUCAGCCUCUUGUAGUGUUUCUCCUUUAAGCAUGAAUAAAUUAGCACCGAUCUUUUCUGCCUUCAUCAAUACAAACGCACCUUUAACGAUCUUCAUAAUUCCAUUCUCCACAUGAGUUUUGUACCCAUGACUAUCCAUUUGUCCCAAAGGUAAAAGAUUUUUCUUCAGGCCGUUGACAUGUCGUACCUCCCUAAUUGUGCGAAUUGUACCAUCAAACAUUUUUAUUUUGAUAGUACCAAUACCAACGAUCUCCAAGGCAUGAUCAUUACCCAUAUAUACAGAUCCUCCUGAGAUAGGUUCAUAUGUGUGGAACCAUUCUCUCCGAGAGGUCAUGUGUCAGGUAGCUCCUGAGUCUAUAAGUCAGACAUCAGAUAGUCGUUUUCUGCCUUCUAAAACAGUUGUUGCCUCGCUGUAGAGAAUUUCGCCAUCAUCCGAGGUACUUACGACACAACCCUGAGCAUUUGAUGACUUAGGUUCUUUGCCCACUCUUGUCUUCUAAUUACUCCAACACUCUUUCUUGACGUGCCCUUUCUUGCCACAGUUGUAGCAUUUAACAUUCUUCUUACUUCUAGAUUUUGAUCUACCAUGAUUUUGACUCCCAUUGGGGCCACGUUCCGUUGAUCUCCCUCUCGUCACCGAUAGCGCCUCCGCUUGCUGCGAACUUGCUUGUCUGUUUUUCUUAUUUUUUCGUCUGCUUUCCUCAUUUAAUACAGAGGCUGCAACAUCGUCGAAAACUAGACUGUCCACUGGAUUGCUGUUCGUUAGGUUGAUGAUGAGUUGAUCAUACGAAUCUGGUAGACUUUGAAGUAGAAGCUCUGCACGUUCAUUCUCCUCUAUAUUAUGACCCAACGUUGUAAGUUGUGAAAAUAGAGUCUUCAAGGUGUUGAUGUGAUCGGUUACCAUUAUAGAUUCCGCCAUUUGAAGAGUAUAAAGUUUCCUCUUCAAGAAGAUUUUGUUGUGUAGUGACUUGGCCUCGUACAAUUUUGUGAGAGUAUCCUAAAUUUCCUUCGCUGUAUUUUUCUUUGCCACACUGGAUAAUACUCCGUCUGCAAGUGCCAAGUGUAGAUCAGAAAUGGCAUUGCCAUCUAUCUCGUUCCACUUGUCAUCAGUUAUCUCCAUGGGCCUUUCUCCAAUUGCUUCCAAGUAAUUAUUUUUCCUCAAUACAACUUUCAUCUUAAUUUUCCACAACGAAAAAUUAUUUUCGUUAAAUUUCUCAAUUUCAUACUUUGCUGUCAUUUUGUUGAUAAAUAUUGUACACAAACUAGUGUAUCACCUUGAAUAGUUGUGAGUAUGUGUAAGAAUGCACACCAGAAAAGUUCCUAGGAAAGACUGGAGGGGUCACAAUAGUCCCACUUAAAACUCAGACUCCUUAAGCUCUUAUCGCCUUUGUGACAGAACUUUCCUAGACAUGUAUAAAACCACACAAUUGCUUUACUCACACCACUAUUCCCUGCUUUGUACCGCCAAAUUCUUCGAUCGCUCCCACCGUUUCACGUGAAUAGUACUGUAUACGUGAACAGUACCGUGUACGUGAAUAGUAUCCCUUACGUGAACAGUACCCAACUCUAAAAAAUACAAUAAAUAGCUCUGAUACCACUGUUAGGAAAUUGGUGGGUGAAGCAGGACCGCAGCUAAUAUGAAAUUGGAAGAAAAUAAAGAACAAGGACAAAAAGAGGAUACCAGAAAUUACGUGGUUCGGCUUUUAACCUACGUCCACGGGCGAAAACAGAAGGAAAUAUUUUACUCGUAAAAAGGAGUUACAAGUAUUGUAGUAUUUUAGCUCACUUUCCAAAAUCCCAAUACACCCAAACUCUCAAAACACUAAAACAAGAGCUUAUAAUUUCAAGCUCUCUAAACUCUCUCUAAAUACAAGAAAACUCUUCUCAAAAUUGGAUAAGCAAAUGAGGGAAUGAGCCCCUCUAUUUAUAGCCAAAAUCUUGGCUACUAUUCACUUUUUUUUAAAAAUUAUUUAUUAUUGUUCAAAAUUUCAACAUUCAAAGUUUGAUAUUCAAACUUUGAAUAUCUAGAAUUUUGAAUUUGAUAUUCAAAGUUUGAAUAUCUAGAAGUUUGAAUUUGAUAUUCAAAGUUUGAAUAUCAAGACACCCAAUCUUGACACUAAAUUCACCAGACUGACAACUGGGGCAUAUAGAAGAGCGAAAUAACUGGGACAUAUACAAGAGUGAAAUGUUUAGAGCACGCUAAGUUCGAGUGAAAGAGAUUAAUUUACGGAAACUGAAGCCAAGAGAAUAAAGGACAACACUUACGUGAAGCGACAUAAUUGUAUUGAAAGCACAAUGUCAAAUUCAUACGGAGAUCUAGUAUAUUAUUUACAGCUGGUGAGGGCUAAGAAUUGAUGUAGCUAGAAUACAAAGACGAUAAGGUAUGUUGUGCACUAUUGUUUUAUUCUACGAUCAAUCUUGACCCUUGAUGCUUGGCUCUCAAUCUUGUCCAUUGAUCUUCUUUGAUUUUGGACACUUCAAGACCUUUCAGUAUCAUUCCUUGUUGUUGGUGUCUUCCGUGCUGUAGAAUUCAUAUACAAGCCUUCCCGCCGACUUGCCAAGUAUUCGUUCAUUGAUGCAUUUUUAUCAAACAGCUGGGCUACUUAUGCCAAACACCGCCUGGUUUAACUCCCCCUCUCUAGCUCAACUAUCUGGGAAGACAAUUAAUUGAGAUAUGAAUCAGAAAAUUAAAUUUUAAAAAUUGUAUUCGGACUCUACAUUUUGUAAUGAACAUUGGUUUGACUUGUUAUACAUUUAUGCGUACAUAAUUAAUAACCGAUUCUCAAGUGCGGACAUUCAAGAGCACUGCUUAAAGACCAAAUAUUUUGAUUUACUAUUUUUUGUCUUUCAAUUUUCUUUUAAGUUCUGAUGACGUCCGCAUUUUAAAAUCCUGUGGAACAAAGGCCUGACGUGCAUAUAAAAUUCUUUUAUUUUUUCAGAGGAAAAUGGGUUAGAGAAGAAGAUUUGGCAAAAGAAUUGCAACGGCAUUUGAAACUAGUCUUCGUCUUUUAAUUCUUUUAUAUUUGUUUUUGUUAUUGAUGUUAGCUUGGAUGUGAACCCGUGUGACUGAAUUCAACUUAUAUUUGUUUUUGUUAUUGUUAUUAAUUUUAUUUGUUUUUGUUAAAUUGGACCACCAACAAGGGCGGUCCAUUAUCAAAUCAACACGGUUUAAUUAUUAUUAUUUCUACACUUUUUUUAUGAACAAAUAUAAAAUAAAAGGACAUUUACACCCUCAAUUUUAGUGAAAUAGUCAUUAACACCCCUAAAUUUUUAAAAGUAGACAUCAAGAUCAUUUUUUUACCUUAAUACUCUUAUACGGUACCUCUAUUAUUCCCAAAAAUUGAUUCUAAUGUUUUAUAAUAAAUAAAAAUAAAACAUUAAAAUAAAUGUAAUAACAUAUAUAUUUUAAAAUAAUUUCAAUAUUUAAAAAAUAUUUUUAACAUUUUACAAUCUAUUAACUAUAUUUUAUUAUAUUGAAGUAAAUUUUAUAAUAAAUAGAAUCAUAUUAUUAAAAUAAAUGUAUUAAAAUUUAAAUGAUUUUGAAUAUCAUGUACAAUAAUAAUUUUAACAUUACUAAUAUGUCAGAUUUUUUUUUAAGAAUGUAUUUAGUGCAAAUAUUUCUUUCAAAUCUCCACAAUAAAUAAAAGAUUAAAAUAAAUAUAAUAAUUUACAUAUCUAAAUUUAUUAAAAUAUUUUAAUAUUGUUAGUCUACUGCAUAGAUCACAAUAUUUAUAUAAUAUUUGUAUUUAUUAAAAACUUUAAAAUCAAUUCUUUUGAGAAUAAUAGAGGUAAAGGGUAUAAUGGUCAAAAUGGGGACUUUGUACUCCUUUUUGAAAACUUGAAGGUGUUGGUGGCUAUUUUUCCAAACCUUCAGGGUGUAGAUGUCAUUUUUCCACAAAUAUAUGAGAAAAUUAUCAAGAAAUACAGUAUCUGAACUCUGAAGUAACAAGGAUCACCUUUUAUGAAAUCGAUUGCUUUUCAUGAUAGACUGUUACUAUUUUUCUACAAUAGAUUGAAUUUAGUAAAAAAUUGAUUAAGAUGUCUACUCAUGGAGAGUGAAAUUUAUGUUCAAUACUAAUUUCAACAUGCAUGCACCACCGAACGUGUUUCUCACGGAAAAGUUGCUUGGAUUUUUGGGACUUCCUGUUCAAAUAUUCAACACGGCAUGCACCACGCGAUUGAACAUGCAAAAGUAGGGGUCUAUUAUCAUUUCCAGCAUUAUAGAAAUCUUAAUUUUGUUCAUUAUUUAUUUUGAUCAGCACUGUUGAAUCUCCAUGUAUUGCCAAUCACUGGGAAACAACAUAUUCUUAUUAAUUAUAUCCUCUAAUGGAGAGAACUCAUUGUCUCAGUGUAAGAUCACUGUGUCAUUAACCCACAGCCUGCUGAUUUGCUUGGUUGCUGCAGCAAGCAAAAAUAUUACCACAGAUCAAAAAGCUCUUCUUGCCCCAAAAGAUCACAUAACUUAUGCUCCAACCAAUCUUUUGACCGAAAAUUGGACCUCAAAUACCUCUGUUUGUACGGGGAUUAGCAUCACUUGUGAUGUCAAUAGCCGCAGCCUUGGAUAUUUCUCAAUUCAAUCUACAAGGCACCAUUAUUCCAAACACAACUGGUAAUUUAAGAAACCUUAAGUGGCUCGGCUUGGCUUAUAAACUACUUGACAUCUUCAACUUCAAAAUUGAGCUUUCUUUCCUCUUUGGCAAAUUGCAAAAAAUUAAGAAUCUUAGGCUUACUGGAAAUCCACUUGACCGUAUCCUCUCACGUUCAAUAGGUAAUCUUUCUAUGUCUUAGGAAAGAUUUCACGUCGCCAAUUGCAGCAUUAGUGGCAGAAUUCCUCAAGUAAUCAGCAAUUUAAGCAACUUGUUGGCAGUUGUGCAAAAUUUUAAUAUACUCGCAAGUGCACGAAUCUAGAAAUAGAAUAAUGGUAAUGAGGUCAAACCCAUAGGGAUUGUUUUAAAAUGACAAAAGAAUAGCUGCUGGUCUAGAGGUGGCUUACUACAUUCAUACAAGAUCGUUUCUUGUUCUCUAAGAUGUGCAUUAUACUAAUAAUGCUAUACAAACUUAUCCAAAGGUCUAUUAAUUAAUUCAUUAAUCCAACGGCUUGUUAGGUUGUCCUUUCAUCCAUACAGCUGCAUGCUUGUCUUCAUAUACACUGAUCUUAUCCUCUAGAUCUGUUCAGGCUGAGUGAUCUCUCACAUUUGCCAUAUCAGAAGAUUACAUGCCAGUAAUGUCAUGUGAUGACCUGUUGCUUGGUGAUGUCGAAUGCCUGGCCUUUACUUCUCUGAGCAAAUUGAUCAAACAAUUUGUUCAUUUUAUCGAACACCUUCACCAACUAACAUUUUAUUUACUUUGGAUGGUUUUUAAGUGCAUUUAAUGAUUAUUUUUGCUCCAACUUCAGAUAAACCAAACGCCAGUAUAUUAGAAGAAGAAGUUAACUGGCAGCUAACCAGGUCAAAAUAGCGACUCUAUAUAAAAAAAAUAUAUAAAAUAAAAAAAUGGGACUUUAUUUAAUUAAUUGUUGGUCUAAAGCUGUUGGUAUCCGUUGGCCACGUUUCUGAAGAGUCAUCUCAAAUCGAAAUUUUUAACGAACAAAGGACAUUGCUGCUGGCUGCCGCCCGUGAGAUAAAAGUGCUAAAAUCCAAAAUGUUCCACCAUCAUUUAUUCUAAUUUUAAUUUUCCAAUGGAAAAAAUUACAUAAUUAAAAUGGCUUCUAAUAUCAUUUCCACACCUCAAUAUGUGUCACUAUCAUAAAGUUGUUCUCAUGAUUCAUGGAAAAUUUGGAUUACAGCACCUGUACUUUCUGAUGGUUCAUUAUUUAUUCUCAGGAAUCGAGUCUCCUUACAUUACCAAACUAAUAACAAACAGGAAUCUUUUAUCCUUUCACGGUGAGAAAUUACAGUCUUCGUAUGAUCGCAGUGCCAUUAACCCACUGCCUGCUUCUUUACUUGGUUGUUGCAGUAGCAGCAGCAAGCUACAUUACCACAGACCAACAAGCUCUUCUUGCCCUGAAAGCUCAUAUAAGUUAUGAUCCAACUAAUCUUUUGGCUCAAAAUUGGACCUCAAAUACCUCUGUUUGUAACUGGAUAGGCAUUACUUGUAAUGUCAAUAGCCAUAGAGUUACAGCAUUUGGAUGAAUUUUUAUUGAAACCUUUCUGAGAAGUAGGACAUGUCAGACAUCAAAGCACUGAGAUAUCUUCAAAUAGUGGUAACCCCACUCAUCAAGGCACAAUAAAUUAUACAGAUAAAAUCCUCCACUCUUUCGUAAUCAUCGGUGUAGGCACGGUGAUGCGUCGGACAGAUAUGGGUCGGAUCCACUCCAGCUCCAUAUCAAGAUUCAUAAACCAUGACAAAAAUAGAGAAUCAUAGGUGUUGCAGAUAGUGAUGGUUGUUGAUGCACUCGUAAUUUAAAAUUUUAUUUUAUAUCUUCAAGUUCGCAUUUUAAGUGUACAUUUUUUUUUUAUUUUGUGAUCAAUAUAACUUGUCAAAUCUAUUUUUAAAUAAUUUUUUAAAACAUUUUAUUAACAAUGAUAUGAAAAUAUUCGACCCCUUUUCAUAGUAAAGUGAAUUAUUAUCCGACAAUCCAACUCAUGUUUUCAAAUUGUAAAUUGCAAAUCGUGUGUUUGCUCCUGUUAGAGUGCAAUUUAUGCACUAGUUUUGCAUUGUUUACUUCCCUUAAUAUCGAUGUUUUGCACUUAAUAAUAAUGAUUUACUUGUGUUUUACUUUUGUAGGUGCAAUUCUAUUGAUUUGUGAUAAAAUUGAGCUAUAAGAUGAUGUUUAAAGAUGAUUGUUCUCUUGGAGAAAUGAUGAGCGUCAGAAGAACUUUGUUGAUAAGGCGUGAGCGCGUGCUGUCAACUACGGGCCUGCUGUUUUUAGUUUAACGUGUUUUGUAUUUUUGGUUAUUUUUGUAAUUACGAAUUUAAUAUUUCAGAUAUUAGUAUUUUAUUUUAAAUAGAAUUCUAGAGGAGAAGAGAGAGAGAGUAUUUAAGGGAGGAAUCUAUUGUGAAAAAAGGGGAUUUUGGAUUGGAGGAAAAGAAAAGAAACCCUAGAUCUAAUUUUUCUCUUCUCUCUAUGAAGAACUAAACUUAUUUUUCUGGUUGAAGGAUAAUGAAGCUUUGAUUCAUCACUACUGUGAGAUCUUUCUUGUGCUUUAAUUGUUUUAUUGCUUUUUGGGUAUUUGUUUAUUCUCUGAAUUAUUUUCAUGAUUAUGUUUGUUAAUUAGAUAAUUGGCCACUAUUUAAUUAUCAACUUAAUCUAUUGUUAAUUAAAGGAUUUAUCGUAUGAAGAAUUUAAUGUUUGUGACAAAUAACAUAGCAGAGAGUUGUGUUGUGAGAAUAAACAAUCUAAUUUAAAUGAAUCAUCAUAUGUGUUGAUUAGGAUUUAGGUCUCUCUGGUUUUUCAGGCUGUCAAUUGAUUAAAUCCUAUGAUCGUAUCUAGGGUUGUCCAUUGAUUAGGGAAAUAUCCAACGGUCGUACCUUGGUUAUCGACUAAUUAAGGAGAGAUUGGCUAUUAGAGGGUCUCAGUAGCUAUAACCGGUCUAUUCAUAAGUAAUAAUAAUUUAUAUUUGAAUCAAUGAUCAGUAGUCGAAUCAAGCUGAGUUAAUUCCUUCAACCGGAGCUUUCUCCAAUUUGAAUUACAACUUUAAUUUGCAUUCUUGUUAUUUUAAUUUGAUUUUUAUUAUUGUCAACAAUUCCCCCAUUUUACGUUUUACGUUUCAAAAGGAUUUAAAUAAUUACCGAUCUCUGUGGACACGACCCUGCUCAAUCACUAUACACAAUUUAUUUAGAGUAGGAAUUUAUUUUUGUUGGCUUCGACAACCAUCAAAUUUUGGCACUGUUGCCGGGGAUUGGUGUCAUUUAUUUAAUCCUUUUUACGUUUUACUUGGUGUAUGAUUCGUUCUUCUCGUACAGGUACACUUUCGUUUGAUCCUGAAAUUGAGAAGAUAGCUCGCCACCUGAGACAGCAGACGAAGCGAGCUAAGCAACGAUCCUCGUCACCUUUGCUUUCUGAAACAGAUACGGUGCUUGAUUUAGUUGAAUCAUCUAGCGAUUCGGAAGAACAAGUGAUGGAUAGAGUUGCACCUGUAGAAAGAACUCUUAGAGAGUUAGCUGAACCAGACUUGAAUCAACAACCACUCUGCAUUCAAUAUGUAGACUUGGAGGUAAAUUUUGAAUUAAAGUCUGGUCUUAUUCAUUUAUUACCCAAGUUUCGUGGUUUUGCAGGUGAAGAUCCUCAUAAACAUCUUAAGGAGUUUCAUGUUGUGUGUUCAAGUAUGAGGCCACAAGGCGUGACUGAAGAGCAGAUUAAGCUGCGUGCUUUUCCGUUCUCUGUAGAUGGGCUAGCUAAAGACUGGUUGUACUACUUGCCUCCUGGAUCGAUUACAACGUGGAAUGGUUUGAAGAAGCAAUUCCUCGAGAAGUACUUUCCUACUUCAAGAGCUGCCAACAUCAGAAAAGAUAUUUGUGGGAUCAGACAACUUCCUGGGGAGACUUUGUAUGAGUAUUGGGAGCGAUUUAAACAAUUGUGUGCCAGCUGUCCUCAGCAUCAGAUUUCUGAUCAACUUCUUAUUCAAUAUUUUUACGAAGGACUGUCAUUGAUGGAUAGGAGUAUGAUAGAUGCUGCUAGUGGAGGCGUGUUGGUGAACAAGACCCCUACUCAAGCAAGGGAGCUGAUAUCAAAUAUGGCUGCCAAUGCACAACAAUUUGGCAGCAGGCAAGAUCCCACUUCAAGGAAGGUAAAUGAGGUAAAUAUUUCUUCUGUUGAACAACGUUUAGAUAAACUUACUUCUCUUGUGGAAAAGUUUGUUGUAGGUAAUGUGCAACAUAUGAAGACUUGUGGCAUUUGUUACAAUAUGGGUCAUUCAAUUGAUAUGUGUCCUACACUUCAAGAAGAACCCGUUGAACAAGCCAAUGCAAUUCAAGGAUUUCCAGGCAUGCCUCAGAGGAGGUAUGAUCCUUAUGCACAAACAUACAAUCCGGGAUGGAAGGAUCAUCCCAACUUCAGCUAUGGAGUUAGGCCGUCAGGAUUCCCACAACAGUAUCCACCAAGACAACCAGCACCUCCACAGUCAAACUCCAAGUCAGGUAUAUCUCUUGAAGAAAUUGUUAAAUCACUUGCGACUAACACUCAACAAUUUCAGCAGGCAACUACAGCAAGCAUUCAGAAUUUGGAGAACCAAAUGAGUCAAUUGGCGAUUACAGUGAGCCGUCUGGAGUCUCAAGUAUUAGGGAGAUUGCCUUCACAAUCUGAGGUGAAUCCAAAGCAAAACAUUAGUGCUGUCAUCCUUAGAAGUGGGAAGGAGUUGCAAGAGCCUAGUAAGAAAGUGACAAAGCAUGUAGAAGAUGAGUUUGAGAAGAAUGAAUUGAUGCCUCAAUCUCAAGAUGUGGAACCCACCAGAGCGAAACCCCUACCUAUUGUGAUACCUCCUCCUUUUCCAAGCCGGUUUGCAAAAUCCAAGAAGGAGGAACAAGAGAAAGACAUCCUUGAGACAUUUCGCAAGGUUGAGGUAAAUAUUCCUUUAUUAGAUGCUAUAAAACAAAUACCUCGAUAUGCUAAAGUCCUUAAGGAACUGUGCACCUCCAAGAGAAAAUUAAGAGGAGAUGAAAAAGUUCACAUGGGGGAGAAUGUUUCAGCAGUUCUCCAAAAGAAACUACCUCCUAAGUGCAAGGAUCCAUGUAUGUUUACUAUCCCUUGUAAAAUUGGUAGUGUUAGAAUUGAAAAGGCUUUGUUAGAUCUAGGAGCUGCUAUUAAUGUCAUGCCUCGUUCCAUUUAUUCAUCUUUAAAUUUGGUCCAUUAAAAGAAACUGGCGUGAUAAUUCAACUAGCUGAUAGGUCUAAUGCAUAUCCUGAUGGGGUAUUAGAAGAUGUCUUAGUACAAGUUAAUGAGUUGGUUUUUCCUGCUGAUUUUUAUGUACUUGAUAUGGAAGAGGAUAACUCCUCUAAUUCUGUCCCAAUUUUGCUAGGAAGACCUUUUCUUAAGACUGCUAGGACUAAAAUGGAUGUACAUAAAGGGACUCUUACUAUGGAGUUUGAUGGAGAGGUUAUAGAAUUCAAUAUGAAUGAUGCCAUGAAAUAUCAUAGUGAGGAACAUUCGGUAUUUUCUGUAGAUGUUAUUAACCCGAUAGUGCAGGAAGUUAUUUACAAGGAAAAAACGACGACAUUUCAUGAUAGAAUGAUUUUGUGAAAGGAGUUCUCUGUUGGUCAAAAAGUUCUUCUUUUUCAUUCUAAGCUUAAACUUUUUUCGGGUAAAUUACGUUCUUGCUGGGUUGGACCUUUUAUUGUUACUAAUAUUUUUCCUCAUGGUGCAGUUGAGAUUCGGAGUCCGACCUCUGACAAAGUUUCUAAGGUUAAUGGUCAUCGCUUAAAACCUUUUUAUGAAGGUUUUUCGGUGAAUAUUGUGGAGGAUGUGGCUCUCGAGAGUCCCAAUUAUGGAGAUUGAUGCAUAAAUGUGUCUAGCCAAAGACAUAAAACAAAGGCGCUUUUUGGGAGGCAACCCAAAUGAUUUAUUUAUUUUGGUUUUUGUUAUAUCUUCUUUUAAUUUUGAUUCUUUUUUUUUUUAAUGUGUUUGCUUAUUUUGGUCAGAAUAAAAUUUUUGAUAAGGCGUGUCCACGUCUUAACUAAUAAGUACUUCUGUGAUUUUUAAAGUAAAAUGGUUUUAAGGUGUGCCCACGUGCUUAUUAAAAAAGUGCAUCUGAAAUUUUUGUUGUCUCAAAGUGAUUCAUCACAAAAAUAAAAAAAAAAUUAUUUAUUUAUUAUUUUUUUUUCUAUUUAUUUUUUUUUAAAAAAACGAAAAAAAAAGGAGAUUUUCUUUUGUUCUUUCUUUUAUAUAUUUAUUUAUUUAUUUAUAAAAAAAAUUCAAAAAAUCACUGUUAAAAAAAAAAAUUUACUGUUCAUAAAAUCCCUAAUUUUCCAGAACUUGUUUUCUUCUCCAACCGCUUGCAGCACACCAGCAGCAAAGCAGCCCGCCGGAAAACGCACCACCCCGCGCGCGCAGCACCAGCAUCGAGCACCAUCCCGCGAGCGCAGCACCAGCAUUCUGUGUCUCGCAGCCCAGCAGCGCGCAACGAAGUCCCACCAGCGCGCAACGCAGCCUCACCAGCGCGCAACGCAGCCCCAACGCACAGCAAACGAGCACGCCCCGCAACGCAGAUCCGCAGCUCUAGCCCGCCCGCGCAGCGCAAAUCAAUCCAGCCAUCACCAUCGCGCAGCGCAUCGGUCCCGCGCGCGCAACGCAACGCAGCAUCAGCAUCCCACGUCCAGCGAGCAGCAACCCGCGCGCGCAGAUCUAGUCUUCGCCCAGCAGCGCGCAGAACCAGCGUCAGCCUAGCUCUCGCGCGCAACACAGCCCACGCAGCACGCAGAUCUAGUAGCCCCAGCGCGCGCGCACAACACAAUCAGCGCCAUCCCGCGUCCAUCAAGCAAGCUCCAGCCGAGCAGCAAUCGCAACGCAACCAACGUACGACCUAUAUUCCAGCUGGAUAAAUCGAAAUCCGUGAGUGCAAUUAUUGUAACAAUGCCGAAGAGAAAAGCAUCAACUUCCAAGUCAUCUAAAAAGACACCCGUCGCAAAUAAAUCCAAGAUUGCCGGUCCCACUACGGUUCCUUGGAACACAAUUUCAGAUUCACGCCAAGCCGUGAGACAAAGCUCGAAACAUGGAAAAGGCAUGAGUGUUUUGCCACUUGCAGAAUCCAAUCUUGGAGGGUGCCUCGCAUUCGCGACUCAACAAGAGAAAGAGAGGUACAAAGAUAUUUUCACGCACAAAAUACUUCCAGCUAAGUAUAUUCCUUACCUGACUCUUGAAAAAUUGAAUGUUAAGGAUAAUUUUGAUUCUUUGAUAGAUAAGAUUGGGUUGCGUAAGUUUGUUGAUGUUGAUUGUUUGGGUUAUGUUGAGUUGAUUAGGGAGUUUUAUGCUACUUUUCAAUUUAAUAUGUCGAAUGAUUUUACUUUGCAUACCCCGGAUGUCAUAAAGUUUAGGUUAAUGGGACGAAAUUUUUCACACUCUAUCACGGAUUUUAACCUAGCUUUAGGAUUCAUUGAUGAUGAUUAUUCUUCUAGUGAUGCAUAUUUAGGAACAACUUGUGACUUUAGCGAAAAUUUUGAGCCUUAUGGUCUUUGCCGUAAUUUAUCUGUUGAUCACAAUGCUUAUGACCCAAGUAAAUCAAAGAGUUCUUUCUUACGUGAUCCUGUUUUGAAAUGUGUGCAUCGAUUCUUAGCAUAUAAAUUUUUAGGCAAGAAAGAUCACUCAGGAGUUUUCUCUAAAACUGAAUUUUAUUUUAUCUGGUGCAUGUUAAAUGAUGUGAGGCCUAAUUUAGGUUUUUGGUUAGCGGAUUAAUUUCAAAGUGUGCUUAAACGGUAUAUGACUUUAUUUCUUGGUCCAUACAUUACUCUGUUAGCUGUAAACCUACCUAUGUGUGCUUGAUCUUGACAAUAAUGAUUUGCAUCUUGCUUGAUUUUUGGAUAUGUCUGAGUUUGAAAGAACAGGUGUGGUCGAAUUCAAGGAGGGGAGAUUUCAGUUUACUGAACCAGCACCCACUCAACCUCCGAAGAAGCUUUAUGCUAGAAGUGGUGCUACCUCUGAUGACGAGUUUGACGACGACACUGCUGCCCCGCCAACUAUUCCUUCUACAUCCGCACCACCUUUGAGCAUUCAGUUAGAGAAAAUGGAGCACAAGCUGCACAAGAUGGAGCAGAAUUUGGCCGCACACUUCGAGAGUGUGGGAUUUACCCCACCAUUUCCGCCAAGCCCAUAGACGUUAUGUGGAUCAAAGUUCACAAUUCAGGGAAGUUUCUUUUUGCCCUUAAUCUUUUAUCCUUACGCUUUAAUUUUUGUGUGAGCUUUGAUUAUCUUACAUUGGGGACAAUGUAAGUUCUUGGUGUGGGGGAGGGAUUUUUGCAUUAUUGAUGUCUGAAAUUAUUGUUUUCACUCUACUCAUCCUUAAAUGAUUUUGGAGUUAGUAUGCUUUAUAUAUUAUUAAUUUUCUUUUCCUUUCUCUCUCACUACUCUUUUCCCAUCUAUCUCAAAUUAUUUACAUCUAUUUUUUUUUCUAUCAUACUCUUUCAUCACUCACAUUUUAUCUUUCAUUUUUUUUACUACAUACAUCUUUCUCGCUUAUUAUCCUUUUUACCUUUCCUUUUAUAUCUCACUCAUACCUUCUUCUCAUUCUACACCACUAUUGAUGGUUGAUUCGUUUGAAGAGUGUACAGGAUUUGAUGGCAAAUUUACCAACUUUGUGAGGAUUUAAGCCUAUGAGCAACCACUUUGCUCUAAUUAUUUUUUGUUAUGUGAAUAUCAAUCCUAGUUUGUUUAUUCUAGAACUUGCUUUGUUAUGCAUGUUGAAGCCACAUUACGGGAUUUUAUGCAUUAAAAUGAUAAGGGCAAACCCUUUUCUAUUUUUCUAUUCUCCCAUUUUUUUUUCUCUAUCCGAAGACCUUUAUUUGCUAUCUUGGUUUGAGCCUUAACCAUUACCCAUCUAAUUCUCUCCGUCUACUUAACCAUUUUUCUUCUUUUUGAGCCUCAAUUUAAUGAGAUUUUUUUUGGACUCAUUGUGUGGAUAUAUUUUGUUGCUUUUUCUACCUUGUAUUAAAGUUUCUCAAUUAGAUCAACAAGCAUUAUGCUUGAAUUGAAUUGUGCAAGGUUCGUUUCUUUUGUUUGAUUCAAAAACAAAAAAAAAAAGAAAAAGAAAAAGAAAAAGAAAAAUCGAAAAAAAAAGAAAAAAAAUGUUUACAUUCUUGGUGACAUGAGUAGAAAUAAGCAUUUUGAUAUCAUAAGUUCAUUCAAUGAGUUCAUUCUUCUCAUUUUGAUCUCUUUUUCUUUCGUAAACCUUUCUUUUUCAUUCAACCUAUUUAACCCCAUUACAACCCUUUUAAGACCCUUAGAUUUUUGCAUUUUAUUCAUGUUUUGUGGAUUGAGAUGUGAUAUAUGAGCAAGCUUAUGGUAAUAGCAUUCUUUGAUUUGAUUUGAGUGAAUAAAUGACACCCUAAAUACUUUGAGUGCAUGGAGUGAAGUUAUUGAGAGGGCUAUUAAAUAUUGUUGCACUUGAAUUUUGAAUGGAUCUUCUUGGUGGUUGAAUGUUCUUAUUCUAUCUUAUGAAAUUCUAUGCUUUAAAAUCCUUGUCUCUAGAAUGUUGAUCGACUUAAUUUCUUGAGGUAUGCUUGCCUAAAAUUGUUUUUGGAUGAGUUGAGAUGAGAAUUGAGUGGAACUUUGGGAUUAAUCUUGAGUUAUAUGCUUGAGGACAAGCAUCAUCUUGGUGUGGGGGAAUUUGUUAGAGUGCAAUUUAUGCACUAGUUUUGCAUUGUUUACUUCCCUUAAUAUCGAUGUUUUGCACUUAAUAAUAAUGAUUUACUUGUGUUUUACUUUUGUUGGUGCAAUUCUAUUUAUUUGUGAUAAAAUUGAGCUAUAAGAUGAUGUUUAAAGAUGAUUGUUCUCUUGGAGAAAUUAUGAGCAUCAGAAGAACUUUGUUGAUAAGGCGUGGGCGCGUGCUGUCAACUACGGACCUGCAGUUUUUAGUUUAACGUGUUUUGUAUUUUUGGUUAUUUUUGUAAUUAUGAAUUUAAUAUUUCAGAUAUUAGUAUUUUAUUUUAAAUAGAAUUCUAGAGGAGAAGAGAGAGAGAGUAUUUAAGGGAGGAAUCUAUUGUGAAAAAAAGGGAUUUUGGAUUGGAGGAAAAGAAAAGAAACCCUAGAUCUAAUUUUUCUCUUCUCUCUAUGAAGAACUAAACUUAUUUUUCUGGUUGAAGGAUAAUGAAGCUUUGAUUCAUCACUACUGUGAGAUCUUUCUUGUGCUUUAAUUGUUUUAUUGCUUUUUGGGUAUUUGUUUAUUCUCUGAAUUAUUUUCAUGAUUAUGUUUGUUAAUUAGAUAAUUGGGCACUAUUUAAUUAUCAACUUAAUCUAUUGUUAAUUAAAGGAUUCAUCGUAUGAAGAAUUUAAUGUUUGUGACAAAUAACAUAGCAGAGAAUUGUGUUGUGAGAAUAAACAAUCUAAUUUAAAUGAAUCAUCAUAUGUGUUGAUUAGGAUUUGGGUCUCUCUGGUUUUUCAGGCUGUCAAUUGAUUAAAUCCUAUGAUCGUAUCUAGGGUUGUCUAUUGAUUAGGGAAAUAUCCAAUGGUCGUACCUUGGUUAUCGACUAAUUAAGGAGAGAUUGGCUAUUAGAGGGUCUCAGUAGCUAUAACCGGUCUAUUCAUAAGUAAUAAUAAUUUAUAUUUGAAUCAAUGAUCAGUAGUCGAAUCAAGCUGAGUUAAUUCCUUCAACCAGAGCUUUCUCCAAUUUGAAUUACAACUUUAAUUUGCAUUCUUGUUAUUUUAAUUUGAUUUUUAUUAUUAUCAACAAUUCUCCCAUUUUACGUUUUACGUUUCAAAAGGAUUUAAAUAAUUACCGAUCUCUGUGGACACGACCCUGCUCAAUCACUAUACACAAUUUAUUUAGAGUAGGAAUUUAUUUUUGUUGGCUUCGACAACCAUCAGCUCCAUUACAGAGUUUCAUCAAUUUGAAAUAGAGAAUCAUUUGUGUUCUAGAUUAAUCGAGGGUCUAUAUCCAAAUCUAAAAAUUGACUAACUUGGUUUCUAUUAAAUUCUUAAUCCUAACAAGAAAAAUAGAAGAUUAAAAAUGACUAAUUUGGUUUCUAUUAAUUUGAGUAACGAUCGAAUUACCUCAUUUAUUAAGAUUUAUCAAAAUCCUAUGUCAAAAUCCAUUAAUAAUAUAGGUUGGAUGAUGAAAUAGUCACUUAUUAUUAUUUUUGACUUCAUAAAUAGAUGAACGGAUGUUAUUUUUGGAUUCUGGAGAAUCCAAAAUAUCAGGAUAUGUGAUAAAUGGAAUUAAGUUGUAGAUAAGAUAGAAAUGGAUUUGGAGAGAGAUUGGAAUCCUGGGUAAUCCGGUGUACGUUGUUGUGUUGAAUGCUCGUUGACUUCACGUUGACUGACACAUUAUUGGAAGAAGUGAGCAAGCUUAUUUUCUUCUCUCAUUUUUAAAUUUGUCUAAGUUUAUUGAUGUGAGGCCUUUGAGAUUGUAAGUUUCAAAUCUGAGAAGAAUAACCACACACCCAUUAAUAAAUUUGUGAGGAUUGUGAGGGUUGAUGCAAUAUAAUUUAGAUGCAAAGUGUUUACAAGUACGAUGCUUCAUAAGUGUUCUUCAAUCAUUAUAAACUCACGUUAUUUUUAUAAUGAUUGUUUCAUCUGCACAUGGAUAUAAUCAUAUGUUGAGAUUUUUUCCUAAAUUAUGGUCUUAUUUGGUAUUGAGGUGUUAGAUCUUUUAAGAUACAAUUACUAUUGGAAAAAAUAGUGCAACUAUGAAAUAAAAGUUAAUAUUGUGUACUAAUUAUAAUUGUUAAAUAAUAAUUUUGACAAAAUUAGUGAAGAUAUAUAGUUUUUUUUUUAUCAUAUAAGUAUAAAAUCAAAUCAACUUAACUUCUAAACUAUAUAGCAGCUACUGCUUACCAAAUAUUUUAGUGCUGUAGCUUUUAAGUUAUAACUGCCUAACCUCAGUCUCAAACAAUGGCUAUAAAGAUCAAAGAUUUCCUCAUAAAAAUUAUACGUCUUGUGAUUGCUUAUUUAAUUUAUAUUUUUUUAUUUAUCUUUAUUAAUUACAAUCAUCUUUUAAUAAAUUACAAUUGGAGGAAGUUGAUGUUCGAAGUGCUUAUGUCGACUCGAAGUUGUUGGGAAUUAAUGCAUGUAUUGAUUUAUUGGGAGUGUUUAAAUGAUUUUGUGAUUUACUUGAUUGAUUGAUUGAAUAUUGUUUGAUUACUUUGUAUCCAUUCUAGAAAGUUUAUUUCUUUGUGAAAUUUCGACAAAAUAUGUUUUUCUUUUUAAAUAAUAAGGGUGUUUUAAGUAAUUUUUAAAAAUAAAUGGACUAACUAGAAUUAAUUAUUAGGUAACUAACUCGAACUGUACAAGGUAAGCGAACAUUUAUGCUGAUUAUAUCAUGAUAAAUCAUUUUCCGAUUAGAAUUAGGAAACCAUUAGCAUAUUGACUUUUUUUUUUUUUUUUUUCAAUCUCCCUUUGCGAAAACGGAUUACAGAAUUAGAAAACAAUCCUAAUGAUAUUAUUGUUAGGUUUAAAACACGGCAUAGAUAGUCAAAAGCUAACUAGUCUGCAGUAAUUUGUUAAUUGCUAUCGCCUCUCCAUGCGUGGUGAAUAAUUUGUUGCAUGCAAACUUUUUCCAUUUUAAAUAAACACAACGCGAUGUUUAUCUGCUCCGCGUUUUGCAAUCUGUUUAUUCGUUGUUUAUUUGCUUCGUAAGUCCUCAAACUUUGAUAACCAAAAAUUUCACCAAACUAUGAAAAUUAUUCUGCAGGUUAGUUUUUAUUUUCGGAAUAAUUAUUUGAGAAUACUAAAACACAAUAUAAAAUAAGAAAAUAGGGGGUUAAAAUUUGAAAAAAAAAAACAAAAGGGCAUGUUGGAUAGAUUACUGUGGUUUAAGAAAAAAAAUUAUUCAGUUGGGAAUUUUUUUUCUUUAAUUUUUGUUUUACUUAAUUGAGAUUUCUCCUUAAUCCUUACAGUUUUAAAUUUGGAUAACAUAGGAUUAGUAAUUUAGUACUUCCUUUGCAAGCUGAGGUUAAGGAUGAAAUUCUUUUAAGAAAAAAAGAUAAAAGAGCAUAACAAUAGUCAAUUAUAAAUAACCACAAAUAAAUACAAACAAAAUGUUUAUGAAGUAAAUUAAAAAUGCACAUAUUAUUUUUUAUUUUAUUUCUUACUAAUCUGUGUAUUUGCUGCUUGAAAAACCAUAAAUACACAGAUGACCAUUGGCUUCGCACCAUUUAAUCGGGAUACAUUUCUACGUACAAACUGAACAAGGCUAUUGAUUUUUAUUUAUUUAUAAAUUACUAUUUCAAUUUUCACUUUUUAUUGGGUUGUUUAAUGGAUUAGUGAGGCUGGUGGUCGUUGAUGCACUCACAAGGUACAAUUUUGUUUUCAAAUUUCAAAUUCGUAUUUUAAAAUGCAGCACAUUAUGCAUACAUAAUUAUUGAUUUUCAUAUGUGGGUGUUUUGAAAUAUUGCUAAAAGGCCAAACUUUAAUAAACUAUUUUUGAUCCUUUUUUGUUUCUUUUUUCCUAAAGUUUGAGUGAUAUCCGCAUUUUUAAAAGCUAAUGUAUGCAAAAAAUUCUUUCAUUUUUCUGGGGAAAAUAGGUAAGAGAAAAAGUUUUGGCAAAUGAGCUGCAACUGAAUUCAAAACCAAUACGAUGCGAGCAUAGGAAAGAGGUCAGUGUUUUGGAUUUGAAUUUAAAGAGGUCAGUGUUUUGGAUUUGAAUUUAGUAUUGAGCUGAAUUUUAUGUUUAACACAUGAUUCUAUUAUAGUACUGCGAUUAAUAAGCUCAGCCCCGGAUUUGCUUUUGCUUUUGCUUUUACUUCAAGUGAAAGAAAGAGGAAACCUUUUGUUUUUUCUUUGGUUUUUGACUAUGUUACCUAUACAGAGAGUCAAGAUAUCAGCCAUAAGUGAUGGUGUUAAAAAGAUUAAGCAGCGCACACAAUCUUACUGCUGUCUAGACGAUCCAAUGAUGACUCCAGUCUUUUGGUUACAUUAGCUUUAGUUGAAAUAAGGGCCAAUUUAGCAAACACUAGCUUUGGUGGCUUAUUAUGUUUAAUGUAAUGCUUAUUCUUAAGGAAUCUAAUGUAUAUAAGAUGAUUGAAUGAUCUUCUAUGAUUGUGAGUAGUAUAGGAUAAUUGAAAAGAGUCUGGUGUUAAAGGCUUACAGUUUUAAGCCUUUUAAACCAUGCGAUUUUAAAGUUUUACCGGAUUUUCCCGCACUUUAAAAUUUUAGACUGAAACAUUUUUGUAUAUAUAUACAUAAAAAUAUAUAUAUAUAAAUAUAUAAAUUAAGAGGGAUGAGUUAACUGAAGAUUAUAAUCAUUACAACAAUGCUGAUGAGUGAUACAUCACUUGAAAUUUACUUGUCAGUUGCUGAAAUGAUGAAAAAAAAAAUAAACAAUAACAGUGAUAAUGUUCUCUUGCUGAAAUGACUUGUAUAUUAUACAAUCCACUCUACUUAAUGAUAUCGUUUUAAUAAAUGUUUGAUGAUCUCCAUUUAAAAACUACUUCAAUUUUUUUCUUCAUUUAAGUUUUUGGUUGUUGAAAAUAACCUUAAUUAUCAAAUAAUUGGAGAAAGAGUAAAGAACAUUUAACAAAUUUAUGUGCAAAAAAAAAAAAGGGAGAAGUUGAAGAGAAAGGGUGCUUGCAGAAGUAGGUGUCAAAGAUAAAUCGGUCCAUAGGAAUUAUUUUGGUUAUUUUUUAGCAAUAGAAAAAUUUUUUAGCAAGUAAAAAUUAAUUUUUUUCCGCUUUACUAAAAAAUUAACUAAAAACUUAUGCGAUAGCAUUUUUUAUGGGUGCAUAUACUUCCCUUUAAAAAAAAUAUAAUAAUUAAUGCUUAAUAUAGUAUUAAAUACGAAAAUAUCAAUAUUUGACUACUCAAAUGUAUAUCAUUAGGUCCUUAAAAUUUAAAAUUGAAGAUACAAAAGGUAAUAUAUAUAAAUUUCAUUCUCAUGGGAAAGGAUCAUCUUAUAAUCUUAUAAUAUUUGAGCUUUGAAAGAUUUUUUUGAAACAAAUGUACUUUUAUUUGUGUACAAUCAAUAUGUACUUAUUUAUUAUAUUUUUAUUUAUUAACUAUCAAUCAUGUGAGUAUAUUUAGUCAGAAAAAUUAUAUCAAGAGAGAACCCUAAUUUCACGUAAAGACAAAUACAAGACAAAUAUGGCAAUUUCUAUACUAUUCACUUUCCUGUAAAAUCAAUUAUCUAAAAUGCAAGUUUGUGGCUUCAAAAAACUCGCCAAAGAAAGAAGAUAAUAGCAAUUGAGCAUUGAUAGCAAAUCUAAUGCAUCCAAUUCUUCUUAACUUGAUGAGUGACGUGAAUGCUACCAGUCUGUGACACCCAAAUUUUUAUUAUUUUAUUUAUUUUUUUAAUGGAAUUUGUAAAUGACGUUUUUGCCCUUAUAAAAAGGGUUAUUCAUGGAAUAAUUUUUAGGAAAGGGUUAUUUUUCCAAAUUCAAUAGGGUUUCUUAAGACUCCCUAUAAAUUCAUAUUUUUCUCCUUUCAUAACCCUAAAAGCACGACGUUUCUUCUUUUUCUAUACUGCUCAUUACACUCUUACCCAAACCCUAAGAUUCAAACCUUUGGUUAAGAGAGAAUCAAAGCGAUUGGUAAGUUUAUUCCCCUUAUUCUCUACAAGAUUCCCAAUCACUCUAUCUAGGGUCUAUAUUGGCAUGAUUUUAGAUUGUUAUAGAUCAUAAUACAUGAUUUAGAAUGUGUUUAGGCUUUGUUUAGAGUUUUGAUUUAUUAUGAGUUUAGUUAAUCAACCUUGACGUAUUAAGCACAUAGAAUAGUUCCAUAGAAUAUUAUGUUAUUCUAAGUUUUAGAUUAAGAGUUAAAAUUCUAAGCAUCAGACUUGUACGGGUACGAAUUAGAAAAAUCGGGUUCUUAGAAUAAGUUAUUAAUUGUCAUAUCUUGUAUUUGUUUAAGGUGAUUGAGGCUCUUAGAGGGUUAGAGGUGUGUUAAUUCAAAUUCUUUUGUCGAGGUAAGUAACUUCAUUCCUAAUGUACUGGAUAUAUAUAUAUAUAUAUGAUUAUUUUGAUAUUAUUAUAAGUACACAAAUUUUUUUACUACUUAGAAGAUUAAUUGAUUUUCAUAACAAAAUCAGUUUGUGUAAAUGUUUUCAAACCUAAAUUCCUUUUAAUAAAUUAUUUUGUAAAGGCUUUUAAAUAUGUAAGUUAUUUUAUGACAUGACUACCUUUUAUAAUUUUGUCUAUGAAAUAUUUGCAAGCCUAAAUUGUGGUUAUGGACUUUCAUGAAACUAAUACGAAUGUUUUGUACCUAUGUAUGAUUUCAAUUAUUUAUGAUUGUACGGGGGCCACCUCUUGGGACUAUAUGGGGGCCACCUCUUGAAAUUCAAAGCAUCACAAAAGUGCCACGUAUAAGUCAUUAUGUUUUGGCUCAUUAUCUGUAGUUAUUCUGAUUCUGAUUCUGAUGGUAUAAUACAAUAUAUGUCUGUUCUGGACCAGUACUAGGUUUUUGUUUUGAGUGUGCACAUGAUAUUCUGACUCUGUUUCUGGCCGGGUCACUAGGACUAUAGGUGACACUAUGUGACAUGAGCUAACCUUUUGUUUUCUGUGAAUGUGAUAUAUGAUUUGCUUUUGUAAAUAACUAUGCUUUUGAUAUUCUGAGUUACAAUGAAUUUAAAUUAUUUUAUAGUGAUAUAUCGUUUUAUGAAAUUUAUGGAUUAUGAUAUAUGUUUUAAUUAAAAGAAGGCUUGCAAUAUUUUUGGUAUUGAUAGGUCUAGUGUGUUAGGAAUAUUUUUACUUACCGAGUUGACGGCUCACCCCUCGUCAUUACUUUUUGCAGAUUAAGUUUCUUUUGAGAGCUGCGCUUAGCUUUGGAGUUAGUAAUUUUCUGUUUCCGUUUGCCAUUUGAAUAAGAGGAGAAAUAAACUCAUGUUUCUAUUUAGUUUAUUUAUGUUAUGAAUGUGUAAUUUGGAGUUUGAGACUUUUGUUAUUUUUUUUAUGUCCUCGGGAGAGAUUAUUUAGUAUUAGACGUUUGAAUUUGUGGAUUUAUUUGAAUAAGAAUUUGAGGUAUUUCAGUUUGAAACUUAUGAGUAAAGAUUAUGAUUUGUAAGUAACAUCCUUCUUCACGUGCUCCGCACGUGUUAGAUUUGGGGUGUUACAAUUGUGGUAUCAGGGCAUUAGGUUUGGGAUUCUGUAAACUUUAUUUGAGGCUAGAUUUCUUAAGCACAAUCAAUUAGUUCAAUGGUAUUGCUUGCCAUGAGGUUAUCGGAAAGAGUAGAUCUUUAAGGCGAGGAGUAAUUUUGGUCUUUUUGAUUUUCUAGUUGCUUGUGACUUUGUAAUAACUCCUUGAUAUAGGAUUUUGGUAUUAACGUAGAAUGAAAUAUUUGUUUGCUCUUGUUGUCAAUUACUAACUUUUCUCAAUUAUACUAUUUACUCAGUACUUUGUGCUAUAGCAAGCCCUUUAACUAUGAAUUAUUUACCAUUUUAUUUAUUUAUUUAUUUUUAUUCUUCGUGUUAUAGUCAAAAGAUGUCACGUAGGGGAGGUGCUAGGCAUGCCUUUAGCUCGAGAGAUGUUUUAGGUAUCGUUGAUGACGCUGACCUAACCUUGCGCGAGAUGGCUAACGAAGGGAAUCCUAUGAUGCGCGCAAUGGUUAGAUUGAUGGAACAACAAAGUAAGUUGAUUCAAGAUAUGGCUAGAGGUAAAGUUGGGGCACAUGAGAUUGUGCCAGUUGAAAGACAAGGUGGUGGAAGAGAUCAGGGAGGUAUGAUGAGCUUAGAGCGGUUUAGGAAAUUGAGACCACCUACCUUUCAGGGGGCUGCCAAUCCUAUGGUUGCAGAGGCAUGGCUAAAACAGAUGGAGAAGAUAUUUAUGGCUAUGGGUUGUAAUGAUGAUUAGAGGGUGAUAUUGGCCUCAUUGGUCCUUUAGGGUGAGGUAGACCACUGGUGGGAUGCCAAAUCCCGUCUUUUGAGGGCCGGGUUGCAAGAUGCACCUAUUACUUGGGAGUUAUUUCUGAAGGCUUUUCAUGAAAAAUAUUUUCCUGAACGAGUUCGACAUCAGAUGGAGGCUGACUUCCUGAAAUUGACUCAAGGAACAAAGCAUGUUGCGGAGUAUGAGGAGCAAUUUACUGCUCUAUCUCGUUUUUCUCGUACCUUAGUUGCUAAUGAGGGUAGUAAGUGUAGGAAAUUCUUGGAAGGCUUACAUCCAAACAUAAAAAGACGGUUGACCAUCCUUAAGCUUAAUAAUAAUGCCCAUUUGGUGGAUAGUACGAUUAUUGCAGAGAGGGAUAUAAUUCAAUCUCAAGUUGCACGAUCUAAUCGACAUAAUAACCAGCCAAUAAAACAUGAUAGUAAUGGUAGUGAAGGUGAACAUAAGUGCACUCUAAUGGUGGGUCUAUUCAAGAGAACAAACCAUUCUGUAAUCGUUGUGACAAGUACCAUAAUGGCACGUGUUAUUUAAAGAUAUGAGCUUGUUUUGGCUAUGGACAGAUUGGGCAUAAGGUUAUAAAUUGCCCAAAAAAGCACAGUGGUAACAUAGAUUCUGCCGAGAACCAAAGGAAAAAGCCACGUGUCUUCGCCAUGGUGGAGCAAGAUAUUAAAAAACCGAAUAACGAAGCCUCAGGUGCAUUACCUAUUUUCCAUAGAAAGCCUUGAAUUUUUGAGUAAUUGGUAUUGUGCUUUUCCUCCAUCCUUUCUUAUUGGAUGCAUCGUAGCUAGAGUUUUUAGCCUAAUAAUCACUACUAGAAAAAUAGGCUUUACUGACGCUAAAUUAGUGUCAGUAAUUACUUUUCCUGACACUUAUUAAUUGUGUCAAUAAUGCUCCAGCCAUAAUACACUGACACUAAUUUCUAGUGUCAGCGAUUUUUGUGUCAGUAAUUCAUGUCAUUAUGGUAUCACGAAAAUAAUGACACGAUAGCGUUAGUAUUUAAUGAUACUAUUUAUAUGUCAGUAAUUUAUGAGACUACAGUAUCAAGAGCACACUGACUCAAUAACAUCAAAAAUUACUACUGCUAUUUUAAACAUUUAGUGUCAGUAUUUAGUGAUGUUAUGGUUCUUUUGGUUAAUAGUAUACUUUGAUUUUAAUUAUAUUUUCCUAUUUGUUUUACAACUGAAAGAAAACUCAAAAUAUAUUAAAUAUACAAAAUCUCGCAACACAAUUGCAUAAGAAACAUCUCAAAUACAUCACUCAAAUUCAUAUCAUUAAACUACAUCAUUGUUUGGAAAAGAAAAAUAUAAAUACUAAAUUAAGUCUUGGACAAGCUCUUAACAACCAAGUACUAAGUUAAGAUUCAACAAAUAUUAACCAACAAAAAGAAGCACAUAAUGUCAUUGAACAUCCACAAGCGGCUUCAUUUUUCUUUUCCCACCUACAAGUACAUAAAAUCAAUUAGUAUACCACAAAAAGUAAUUCUUGAAUUUUUGGGAGAAAAAACAAUCAGGCCAAUUUCAGUGUUCAAAGAGACUAACAAAGAAUGGGGGCAAAAACAAUACAUAGCUCUCUUAGUGCAAGCUAAUUGUAAUAGGUAGUAUUGUGAAGAAUAUUUAUCUGCUAAGAAUUGAACUUGAGUGGAUUUUCCUACAGAUCUAUACACAACUCAACUUAAGAAGAAUAAAAAAAUAAAAAAAUAAAAAUCCUAAGGAUUAAGAAAGAUAAAUGGAGAUUUAUUAGUAUACAUCCAAAAUUAGAAACUCAUUAAACAAUCCAGGGGUAAAAAUUGAGGAAUAAGAAUAUAGCGUAUCUCAGGAUAAGACCAAAGACAUAAUAACAGAAACAUUUGAGGCAAACCACUACAAAGUUUUUACAUAAUAACCCAAAGCAAAGCAAACCAUUAUAAAAUUUUUACAUAAUAACCUAGAAACAAAACAGACGAAAAUUGGGCAAGUCCAUAUCCCAAACCUCUGUUAGGAAAAAUGUGUUCAGCAGACUCAUGGCUCCAACAAUAGAAAUUAACCCGUACACAAGGAAACAAAUUAAUUGAUAUAAAAAACAGUCAAAGACAAAGCCAACUAAGAAGAUUAACUAAUUUGGAGAUUGAAUUACAUAGUUAUUUUUACAAAAUAUAGCAUAAGCCCAUUGUAUUUCAUAGUAAGCAACUGCAAAAAUGCCUAGAGGCAAAUUCAUAAAGGAAGAGUAGAUAGAAGAAAAAAAAGACGAGGAAAUAAACAGCUUGAAACAAACAAAUCACCUAACACAUCAUGGGGAAUUGACUUGUUAACGUUAAAGAGCAAAAUAAAACUUGGCACCUUCAUUCGAAAAAGAACAGACGCUUACCCCUUACGGAGAAUGGCUUAGGUUUUUCUUUAGAGUUUCAGGCUGAUUUAUAAGAAUAUGAAGAAGAAAUGAUUAUGGAAGUUUGAUAGUGAUCAAGGAUUGAAUAUUGGGCUUAAAAUACAAAUUGGCAGUGAGGGCUGGUUUUCGAUCAUAAUGUUGAGAGACCACUAAUUCCCAAUACUUGUACCCUCUCACAGAAAAAUCCAAAUUUAAUAAACAUGAACUAAAUCCAGUGUAUUGAGUGUUAUUAUUUAAUGGAACAUAAAAUCUCUGGGUCAAAUAAUUCUAAAGUUAAACCAACAAUAAUCCCAAAAGCUAUAGUUGAUAAGAAAGGCCCAACAGUAUACUUCUAUCACACAAAAUUUGAAGAUAGAAAAAAGAAGGGCCUUUUUGUUUUUUAACUGAAACUGAAAAAAGAUUCAGUAUUAACAAUUCAUAAAUUUUAAAGACGUUGGUUUUCCAUCUUAACACUGAAAACUUGGUGUUUAUAUAUCCGAAUAUAAUUAAGCCAAAAAUUUUAAUUUAUCACUAAAUAGGAAAACAACUAAAUAAGCUGCAUAGUUUUAUUUUCCAAUAAAUGCUUAUAAUAUUUAUUCAUUCCUUACCAUAUAAAAACCUAUCCUUCAUUAUUUAUUUAUUUUUUAUAGGAAACAGAGAAAUUAGUAUUAAUAAGAACAAUAAUUACAAAAUGUCAAAAGGGUGUCCACAAAAAAAGGCUAUUGAAGUAUCACAGACCAAUCUCCAAAUUAGGCAAGCACUCAGAUUCCAAGCUAAUACUCCAAAAAACAAAUCUAACCUCAAACUACCUGAUAAACAGCUCAAAAUGACAUAAUCCUCAACAUUCUUCAGACUAAUUGAUCAUGCAUCAAGGUAUGUUGGGAUCUACAAAUACAUUGAAAAGAUCUUUGCAAAUAACAGUACAACUAGAAAGCUUGGUGUUUACAUUCUUGAAAAUUCUUUUUAUUGCUGACAAUAGAAAGGGAUUCCUUUUUCUGCUUAUUUCCUAAAAAUACUAAUAUAUGCUGCCCCACUAUACUCACAAGUAAUCUUACACAAAUGCUCUUUAGACAAGAUUAGUAUUUGCUACCUUUCACCCCAAUUACAAAACCAUAGAAACUCACCACCUAGACAAAUUUUAAAUUGUCUCUAUAGUUGGCUAUUAAAAACUGCUAAAUUUGUUUGCAGCCAUGCCCAAAAAUUUCAAGAACAUUGAACACAACGUAUUAUAGGUACAAACAAGAUAAAAUGAUGUUCCAGGAUUCACUCGACAUGUCAUCCAAGGUGAUACAAAACGGUAGAACUAUAGAACUAGGACAAAACUUGCAGCAAGAUAAUGGCAAUUUCCCCCUUUCGUGUAAGAUAAUCAUAUUAUUCUUCAAAGAGAGACGCACAAAAAAAAAAUGCUUGUUGAAAACAAGCAAGCAUAUGGGUAUGAGUCUAUUGUUGUUUAUCUGUGAAUCAUGUUAAUAACCAGCCACAGAAAAAUAGUAAACAAUAGUUUUCACACAAUCGAUGCAUAUUAACACAAGCCACGGAUUAUGAUUUCACUAACCAUUGCACACAAAGGUUCCAGACCAAUUUUAGAAGGAGGUUCUACAAGUUACUUUCCUUCAACUACUUGAAAAUCAAUCAUUAACUAAAGAAAUACACAUGAAAUUAGUUUAAAUAAUAGGAAAGGUAAAGGAGACAUUUUAUAAAAACUCUUAAAUGUGGUACUAUGAUUUCCACAGACUGUGCAACAAAAAUAAAAUUGGAUGAACUAUAAUAAGUGAGAAGACAUAUUGUAAUUCUAUCAUCAAAGAAAGAUAAGCUUAAUCAUUUUUAAUUUUUUCUCAAAUAUCCAGUAGUACCUUAAGGUAAUAGGACAAGAUCGCAGAAGUUGUCAUGAAGAGUGUAAAGCACUAAAUAACAAAAAUUAUACUAAUAAAUAAAACUCAAUUUAUUUUCUCCCUCAAUCAAUUGCUUUGAGCUUACUAUGAAUUCAACUAUGAAUUUGAGGAAAAAAUACAGACCUCAGUUUGUCAACUUCUUGUUCAUGAGAUUCAGCCGCAGUAAAUGCAAACCUCCAUUUCUCGUCAAGCAUUGUUAACCUCUACGACAAAUUGAAGGUAAGAAGAUGAACAAAAUAAGUGUAAUGUGCAGGAAAAAAAAUGAAGUCUAUGGGUACAACAACACUUCAAGAUUUUUCAAGUUCUAGUUCAUUUAAAUAGACAUUCCUUGAACUUCAGUAGCAAAGAAAGUACAUUAUAGCAACAAUUUCAAUUCAUUUCAAUCUUUAGAAUUUUUUAUUUUAAAAAAAUAAAUUCCUUCAAACUAGUGAAAGGAAAAUAAAAGUGUGUUUACAGAAGAAAAAUCAUGGAAUGAAUUAAUGACCAUGCAAGUGAGGAAACACAGAAAUUUCUGAAUAAGAGCGAAACUAACCGUGCAAAUGAACAAAGAAAAUGUAAGUCUUCAAGUGCUACAACAAGCAAAACUACCUAAAAACAAGCAUUUUCUUCUUGAAUUAAAGACAAAUCAUGAACUUUGUGCAAUCUCAAAACAUUCAGACAAGCAUGAACUUAGUUAAUUCAUAUCAUAGUCAUUGUCUCUAUUAAAAAUCUUCCAACUAAAAAAAAUAAAAAAAUAAACAUGUUGGUUUCUAUAACAUAAUUUGCCUAUCUUUACAUGAAACAGAGCAAUAAAUAACACUUAAUAAUUAUGAAAUACACAGCCAUUCAAUCUAUAUAAUAUAGAAAUAAAGGAAAAAAAAGAAAAAAAUUCAAAUUACAAUUAAAUAAACAAAAAAUAGAUAUGGAAAAGAAAUCCCACCAAGACUGCACUACUGGGAGAAUUUCUCAACAUCUGCAACAACCCAUAAAAUUAAAAUUAACAAAAAACCCUAAUAAUCAUAAGCUAAAAUAAAACAAAUUUAUUAAUUAAUUUGACAAAGAAAAUAAAAUAUUAAGCCAUUACCAGCAGUUAAAGCCUUAAUCAAGGCAACCUGUUUGCCCUUAAAGUCAUUGAAAAUCUCCUUCACAGGUCUAAGUAUAAGGUGUGGUAUCCCUUCCAUAGCAAGAAAAUUAACUAAUUUCUCAAUAAUUUUAUUCAAAUUCAAGCAAAUGGGUUUUGAAUAUUGAACAAAAAAAAGUGAAAUUUGACCAUAAAAAGAAAAAAAAUUGAUAAAAGAAGCCUCGAUUACGGUUUUGGUCCGUUUUUCAAUUUGAGAAAAAAAAGGAAAAAGGGAAUAAAAGCCUCACUUAGGGUUUUAGCUUUAUAUUAUCUAUUUGAGUUAAAUGAACGAGUUUGUGAAUGGAAAGAAAAAAAAGGAAGAGAUCGAGAAGAGAAAAAGGAAAGAGAAAGGGAAAGAGAAAGGCAAGAGACAGUUUUGGGUUUGAGUUUGGGUUAGAGAUUUGUGUGUAUAAAAGACAGGGAGAUGGGGACAAUUGCUAAGUUUGGGAUAUGUUUUACUUUCGUUUUACAUGUUUUAAAUUCUUAAUUUAGUACCUGCAGUGUCGAACCACUUGAACGGAAGUGAUAGUGGCAACGGCGUGGGGGUGGGCGCAGCCAUGGGGGUUGGGCGCGGCCGUGGGCGUGGGCGUUUGGGCCUGGUCAUUCUCCAUCUUUCACGAUAGAGAAGAAGAAGUCAAGAAAGGCAAGGAAAUUACGCAGCAGCUACGACAUGGGCUCUAUUGCACAAUGGAAAAGGGGAAUUAGGGUUUGGUUUUUUAUAUGUUAAUAUUUUAUAUAACAUUGUAAUUCCAACUCAAUUUUAUGGGGUCCAGUGGUUUGCAAUCUAAACGUAAAAGUUUUGAGUUUUAGAAAUCCCAGGUUCGAGUUAAAAUCAAAACAAAUUUUAAUGAUUCUUUUUAGAUCUCUGAUGCUGAAGUAUCAGUGAUCUCUAAUAUUUAAUUUACUGAUACAUUAGUAUUAAUAAUUUGUGACAUUUAUUUGUUAAAAGUGGAAAAUGGUGCAUAGUUAGGUAAUUACUGACACUUUUUUUAAAGUGCCAGAAACAAAGUGUCAGUAAAAGUCAUUUUUGUAGUAGUGAAUUUCUUUUUUCAUCCAUUGAAUUUCUAUGGUACAUUAGUAGGAUAUGAGGUGUGAUUUUAUAAGGCCAUUAGGAUUAACUUAUGGUUGGAUGGAGUAGGGACUAAUAUGAUAUUUAGUAGGAUAUGGGAUGAAGAUUGCAAUAAAAGUGUUUCACCAGCAAUGUGCGAGCGCAUUGAAGGGUUUUGAAGUUGAAUGUGAAGUGAUAAAAAAUAUUCACCAUCGAAACCUUAUCAAUGUUAUUAUUAGUUGUUCGAACGAUGACUUCAAAGCAUUAGUCCUAGAAUACAUGUACAACGGGAGCUUGGAGGAUUGGCUGCAUUCUAGCAAUUAUGUGCUUAAUAUUUUUCCCAGGUUGAACAUAAUGAUUGACGUUGCAUCAGCUUUAAAAUAUCUCCACUUUGAUCAUUCAACUCGUAUCAUUCAUUGUGACUUAAAGCCUAAUAAUGUGUUGUUGGAUGAAAAUAUGGUUGCUCAUUUGAGUGAUUUUGGCAUAGCAAAGCUUUUAAGUUGAAGAUGAGUCUACGAUGCGAACAAAAACCCUUGCCACUAUAGGUUAUACGGCACAAGGUUUGCUUGAAACAACUUUUUUUUAGUUUAUUUUAAAAUUUCCAAAUUAUUGAUUUUUACGAUCCUCAUAUCAAAAUGUUAUUGAUUAUUUAUCUAAUUAUGAAAUAAUUUGAUUCAUAGAGUAUGGCAUAGAAGGAGAAAUAUGUGCAAAAAGUGAUGUUUACAGCUACGGGAUUAUGUUGAUGGAAACUUUUACCAAGAAAAAACCCACAGAUGAGAUUUUUGUUGGAGAAUUGAGCUUAAAGCGUUGGGUUAAUGACUUGCUUCCUAAUUCAUUAGUGGAAGUUGUGGACAAAAUUCUGCUAAUUGAAGAGGAAAAACAUUUUGCCGCAAAGGAGCAAUGUCUGUUCUCUAUCUUUAUUUUGGCACUAGAGUGUACAAUGGAAUCACCGGAAAAGAGGAUCAAUACAAAAGAUAUUGUUACCAGAUUACUCAAGAUAAGAGACACGUUGAGUAAAAGGAUAGGAAAUUUAAGUUAAUUUUGUUUGCUUUCAUUGAUAGUUACUUUGAAUUCAAGUAAUAAGUGUAAGAAUCGUUUAUCUUUUCUUUUGAUAUUUUUUUCUUGAGAAAACUGUUGUAGUCAUCUUUUUUCAAUGGGCAGAGUUGAUUUAGUUCUUCCAAGAAAUGCUAUUGUUGAUCUUUGUUACAUACGUUUGUCUUUUUUUGCAUGCAUUUAGGUAGAAUAGUGGUCUAGCUGCAGGCUAACAAGUCAAGCUACGCUAAAAGCGUAUGAUUUAAUUUAUUAAACCUAACUUCAAGUUCAAGAAUUGCAUCUCAUUGCCACCAAUGCUUUAGACACCUAUUCGUAGGUUUGUGUCCUCAACUUUGUUUGGAGCAAAAGUUCCAGUCCCAUGGAGGCUCAAAUAUUUCUCUCCUACGUCCCGAACACGCUAAAUUCAUCAGCCUCUUGAACCCUCUCCUGAGGGCGCCUUCUGUCCUCUGUUUUCUGUUUCCAUACACAAAUAGCAAAAAGAAUUCAGACUGAUAACUGGGUAUCUAAGAAUAUAUAAGAGUGAAAUAAUUAAAAAAAAUUGUGCUUUUUUGUUUGUCGUGUUAAAAUCGUAAGGUAUCUAAGUACUAUGAAAGAGAUUAGUUUACGAAAACUGAAGCCAAGGGUUCAUAAAAAAAAGUGCAUAGAGAAUAAAGGACAACGCUUAUGUAAAGCGACAUAAUUGUAUUGGUAGCACAAUGUCACGUUCAUACAGAGAUCAAGUACAUUAUUUACAGCUGGUAAGGGCUAAGAAUUGAUGUAGCUAGAAUACAAAGAUGAUAUGGUAUGUUGUGCACUAUUGUUUUAUUCUACAAUCAAUCUUGACCCUUGAUGCUUGGCUCUCAAUCUUGUCCAUUGAUCUUCUCUGAUCUCGAAAACUUCAAGACCUUUCAAUCUCAUGCCUUAUUAUUGGUGUCUUCUAUGCUGUUAAUUUCAAAUACUAGCUUUUCCGCCAACUUGCCAAUUAUUUGUUCAUUGGUGCGUUUUGUCAAACAGUGUGGAUACUUAUACCAAACGCUUUCUGUUUUAACUACCCCUUUCAAGCUCAAUUAUCUGGGAAGACACUAAUAAGCUUGUUUCUCAAGUAUAUGUAUCUGAAAAUUAAAUUUUCAAAAUUAUAUUCGGACUCUACAUUUUCUAAUGAACAUUGGUUUGGCUCAUAAGCUUAUUAUACUUGGGCUUGGUAGGAUUAUCGGUCGGUAGAUGAACAAGUGUUAGAGCUUUCGAAUUUAUGCCAAUUAAAAAAAAUCUAUAUAAAUUUUCCACUAGGCUAUUACCACAAUAAACAUUUGGAUGAACUAUUAUUGAAACCUUAUUGAGAAGUAGGACAUGUCGCAUACCAAUGCACUGACAUAUCUUCAAAUAGUGGUAACUCCACACAACAUGGCACAAUAAAUUAAGAGUUAUAUAGAUAAAAUCUUUCACUCUUUGGUAAUCAUCAAUGUCGGCAUGACAAUGCGUCCCACAAAUAUGGCUCCUUAUCAAAAUUCAUAAAUCAAAACAAAAUAGAGAAUCAUAUUUGUUCCAGAUUGUAGUGAUGGUUGUUGAUGCACUCACAAUUUACAAUUUUAUUUAAUAUCUUCAAAUUCGCAUUUUAAAAUGCCCAAAUGUUUGUGUAUACAUAAUUAGAUAAAAUCUUUCAUUCUUUGGUAAUCAUCAAUUUCACUAUUAUUCGCUUUAUUAUGUUUGUUUCUUGCAGUAUGUUAAAAGAUUAUGUUGUGAAUUUGUUUUACAGGCCGCCCGUAAGUCUGCGCCCACUGUUGUGAAUUUGUGUAUACAUAAUUAGUAAUCGAUUCUCAAGCACGGACAUUUAAAAGCACUGCCGAAAGACAAAAUUUUAAUUUACUAUUUUUUGUCUUUUAAUUUUCUUUAAGUUUUAAUGAUUCCGCAUUUUAAAAUCCUGUGGAACGUGUAUGUAAAAUUCUUUUAUCUUUUAGAGGAAAACGGGCAAGAGAAGAAUAUUUGGCAAAGGAAUUGCAACCGCAUUUGGAGCUAUAUUUAAUUUUGUCUUUUAAGUCUUUUACACUUGUUUUUGUUAUUGAUGUUAGCUUGGAUGUGUGUGCGUGUGCGACUGAAUUCAACUUACAUGCUAUUGAUGCAGCCACCAAAAAGGGGUGGUCCAUCAUCAAUCAACAAGGUUUAUUAUUAUUUUCAUAUGGAUUUUCUUAAUUAUAAAUAAUACUAAUGCUAUUUCAUAGUUAUAAAUAUAUUAGAAUUAAUCGAAAUCAUUUUUUAGUGUGGCAUUGCCAAACUACCUUUUUUUAUAAGUAAUUACUACUUUCACAUUAAGAAAAAUACUCCUAUUUUUAGGGAAAAAUCAAGUACUUGUAGUUGUGAAAACUUGAGCUCACUCGCGUAUGAUAAAUCUUCAUAUUAAUUACAUAAAUAUCCUCUAAAAUUUUAAAUUAACUAUUCAAAAUUCGAUGUUAUACGGGUAUUUCAUUUAUUUGAGUAGGGGUUAGGGGUCAAUUGGAUACAAAUUCAAAAUUAUCCUUACUUGAGAAGGUGAUAAAAAUUGGGGAUUUAAUUUGGAUGUCAUUAGCUACAAAUAUUAAAUUCAUACAUUUAAUUCAAAAUUGGAGGGUUGAUAUAUGCGCAUCAUCGUGCACGUUAUAGUGACACUGCGUCACCAUCCCACAACCUCUCCAAUGAAAAAUUAACACGUUUCUCGUGUGCAUUUGAUCAGAAUCCUGAAAAUUAAUCACAAAAUUGUACUUUUAUUAUAAAAAGAAUAAAGAAACUCCUGAAAAAAAAAUACUUACAUAAAUGGUUUGAAAAUUCUAGAUUUCAAGUUGUCUAUAUUAGCUUGAUAUUUUUAUAAAUAGUCAUCCUCUCAAAAAAAUUCCAUCAAAAUAUAUAUUUUAAUUUUAUGUUAAUUCAUAAACAUGAAAAAAUCAUUUCAUAAUUAAUUAAAACAUAAUUUAUUGUUUCUCAAAAAAGGUAGAACUUAGUGAUAAGAAAAAAGUAUCUCAAAUAUAUGUAAAAAAAAAAAAAAUCUUGGUUGGUUGGAAUGAUUGAAUUUGCUUUUCUUUUUCUUUUUUAAGAAUUAAGACAAUCGGAUUGAUUGAGUAAUAAUAAUAUAUAUUUAUUUGGAGGUAGGCUUUCGUCUCAUGCAGAUUGAUUAGAGAGAAAACAAAACAAUUUUAAGCUCGUUAGAUUCGAAGCUGCUUACCUGUCGUGUGGGGAUCACUUCCGUGUCUUAUUUUUCUAAAAAAGUCUGGACCAUUGGAUUUAUGUGAAUCGUACUGAACAUUGGAAUUGAUGUAUAAGAAAAAAAUUUUGUAGUCGUUUAAGGAAAAAAAUUAUUCAAUUGGGAAUUUUUUUCCUUUAAUUUUUGUUGUACUUGAUUGAGAUUUCUCCUUAGUCCCUACAGUUUUAAGUUUGGAAACCGUAGGAUUAGUAAUUUCGUACUUCCUUUGCAAGCUGAGUAUAAGGAUGAAAUUCUUUUAAGAAAUUAAAAAAGAUAAAAAAAAGCAUACCAAUAGGCAAUUAUAAAUAACCACAAAUAAAUAUAAACAAAAUGUUUAUGACGUAAAUUAAACAUGCUCAAUUAUUUUCUUUUAUUUUCUGCUCGGAAACCCAUAAAUGCACUAAUCCAGUAUUACUAAUUUCAGACAGAAAAAUUUGAAUUUAACCGGUAUACAUUUCUACAAACCAAACAAGGCUAUUAUUUUUAUUAUUAUUUUUUUUUUUUUAUAAAUUACUAUUUUAAUUUUUCACUUUUUAUUGGGUUGCUUAACAGAUUAGUGAAGUUGGUGGUCGUUGAUGCACUCACAAGGUACAAUUUUAUUUUAGAAAUUGAAAUUUCGUAUUUUAAAAUGCAGGCACAUUAUGUAUGCAUAAUUAUUGAUUUUCAUAUGUGGGUGUUUUGAAAUAUUGCUAAAAGACCAAACUUUAAUAAACUAUUUUUGAUCUUUUUUUUUCCUUUGUACCUAAAGUUAGAGUGAUAUCCGCAUUUUAAAUUCAUGUGGACCAAAAGCUAAUGUAUGGACAAAAUUAUUUUAUUUUUCCGAGAAAAAUGGGUAAGAGAAGAAGAUUUUUCUCUUGAAAAAGAAAAACUAAUACGUUGCAAGCAUAGGAAAGAGGCUAGUGUGUUUGGAUUUGAAUUUAGUAUUGAGUUCAAUUUUAUGCUAAGCUCUUUUAUAAUACUGCGAUUAGGGAGCCCUUAAGUUACAUGUAAUAUAACUUACACUCGCUCACUUAAAUAGUGGGUGGGUUGGGGGCCCACUCACUGUUCAUGUGAGUGAGUGUAAGUUCCAUUAUAUGUAAUUUAGCACUUGCCUUGCGAUUAAUAAGCUCAGGAUUUGCUUUUGCUUUUACUUCAAGUAAAAGAAAGAGGAAACCUUUUGUUUUUUGUUUGAUUUUUGACUAUAUAUGUUACCUAUAUAGAGAGUUGAGAUGGCUGCCUUAAGUGAUGGUGAUAAAAAGAUUAAGCAGCGCACACAAUCUUACUAUCGUCCAGACUGUCCAGUGAUAGACUCUAGUUUUUUGGUUACAUUAGCUUUAGUGGAAAGAAGGGCCAAUUUAACAAAGACUAGAUUUGGUGGCUUGUUGUAAUGCUUAUUCUCAGGGAAUCUAAGGUUAUAAGAUGAUUGAAUGAUCUUCUAUGAUUGUGAGCAGUAUAUUAUAAUUGAAGAGAGCUUGGGCUCCUAUGAUGUAUAACAAUAACACAUUACUAUGAUUGAGAAAACUCAGUUACAAUAAACUCUUCAUUUAUUCAUUGCUGAGAUUGAAUGGCAAAUAGAGAAUAGAAUGAAGCAGAGGAAUCUCAUUGCCUGUAAAAUUGAGCCUAUUUAAUAUUACUUGUAGUUUUUAUUGUAAAAUAUACAGGUAUGACCAUGAUCAGAUGCUUUUUUUAAAAACAAAUGAGACAUCUUUGAUUUAUGGUAGUUUUAGAGAAAAAAAAAACAUAUAAAAAUUAAGAGGGAUGAGUUAACUGACGAUUACAAUCAUUACAGCAAUGCUGAUGAGUGAUACAUCACUUGAAAUUUAUUUGUCAGUUGCUGUAAUGAUGGAAAAAAACAAUAAACAAUAACAGUAAUAAUGUUCCCUUGCUGAAAUUCAAUUUUGACUUUCGACUCUUGGCUUUUAUGGAGAGUAAAAUGACUUGUAUAUUAUCCUCAUACAAUCCACUCUACAUAAUGAUAUCAUUUUAAUAAGGCAAUGGCUGAUGAUCUCCAUUGAAAAACUUUUUGUUUUAUUUAACUUUUUGGUUGUUGAAAAUAACCUUAAUUAUCAAAUAAUCAGAGAAAGAGUAAAGAACAUUUAACAAAUUUAUGUGCCAAAAAAAAAAGGAGAAAUUGAAGAGAAAGGAUGCUUGCAGAAGUGGGUGUCAAAGAGAUAAAUCGGUCUAUAAGAAUUAUUGUGGUUAUUUUUUUGGUGCCUUGGAGUUCUUUAAAUUAAGGGCCCAGUUUGUCCAUUUGUUUCAGUUAGGUCCUUAUUAAAAAUUAAUUUUAAUAUUGGUUUUCUUAAUUAUAACUAAUACUAAUGAUAUUUCAUAGUUAUAAAUAUAUUAGAAUUAAUCCAAAACAUUUUUUAGUGUGGCAUGGCUAAAACUACCUUUUCUAUUAGUAAUUACUACUUUUGCAUUAAGGAAAAUACUCCUAUUUUUAGAAAAAAGUCAAGUACCUAUAGUUGUGAGAACUUGAGCUCACUCGCUUAUGAUAAAUCUUCAUAUUAAUUACGAAAAUAUCCUCUAAAUUUUAACUAAACUAUUCGAAAUUCAAUGUUAUUCGGAUAUUUCGUUUAUUUGAGCAGGGGUUAGGGGUCAAUUUGAUACAAAUUCAAAAUUAUCCUCAUUUGCGAAGAUGAUAAAAAUUAGGGAUUUAAUUUGGAUGUCACUGGCCACAAAUAUUAAACUCAUGCAUCUCAAAAUUAGAGGGCUGAUAUAUAUGCAUUAUCGUUAUAUUGACAUGUGUCACCAUCCCACAACCUCUCCAAUGAAAAAUUGACAUGCAUCUUGUGUGCUUCUUAUCAAAAUCCUGAAAAUUAAUCACAAAGUUAUAUUUUUAUUAUAAAAAGAAGAAAGAAACUCCAUAAGUGAAAAAAAAAAAGACUUAAACAUAAAUAUUUUAGAUAAUCUAGAUUUCAAGUUGUCUAUACUAGCUUGAUAUUUUUAUAAAUAUCAAGAUUUCAAGUUGUCCAUAGUAGCUUGAUAUCUUCUAAAAAAAUUCCAUCAACAUAUAUUUUAAUUUUACGUUAAUUAAUAAAUAGAAAAUUCAUUUUAGAAUUAAUUAAAACAUUAUUUAUUGUUGCCAAAGAAGGAAGUACUUAGCGAUAAGAAAAAAGUGUCUCAAAUAUAUGUUAAAAAAAAAUCAUGGUCGGUUGGACUGAUUGAAUUUUUUUUUCUUUUUCUUUUUUAAGAAUUAAGACAAUUGGAUUGAUUGAGUAAUAAUAAAAUAUAUUUAUUUGGCAAAUGGCAGGUAGGCUUUCUUCUGAUGCAGAUUGAUUAGAGAGAAUAUGCAGCAAUUUUAAGCUUGUCAGAUUCGGAGGCUGCUUAUCUGUCGUGUGGGGAUCACUUCCAUGUCUUAUUUUUCUUGAAAAAUCUGGACCGUUGGAUUUACCAUUAGUCAAUAGAGAAAUGCUGAUCUUGAUUCUUGAUCAAGAUCGAAGUUUGAUUCUAUCUAACAUGAUAUCAGAUUGCGAAGCAAGCAAAUUGAAAGUAACUUGUUCUAUUUUGAUGGAAGAAACACAAUUUCUAUUGUUCUAAUAAAAAAUUUUAAUUAUACAUAUUUUUCUUUUGCCACUUGGGUUUGUAGUCCAGUGGUGAACUAUUGGCCUUAAAGUUAAGUAUGACUAUGAGGGCAAUGGUUCGAGUGCCCACGAACUCAAACUCCCUCAAUUAAACAUAAUUAUGUGGAGAUUACUUAUAACGUCUUUCUCUCUUGUGAAAUCUGAGUGGAGUAGAAAUAUCCCUUUCCCGUGAGGGUUAUUUGGCUAGGCAUGUACUUUAUAGAAUAAAAAUGUAAUAAUGUAAGUCAGUGCAAUGAUCUACUGUCAUAGUAGUUGUAAAUAUCUAGGUGUAAUACAGUAACCUGAUGCUUAAUCAGUUAAAAAAAAUGUAUAUCUUUUUUUUAUUUUUUUCAUUGUGAUCACUAUAACUAGUCAAAUUUAUUUUUAAAUAUUUUUUAAAAAAAUAUUUUAUUAACAAUGAUAUGAAAAUAUUCGAACCCCUUCUCAUAGUAAAGUGAAUUACUAUCCAACUGAUGCCUUCAAACUGUAAAUUGCAAAUCGUGUGUUUGCUCCAUUACAGGGUGUCUUCAAUUUAAAAUAGAGAAUAAUUUGGUUCUAGAUUAAUCGUGGGUCUAUAUCCAAAUCCAAAAAUUGACUAACUUGAUUUCUAUUAAGUUCUCAACCCUAACACGAAAAAUAGAAGAUUAAAAAUGACUAUUUUGGUUUCUAUUAAUUUGAGUAACACUUAAUAUUUAUCAUACAAUAGUCACUUAUAUUAUCAAAAUCUUGGGUCGAAAAUAUUAGGAUAGGUGAUAAUUGGAAUUAAGUUGUAGAUAAGAUAGAAAUGGAUUUGGAGAGAGAUUGGAAUCCUGGCUAAUCCGGUGCACGUUGUUGCGUUAAAUUCUCGUUGACUUCACGUUGACCGAAGCAUUAUUGGAAGAAACAAGCAAGCUUAUUUUCUUCUCUCAUUUUUUACUUUUGUCUAAAUUUAUUGAUGUGAGGCCUCUGAGAUGGUAAAGUGUUAAAUCUGAGAAGAGUACCCACACACCCAUUAUCCUAUUACUCUUAUUUUAUCACAUGCAGAGACGUCAACGUUUGAUUCGCACGGAAAAAAAUUUGCUAGGAUUGUGAGGGUUGAUGUAAUGUAAUUUAGAUGCAAAGUGUUCACAAGUGCGAUGCUUCGUAAGUGUACUUGAAUCAUUAUAAACUCACCUUAUUUUCAUAGUGAUUAUUUCAUCUGCAUGUGAAUAUAAUCAUAUGUGGAGAUUUUUUUCCUAAAUUAUGAUCUUCUCUGGUAUUGAGGUGUUAUAUUUUUUAAAGGUUAAUGUUAAGUUACAUGCAUGUAACUUACAACCCUCUCACAUGAAUAGUGAGUGGACCCACACCAUUCACUAUUCAUAUGAGAGGGUUGUAAGUUACAUCCUCUUUUAAAUUAUAAUUAUUAUUAUAAAAAAACUGCAACUAUGAAAAAAAAUUAAUAUUAUGUCCUGAAUAUAAUUGUUAAAUAAUAAUUUUGACAAAAUUAAUGAAUAUAUACAGUUUUUUUAUCAUAUAAGUGUAAAAUUAUAUCAAAUUAGCUUUUAAAUUAUACAGUGGCUACUGCUUAUCAAACACUUUAGUGUUGUAACUUUUAAGUUAUAACUGUCUAGCCUUUAACCUCAAUCUCAAACGAGGCUUAUAAAGAUCAAGGAUUUCCUCAUAAAAAUUAUACGUCUUGUGAUUGCUUAUUUAAUUUAUAUUUUCGUUAUUUAUCUUUAUUAAUUAUAGUCAUCUUUUUAUAAAUUACAAUUGGAGAAAGUUGGUUGAUGUUGUUGACACACACACACACAUACAAAGAUAUAUUGGAAGUGCUUAUUAUGUCGACUCGAAGUUGUGGGGAGUUAAUGCAUGUAUUGAUUUAUUGGGAGUGUUUAAAUUAUUUUGUGAUUUACUUGAUAGAUUGAUUGAUUGAAUAUUGUUUGAUUGCUUCAUAUCAAUUCUGGAAAGUUUAUUUCUUUGUGAAAUUUCAACGAAAUAUGUUUUUUAAAAUAAUAAGGGUGUUUUAAGUAAUUUUGAAAAAUAAAUACACUAAUUAGAAUUAAUUAUUAAGUAAUUAACUCGAACUGUAGAGGAUAAGCAAACAUUUAUCCUAAUUAUAUUAUGAUAAAUCCUUUUCCAACUAGAAUUAGGAAACCAUAGAUAUACAGAUUUUUAUUUUUAUUUCCCUUUGCGAAAACGGAUUAGAGAAUUAGAAAACAAUCCUAGUGAGACUAUUGUUAGGUUUAAUAUUUUGUCGAAUUUGGAAACUUUUUGUCGAAUUAGAAAACAUGCGUGGUGAAUAUUUUGUCGCAUGCAAACUUUUUGUUUUAUGCAAAUCGUACUGAACAUUGGGACUGAUGUUUAAGAAAAAAAUUCUGUAGUUAAAGAAAAACAAAAAGGCAUGUUGAAUAGAUUACGAUAGUUUAUUCAAUUGGGAAUUUUUUUUCUUUAAUUUUUGUUGUACUUGAUUGAGAUUUCUCCUUGGUCCUUACAGUCUUAAGUUUGGAUACCGUAGGAUUAGUAAUUUCGUACUUCCUUUGCAAGCUGAGUAUAAGGAUGAAAUUCUUUUAAGAAAUUAAAAAAAAAUGAUAAAAAAGGCAUACCAGUAGGCAAUUAUAAAUAACCACAAAUAAAUAUAAACAAAAUGUUUAUGAAGUAAAUUAAACAUGCACAUAUUAUUUUCUUUUAUUUUCUGCUUGGAAACCCAUAAAUACACUAAUCCAGUACUACUAAUUUCAGAUAGAAAAAUUUGAACUCUAAGCUGCAGUUUGACUCAAAAUGAUGAUCACUGGCUUCGCACCAUUUAACCGGUAUACAUUUCUACAAACUGAACAAGGCUAUUGAUUUUUAUUAUUAUUUUAAUUUGUUUAUAAAUUACUAUUUUAAUUUUCACUUUUUAUUGGGUUGUGUAACGGAUUAGUGAAGCUGGUGGUCGUUGAUGCACUUACAAGGUACAAUUUUAUUUUAUAAUUUCAAAUUCGUAUUUUAAAAUGCAGGUACAUUAUGUAUACAUAAUUAUUGAUUUUCGUAUGAGGGUGUUUUGAAAUAUUGCUAAAAGACUAAACUUUAAUAAACUAUUUUUGAUCUUUUUUUUUCCUAAAGUUUGGGUGAUAUGCGCAUUUUAAAUUCAUGUGGAACAAAAGUUAAUGUUUGUAUAAAAAUUCUUUUAUUUUUUUGAGCAAAAUAGGCAAGCGAAAAAGUUUUGGCAAAUGAGUUGCAACUGAAUCCAAAACCAAUACAAUGCAAGCAUAGGAAAGAGGCCAGUGUUUAGGAUUUGAAUUUAGUAUUAAGCUGAAUUUUAUGGUACGCUCUUUUAGAGUACUGUGAUCGAUAAGCUCAGCCCCGGAUUUGCUUUUGCUUUUGCUUUUACUUCAAGUGAAAGAAAGAGGAAACCUUUUGUUUUUUCUUUGGUUUUCAACUAUGUUACCUAUACAGAGAGACAAGAUACCUGCCAUAAGUGAUGGUGUUAAAAAGAUUAAGCAGCGCACACAAACUUACUAUCGUCUAGACCAUCCAGUGAUGACCCUAGUCUUUUGGUUACGUUAGCUUUAGUUGAAAGAAGGGCCAAUUUAACAAAGACUAGAUUUGAUGGCUUACUAUGUUUAAUGUAAUGCUAAUUUUCAGGGAAUCUAAUGUUAUAACUUAUAAGAUGAUCUCCUAUGAUGAACAACAGUAACACAUUACUGUGAUUGAGAAAACUCAGUUACAAUAAACUCUUCAUUUACUCAUUGAGAAGAUUGAAUAGCAAACAGAGAAUAGAAUGAAGCAGAGGAAUCUCAUUGCCAAUAAAAUUGACCCUCUUUAAUGUUAUAUGGCACAGGUGUGGAGGAAGAACAAGUUACUUGCAGUUUUUAUAGUAAAAUAUACAGGUAUGACCAUGAUCAUUACAGUUAGGUUUUGAUGAUUUCGGAUGCUUUUUUUAAAAAAAAAAAAAUUGUGACAUCUUUGAUUUACGGUAGUUUUGUAGAAAAAAAAUAUAUAAAAAUUAAGAGGGAUGAGUUAAACUGACGAUUACAAUCAUUCCAGCAAUGCUGAUGAGUGAUACAUCACUUGAAAUUUACUUAUUAGUUGCUGAAAUGAUGAAAAAAAAAAACAAUAAACGAUAACAGUAAUAAUGUUCCCUUGCUGAAAUUCAAUUUUGACUUUCGACUCUUGGCUUUUAUGGAGAGUAAAAUGACUUGUAUAUUAUACUCAUACAAUCCACUCUACAUAAUGAUAUCGUUUUAAUAAGGCAAUGGCUGAUGAUCUCCAUUUAAAAACUACAUCAAUUUUUUUGCUUCAUUUAACUCUCUGGUUGUUGAAAAUAACCUUAAUUAUCAAAUAAUUGGAGAAAGAGUUAAGAACAUUUAACAAAUUUAUGUGCAAAAAAAAAAAAAAAAAGGAGAAGUUGAAGAGAAAGGGUGCUUGCAGAAGUGGGUGUCAAAGAUAAAUCGGUCCAUAAGAAUUAUUGGGGUUAUUUUUUGGCAAAAUAAGAACUUAUGCGAUAGCAUUUUUUAUGGGUGCAUAUAACCUCCCUUUAAAAAAAUAUAUAAUAAUUACUGCUUAAUAUAGUAUUAAAUACAAAAAUAUCAAUAUUUGACUACUUAAAUUUAUAUCAUUAGGUCCUUAAAAUUUAAAAUGGAAGAUAUGAAAGGAAAUAUAUAUAAAUUUCAUUGUCCUGGUAAAGGGCCCUCUUAUAAUCUUAUAAUAUUUGAACUUUGAUAGAUUUUUUGAAACAAAUGUACUUUUAUUUGUGUACAAUCAAUAUUUACUCAUUUAUUAUAUUUUAAUUUAUUAACUAUUAAUCAUGUAAGUAUACUUAAUCAGAAAAAUUAUAUCAAGAGAAAAUUCUAAUUUCACGCAAAAACAAAUACCAAAACAAAUAUCUCAAUUUCUAUACUAUUCACUUUCCUGUAGAAUCAAUUAUUUAAAAUGCAAGUUUGUGGCUACAGAAAACUCGCCAAAGAAAGAAGAUAAUAACAAUUGAGCAUUGAUAGCAAAACUAAUGCAUCCAAUUCUUCUUGACUUGAUGAGAUGGCGCCAUAACGUAGACACAAGUACCUAAAUUGACCGGCACUGAGUGAUGUGAAUACUACCAGCCAGUUCAUCUCUUCCAGUCUUGCUUAAUCACAAUCACAAACACCACGAGAUCGACAUUUGCAUUAUAUAUAUCUUCAGCAAUCGAAACACCUUGCAUUACCAAAUAAGCCCGUAACAGACAAAGCAAUCUUUCAUGGAGAGAAACCUUAGUCUCAGUAUGAUCACUGUGUCAUUAACCUACUGCCUGCUUCUUUGCUUGGUUGCUGCAGCAGCAGCAGCGGCAAGCAACAAUAUUACCACAGACCAACAAGCUCUUCUUGCCCUGAAAGAUCAUAUAAUUUAUGAUCCGACCAGCCUUUUAGCUCACAAUUGGACCUCGAAUACCUCUGUUUGUACCUGGAUUGGCAUCACUUGUGAUGCCAAUAGCCAUAGAGUCACAACCUUAGAUAUUUCUCAAUUCAAUCUACAAGGCACCAUCCCUCCUCAACUUGGAAACCUCUCUUCACUCACAACACUUAAUCUUAGUCAUAACAGGCUUUCUGGAAGCGUUCCCUCCUCCAUCUACACCAUGCAUACGCUAAAAUUUCUUGACUUCACUGAUAACCAGCUCUCUGGUUCAGUGUCUUCCUUCGUCUUCAACAUGUCUUCAAUAUUAGUAAUUCGUUUGACCAAUAACAUAUUUUCUGGUGAGCUUCCGAAAAAUAUUUGCAACUAUCUUCCUUAUUUGAAGGCCCUUUUCUUAAACAAAAACAUGUUUCAUGGCAAAAUUCCUUCUGCUUUAUCAAAGUGCAAACAACUGCAACAAUUAAAUUUGCAGUUCAAUAAUUUAUCCGGUGCAAUACCAAAAGAAAUCGGCAACUUGACUAUGCUCAAAGGGAUAUAUCUCCUCUACAACAAACUCCACGGUAUGUUCACAAUACUAUAUAAAUAUUUUAAUUUAUCACUUAUUAUCUUUCUUGAAUAAUUUAGCUAAGAUCUUGUAAGAGAGAUAUUUUGCAUCUACGUUAAUUUACCAGGUGAGAUACCCCACGAAAUCGCUAAUCUUCCAAAUCUAGAGGCUUUAGCGCUUGGAAUCAACAACCUAGUUGGUGUGUUACCAGCUCCCAUCUUCAACAUGUCAACACUGAAGGUACUUAUCCUCAUAAAUAACUCUCUCUCCGGAAGUCUUCCAUCAAGAGUAGACCUUUCACUUCCAACUGUUGAGCAACUUAACUUGGCACUUAAUAGAUUUUCUGGAACCAUUCCUAGUUCCAUCACCAAUGCUUCUAAGCUCACCUUUCUAGAGUUGGGAGCAAACACAUUUUCGGGGUUUAUUCCAAACACAAUUGGUAAUUUAAGAAACCUUAAGUGGCUCGGCUUGGCUAAUAACUCCUUGACAUCUUCAACCUCAAAAUUGAGCUUUCUUUCCUCUUUGGCAAAUUGCAAGAAAUUAAGAUUCGUAAACUUAAUAGGCAAUCCACUGGACGGCUUCCUUCCAAGUUCAAUAGGUAAUCUUUCUGUGUCUUUGGAAACACUUGGCAUCGGCAAUUGCAGUAUUAGUGGCAACAUUCCUCCAGCAAUUAGCAAUUUAAGCAACUUGUUGACCUUAGUAUUACACGGCAAUAAAUUGACUGGACCAAUCCCAACUACAUUCGGCCAACUGCAGAAACUCCAAGGCUUAGAUCUUGCAUUCAAUAAGUUGGUAGGUUCAUUCCCAGAUGAGCUUUGCCAUCUGGCAAGGCUGGAUCAAUUGAUCUUAUUUGGCAAUAAGCUUUCAGGAUCUAUACCUUCAUGCUUAAGCAACCUCACUUCUCUAAGAUCUCUCUAUUUAGGGUCUAAUAAGUUUACUUCUGUUAUUCCCUCAACCUUCUGGAGCCUAAAAGACAUCUUGUUCUUUGACUUUUCAUCAAAUUUCUUGGUUGGUCCUCUUUCUUUAGAUAUAGGAAAUUUGAAGGUGCUUCUAGGAAUAAGUUUAUCGAAAAAUAAUUUAUCCGGUGAUAUCCCAGCCACAAUUGGAGGACUGAAAGAUCUUCAAUUUAUGGACCUAGCAUAUAAUAGAUUGGAAGGCCCAAUUCCUAAAUCAUUUGGUGACUUGAUAAGUUUAGAAGUUCUGAAUUUAUCAAAUAAUAAAAUCUUUGGGUCUAUUCCAACAUCCAUGGAGAAACUUUUUUACCUCGGAGAGUUAAAUCUCUCUUUCAAUAAACUAGAAGGUGAGAUUCCUAGUGGAGGAACUUUUGCCAACUUCACAGCUAAGUCAUUUAUGGGAAAUGAGUUUUUGUGUGGUUUACAAAAUCUUCAAGUCCAACCAUGCAAAGUUAGCAAGCCGAGGACAGAACAUAAAUCAAGGAAAAAGAUACUUCUCAUUGUGAUUGUUUCGCCAUUGAGUAUUGCUCUAACAAUAGCAAUCACUCUAGCUCUCAAAUCUAAGCUGAUCGAAUGUGGAGAAAGAAGCACAGUGUUGUCAAAUGAUAGUAUCUUGUCAUCACAAGCAACACUAAGAAGAUUUUCAUACUUAGAACUUUUACAAGCAACAGAUAAUUUUGCUGAAAACAGCAUAAUUGGCAGAGGAGGUUUCGGUUCCGUUUAUGGAGCAAGACUUGAAGAUGGGAUGAAGAUUGCAAUAAAAGUGUUUCACAGGCAAUGUGCAAGCGCAUUGAAGAGUUUUGAGGCUGAAUGUGAAGUGAUAAAAAAAAUUCGCCAUCGAAACCUUAUCAAAGUUAUCAGCAGUUGCUCGAACGAUGACUUCAAAGCAUUAGUCCUAGAAUACAUGUCCAACGGGAGCUUAGGGGAUUGGCUGCAUUCGAGCAAUUACGUGCUGAAUAUUUUUCAAAGGUUGAACAUACUAAUUGACGUUGCAUCAGCUUUAGAAUACCUCCACUUCGAUCAUUCAACUCCUAUUAUUCAUUGUGACUUAAAGCCUAGUAAUGUAUUGUUGGACGAAAAUAUGGUUGCUCAUUUGAGUGAUUUUGGCAUAGCAAAGCUUUUAAGUGGAGAAGAUGAGUCUACGAUGCGAACAAAAACCCUUGCCACUAUAGGUUAUAUGGCACCAGGUUUGCUUCAAACAACUUUUUUUUUUUAAACUUCAUUUUAAAUUUUCUAAAUCAUUGAUUUUUACGAUCCUCAUAUCAAAUUGUUAUUGAUUAUUUAUCUAAUUGUGAAAUUAAUUUGAUUCAUAGAGUAUGGCAUAGGAGGAGAAGUAUCUACAAAAAGCGAUGUUUACAGCUAUGGGAUUAUGCUGAUGGAAACUUUUACCAAGAAAAAACCCACAGAUGAAAUUUUUGUUGGAGAAUUGAGCUUAAAGCAUUGGGUUAAUGACUUGCUUCCUAAUUCAUUAGUGGAAGUUGUGGACAAAACUCUGCUAAGUGGAGAGGAAAAACACUCUGCAGCAAAGGAGCAAUGUCUGUUGUCUAUCUUUAGUUUGGCUCUGGAGUGUACAAUGGAAUCACCGGAAAAGAGGAUUAAUGCAAAAGAUAUUGUUACCGGAUUACUCAAGAUAAGAGACACAUUCAGUAAAAGGAUAGGAAAUUUAAGUUAAUUUCGUUUGCUUUCAUUGAUAGUUAAUUCGAAUUCAUGUAAUAAGUGUAAGAAUCUUAUAUCUUUUCCUUUGAUAUAUUUUUUUUCUUGAGAAAACUGUUGUAGUCAUCUUGUUUCCAUGGGCAGAGUUGAUUUAGUUCUUCCAAAAAAUGCUACUGAUGACCUUUGUUUAAUACUUUCUCUUUUUUUGCAUGUGUUUAGGUAGAACAGUGGUUUGGCUGCAGGCUAAUAAGUCAAGCUACGCCAAAAGCGUAUGAUUUAAUUUAUUAAACAUAACUUCAAGUUCAAGAAGUGUUUCUCAUUGCCACCAAUGCUUUGGACACCUGUUGGAAGGUUUGUUGUCCUCAGCUUUUGUUUAGAGCAAAAGUUCGAGUCCCAUAAAGGCUCAAACAUUCCUUUCCUUCAUCCCGAGGGCGCCUUCUGUCCUCUGUUUUCUGUUUCCACACACAAAUAGCACAAAGAAUUUAGAAUGACAACUGGGACAUAUAUAAGAGUGAAAUAAUUAAAAAAAUUAUGCUUUUUUGUUUGUCGUGUUAAAAUCGUAAGUACCGAAGUACUGUGAAAGAGAUUAAUUUACAGAAACUGAAGCCAAGGGUUCAAAAAAAACUAUUGAUGUAGCUAGAAUGCAAUGUCAUAUUCAUACAGAGAUGAAGUAUAUUAUUUACGGCUGGUAAGGACUAGGAAUUGAUGUAGCUAGAAUCCAAAGAUGAUAAGGUAUGUUGUGCACUAUUGUUUUAUUCUACGGUCAAUCUUGACCCUUGGUGCUUGGCUCUCAAUCUUGUCCAUUGAUCUUCUCUGAUCUUGGAAACUUCAAGACCUUUCACUCUCAUGCCUUAUUAUUGGUGUCUUCCAUGCUGUAGCUUUCAAAUACAAGCUUUCCCGCCAACUUGCCAAUUAUUUGUCCGUUGGUGCAUUUUAUCAAACAGUUUGGAUACUUAUACCAAACGCCUCCUGUUUUAACUCCCCCCUCAAGCUCAAGCAUGUGGGAAGACAUUAAUAAGCUUGUUUCUCAAGUAUAUGUAUCUGAAAAUUAAAUUUUAUAAAUUAUAUUCGGACUCUACAUUUUCUAAUGAACAUUGGUUUGGCUUAUAAGCUUAUUAUACUCAGGUUUGGUAGGAGCCAUGUCACAAUGUUAACGCUAACCAGCAGUACUGCCAAAGCUGGCCAACUCAGCCUGCAAGUUCAUAGCAACCAUAGUUACAGUCCUAGUCCGGUACAAAAAUCGUAAAUAUCAUUUACAUUACAAUGGUGUGGGGGGGGGGGGGGGGGGGGGGGGGGGGUGGCUGGAGAGGGAAUCAACAAAGAUCUAGAACGAAGGGUAGGCUUGUAUCCGUAACCCAUGUCACAGUGUUAAUGCUAACCGUGGACCUUAUUAUAUUAGUUUCUGGACUAUUAUUACUUUUGAAUUGCCAUCUUUGAAUUUACGUUCAUUUCUGCCUCGACAAGAUGUUUGUAAAAAUAUGCUAAUUAUUAAUGUGCCGUGUACAAAUAAGCAUGUUACUGUGCAAGGAUUGUAGUCAUGAUACAGUGGUGCAAAAUGUACAUGCUACUUCUUCUUUUCCUCAGUUAGGAUCACCGUCGUCACCAUUUAAUUCUAAGUCCACCCAUGCGGCCUAUGCAAUUGAAAUCAUGUGACCAUGUAAUUUUAGGUUCUGAUCUUCCUUGUGGGGUUAAACCUCAAAACUGUGACCAUUUUGGGACUUUUAAUCAGUUCCAAUCAUUUUCUGGUUCCCAUUCGUCCACCCAAGCCUUGAUUCCCCCGAUAUAGCAUGGCAAUAUAUAUAGGAAUAUUAAGGUUGUGUACAGUUUUUUUCUUUUCUGUUUUUAAUUUGAUAUAAAUUAUCAAUCAUGAAUCUACAUAAAGUUUCAACUAGGCUACUACCACAAUAAACAUUUGGAUGAACUAUUAUUGAAACCUUAUUGAGAAGUAGGACAUGUCGCAUACCAAUGCACUGACAUAUCUUCAAAUAGUGGUAACUCCACACAACAUGGCACAAUAAAUUAAGAGUUAUAUAGAUAAAAUCUUUCACUCUUUGGUAAUCAUCAAUGUCGGCAUGACAAUGCGUCCCACAAAUAUGGCUCCUUAUCAAAAUUCAUAAAUCAAAACAAAAAUAGAGAAUCAUAUUUGUUCCAGAUUGUAGUGAUGGUUGUUGAUGCACUCACAAUUUACAAUUUUAUUUAAUAUCUUCAAAUUCGCAUUUUAAAAUGCCCAAAUGUUUGUGUAUACAUAAUUAGAUAAAAUCUUUCAUUCUUUGGUAAUCAUCAAUUUCACUAUUAUUCGCUUUAUUAUGUUUGUUUCUUUCAGUAUGUUAAAAGAUUAUGUUGUGAAUUUGUUUUACAGGCCGCCCGUAAGUCUGCGCCCACUGUUGUGAAUUUGUGUAUACAUAAUUAGUAAUCGAUUCUCAAGCACGGACAUUUAAAAGCACUGCCGAAAGACAAAAUUUUAAUUUACUAUUUUUUGUCUUUUAAUUUUCUUUAAGUUUUAAUGAUUCCGCAUUUUAAAAUCCUGUGGAACGUGUAUGUAAAAUUCUUUUAUCUUUUAGAGGAAAACGGGCAAGAGAAGAAUAUUUGGCAAAGGAAUUGCAACCGCAUUUGGAGCUAUAUUUAAUUUUGUCUUUUAAGUCUUUUACACUUGUUUUUGUUAUUGAUGUUAGCUUGGAUGUGUGUGCGUGUGCGACUGAAUUCAACUUACAUGCUAUUGAUGCAGCCACCAAAAAGGGGUGGUCCAUCAUCAAUCAACAAGGUUUAUUAUUAUUAAUUUCCAUAUUGAUUUUCUUAAUUAUAAAUAAUACUAAUGUUAUUUCAUAGUUAUAAAUAUAUUAGAAUUAAUCGAAAUCAUUUUUUAGUGCGGCAUGGCUAAAACUACCCUCUUCUUUUUUUUUAUAAGUAAUUACUACUUUCACAUUAAGAAAAAUACUCCUAUUUUUUAGGAAAAGUCAAGUACCUGUAGUUGUGAAGACUCGAGCUCACUCCCUUAUGAUAAAUCUUCAUAUUAAUUACGUAAAUAUCCUCUAAAAUUUUAAAUUAGCUAUUCAAAAUUUGAUGUUAUACGGGUAUUUCAUUUAUUUGAGUAGGGGUUAGGGGUCAAUUGGAUACAAAUUCAAAAUUAUCCUUACUUGAGAUGGUGAUAAAAAUUGGGGAUUUAAUUUGGAUGUCAUUAGCUACAAAUAUUAAACUCAUACAUUUAAUUCAAAAUUGGAGGGCUGAUAUAAGCGCAUCAUCCCACAACCUCUCCAAUGAAAAAUUAACACGUUUCUUGUGUGCAUUUGAUCAGAAUCCUGAAAAUUAAUCACAAAAUUGUCCUGGAAAAAAAAAUACUUACAUAAAUGGUUUGAAAAAUCUAGAUUUCAAGUUGUCUAUAUUAGGUUGAUAUUUUUAUAAAUAGUCAUCCUCUCAAAAAAAUUCCGUCAAAAUAUAUUUUAAUUUUAUGUUAAUUCAUAAACAUGAAAAAAUCAUUUCAGAAUUAAUUAAAACAUAAUUUAUUGUUUCUCAAAAAAGGUAGAACUUAGUGAUAAGAAAAAAGUAUCUCAAAUAUAUGUAAAAAAAAAAAAAAUCUUGGUUAGUUGGAAUGAUUGAAUUUGUUUUUUUUUUUCUUUUUUAAGAAUUAAGACAAUCGGAUUGAUUGAGUAAUAAUAAUAUAUAUUUAUUUGGCAAAUGGCAGGUAGGCUUUCGUCUCAUGCAGAUUGAUUAGAGAGAAAAUAUAACAAUUUUAAGCUCGUCAGAUUCGAAGCUGCUUUCCUGUCGUGUGGGGAUCACUUCCGUGUCUUAUUUUUCUAGAAAAAUCAGGACCAUUGGAUUUAUGCGAAUCGUACUGAACAUUGGAAUUGAUGUAUAAGAAAAAAAUUCUGUAGUUUAAGAAGAACAAAAAGGCAUGUUGAAUAGAUUACAAUAGUUUAAGGAAAAAAAUUAUUCAAUUGGGAAUUUUUUUUUUCUUUAAUUUUUGUUGUACUUGAUUGAGAUUUCUCCUUAGUCCUUAGAGUUUUAAGUUUGGAAACCGUAGGAUCAGUAAUUUCGUACUUCCUUUGCAAGCUGAGUAUAAGGAUGAAAUUCUUUUAAGAAAUUAAAAAAGAUAAAAAAAAGCAUACCAAUAGGUAAUUAUAAAUAACCACAAAUAAAUAUAAACAAAAUGUUUAUGAAGUAAAUUAAACAUGCUCAUAUUAUUUUCUUUUAUUUUCUACUUGGAAAUCCAUAAAUACACUAAUCCAGUAUUACUAAUUUCAGACAGAAAAAUUUGAAUUUAACCAGUAUACACUAAUCCAGUAUUAUUUUUAUUAUUAUUUUAAUUUGUUUAUAAAUUACUAUUUUAAUUUUCACUUUUUAUUGGGUUGUUUAACGGAUUAGUGAAGCUGGUGGUCGUUGAUGCACUCACAAGGUACAAUUUUAUUUUAGAAUUUCAAAUUCGUAAUUUAAAAUGCAGGCACAUUAUGUAUACAUAAUUAUUGAUUUUCAUAUGUGGGUGUCUUGAAAUAUUGCCAAAAGAUCAAACUUUAAUAAACGAUUUUUGAUCUUUUUUUUUCCUUUGUACCUAAAGUUUGAGUGAUAUCCGCAUUUUAAAUUCAUGUGGACCAAAAGCUAAUGUAUGCACAAAAUUCUUUUAUUUUUUCCGAGAAAAAUGGGUAAGAGAAGAAGAUUUUUCUCUUGAAAAAGAAAAACUAAUACGUUGCAAGCAUAGGAAAGAGGCCAGUGUUUUGGAUUUGAAUUUAGUAUUGGGUUGAAUUUUAUGCUAAGCUCUUUUAUAAUACUUUAUAGAAUAAAAAUGUAAGGGGUAUUUGGUUAGGCAUGUACUUUGUAGAAUAAAAAUGUAAUAAUGUAAGUCAGUGCAAUGAUCUGCUGUCAUAAUAGUUGUAAAUAUUUAUGUGUAAUAUAGUAACAUGAUGCUUAAUCAGUUAAAAAAAAAUUGUAUAUCUUUUUUUAUUUUUUUUUAUUGUGAUCAAUAUAACUAGUCAAAUUUAUUUUUAAAUAUUUUUUUAAAAAUAUUUUUAUCGUGUGUUUGCUCCAUUACAGGGUUUCUUCAAUUUAAAAUAGAGAAUCAUUUGUGUUCUAGAUUAAUCGUGGGUCUAUAUCCAAAUCCAAAAAUUGACUAACUUGAUUUCUAUUAAGUUCUCAACCCUAACAAGAAAAAUAGAAGAUUAAAAAUGACUAUUUUGGUUUCUAUUAAUUUGAGUAACGCUUAAUAUUUAUCAUACAAUAGUCACUUAUAUUAUCAAAAUCUUGGGUCGAAAAUAUUAGGAUAGGUGAUAAUUGGAAUUAAGUUGUAGAUAAGAUAGCCUUUCAAAAAAAAGAAAAGAAAAAAAGUUGUAGAUAAGAUAGAAAUGGAUUUGGAGAGAGAUUGGAAUCCUGGCUAAUCCGGUGCACGUUGUUGCGUUAAAUUCUCGUUGACUUCACGUUGACCGAAGCAUUAUUGGAAGAAACAAGCAAGCUUAUUUUCUUCUCUCAUUUUUUACUUUUGUCUAAAUUUAUUGAUGUGAGGCCUCUGAGAUGGUAAAGUGUUAAAUCUGAGAAGAGUACCCACACACCCAUUAUCCUAUUACUCUUAUUUUAUCACAUGCAGAGACGUCAACGUUUGAUUCGCACAGAAAAAAAUUUGCGAGGAUUGUGAGGGUUGAUUCAAUAUAAUUUAGAUGCAAAGUGUUUACAAGUGCGAUGCUUCGUAAGUGCACCCGAAUCAUUAUAAACUCACCUUAUUUUCAUAGUGAUUAUUUCAUCUGCAUGUGAAUAUAAUCAUAUGUGGAGAUUUUUUUUUCCCUAAACUAUGAUCUUCUCUGGUAUUAAGGUGUUAUAUCUUUUAAAUUAUAAUUAUUAUUAGUAAAAAACUGCAACUAUGAAAAAGAAAUUUAAUAUUAUGUCCUGAAUAUAAUUAUUAAAUAAUAAUUUUGACAAAAUUAAUGAAUAUAUACAGAUUUUUUUAUCAUAUAAAUGUAAAAUUAUAUCAACUUAGCUUCUAAGCUAUACAACGGCUACUAUUUACUAAAUACUUUAGUGUCGUAGUUUUUAAGAUAUAUUUAUCCAACCUCAAUCCCAAACAUAACCUGUAAGGAUAAAAAAUUUCAUCCUAAAAAUUAUACGUCUUGUGACUUAUUUAAUUUAUAUUUUUGUUAUUUAUAUUUACUAAUUAUAGUCAUCUUUUAAUAAAUUACAAUUGAAGGAAGGUGGUUGAUGUUGUCGAGACACACACACAAAGAUAUAUUGGAAGUGCUUAUGUCCACUCGAAGUUGUGGGGAGUUAAUGCAUGUAUUGAUUUAUUGGGAGUGUUAAUGCAUGUAUUGAUUGAUUGAGUGAUUGAAUACUGUUUGAUUGCUUCAUAUCAAUUCUAGAAAGUUUAUUUCUUUGUGAAAUUUCAACGAAACGUGUUUUUUUAGAAUAAUAAGGGUGUUUUAAGUAAUUUUAAAAAAUGAAUGGACUAAUUAGAAUUAAUUAUUAGGUAAUUAACUCGAAUUGUAGAGGGUAAGCAAACAUUUAUCCUAAUUAUAUUAUGAUAAAUCCUUUUCCAAUUAGAAUUAGGAAACCAUAGAUAUACUGAAUUUUUUUUAUUUCCCUUCGCGAAAACGGAUUAGAGAAUUAGAAAACAAUCCUAGUGAUACUAUUGUUAGGUUUAAAACACUGCAUAGAUGGUAAAAACAUUGGAAUUGAUGUAGAUUAAUUUGUUAAUUGCUAUCGUACUGAACAUUGUUUUAUGCAAAUUAAUUUGAGAAUUAGAAAAUAUUUUGUUGCAUGCAAACUUUUUGUUUUAUGCAAAUCGUACUGAACAUUGGGACUGAUGUUUAAGAAAAAAAUUCUGUAGUUAAAGAAAAACAAAAAGGCAUGUUGAAUAGAUUACGAUAGUUUAUUCAAUUGGGAAUUUUUUUUUUUAAUUUUGUUGUACUUGAUUGAGAUUUCUCUUUAGUCCUUUCGUACUUCCUUUGUAAGCUGAGUAUAAGGAUGAAAUUCUUUUAAGAAAUUAAAAAAGAAAAAAAAGCAUGCCACUACGCAAUUAUAAAUAACCACAAAUAAAUAUAAACAAAAUGUUUAUGAAGUAAAUUAAACAUGCACAUAUUAUUUUCUUUUAUUUGCUGCUUGGAAACCCAUAAAUGCACUAAUCCAAUAUUACAAUUAAUUUCAGACAGAAAAAAUUGAACUCUAGGCUGCAGUUUGACUCAAAAUGAUGACCACUGGCUUCGCACCAUUCAACCGGUAUACAUUUCUACAAACCGAACAACGCUAUUGAUUUUUAUUAUUUUUUUAAUUUUUUUAUAAAUUACUAUUUUAAUUUUCACUUUUUAUUGGGUUGUUUAACGGAUUAGUGAAGCUGGUGGUCGUUGAUGCACUCAUAAGGUACAAUUUUAUUUUAGAAUUUCAAAUUCGUAUUUUAAAAUGCAGGCACAUUAUGUAUACAUAAUUAUUGAUUUUCAUAUGUGGGUGUUUUGAAAUAUUGCCAAAAGACCAAACUUUAAUAAACUAUUUUUGAUUUUUUUUUCCUUUUUACCUAAAGUUGGAGUGAUAUCCGCAUUUUAAAUUCAUGUGGAACAAAAGCUAAUGUAAGCACAAAAUUCUUUUAUUUUUUCCGAGAAAAAUGGGUAAGAGAAGAAGAUUUUUCUCUUGAAAAAGAAAAAAAAAUACAAUGCAAGCAUAGGAAAGAGGUCAGUGUUUUGGAUUUGAAUUUAGUAUUGAGCUGAAUUUUAUGCUAAGCUCUUUUAUAGUACUGCGAUUAAUAAGCUAGCUCAGGAUUUGCUUUUGCUUUUACUUCAAGUAAAAGAAUGAGGAAGCCUUUUGUUUUUUUGUUUGAUUUUUGACUAUAUAUGUUACCUAUAUAGAGAGUUGAGGUAGCAGCCUUAAGUGAUGGUGAUAAAAAGAUUAAGCAGCGCACACAAUCUUACUGUCGUCGAGACCAUCCAGUGAUGGCUCUUGUUUUUUUGUUACGUUAGCUUUAGUGGAAAGAAGGACCAAUUUAACAAAGACUAGAUUUGGUGGCUUACUAUGUUUAAUGUAAUGCUUAUUCUCAGCGCACACAAUCUUACUAUGUUUAAUGUAAUGGUUAUGUUGAAUGAUCUUCUAUGAUUGUGAGUAGUAUAGUAUAAUUGCAAGGGGCCUGGGCUCCUAUGAUGAAUAACAGUAACACAUUACUGUGAUUGAGAAAACUCAGUUCCAAUAAACUCUUCAUUUACUCAUUGCGGAGAUUGAAUGGCAAACAGAGAAUAGAAUGAAGCAGAAGAAUCUCAUUGUUAGGUUUUGAUGAUUUCAGAUGCUUUUUAAAAAAAAACAAUUGUGACAUCUUUGAUUUAAGGUAGUUUUGCAAAAAACAAAACAUAUAAAAAUUAAGAGGGAUGAUUUAACUGACGAUUACAAUCAUUACAGCAAUGCUGAUGAGUGAUAAAUCACUUGAAAUUUACUUGUCAGUUGCUGAAAUGAUGAAAAAAAACAAUAAACGAUAACAGUAAUAAUGUUCCCUUGCUGAAAUUCAAUUUUGACUUUCGACUCUUGGCUUUUAUGGAGAGUAAAAUGACUUGUAUAUUAUACUCAUACAAUCCACUCUACAUAAUGAUAUCGUUUUAGUAAGGCAAUGGCUGAUGAUCUCCAUUUAAAAACUACAUCAAUUUUUUUUUGCUUCAUUUAACUUUUUGGUUGUUGAAAAUAACCUUAAUUACCAAAUAAUUGGAGAAAGAGUUAAGAACAUUUAACAAAUUUAUGUGCAAAAAAAAAAGAAGGAGAAGUUGAAGAGAAAGGGUGCUUGCAGAAGUGGGUGUCAAAGAUAAAUCGGUCCAUAAGAAUUAUUGUGGUUAUUUUUUGGCAAUAUAAAAAAUUUUUAGUAAGUAAAAAUAAUUUUUUUUUCGAUUUACUAAAAAAUUAACUAAAAACUUCUGCGAUAGCAUUUUUUAUGGGUGCAGAUACCCUCCCUUUAAAAAAAAUAUAAUAAUUACUGCUUAAUAUAGUAUUAAAUACGAAAAUAUCAAUAUUUGACUACUCAAAUUUAUGUCAUUAGGUCCUUCAAAUUUAAAAUGGAAGAUAUGAAAGGAAAUAUAUAUAAAUUUCAUUGUCCUGGGAAAGGACCCUCUUAUAAUCUUAUAAUAUUUGAACUUUGAUAGAUUUUUUGAAACAAAUUUAGAUAGAUUUUUUGAAACAAAUUUACUUUUAUUUGUGUACAAUCAAUAUUUACUUAUUUAUUAUAUUUUAAUUUAUUAACUAUCAAUCAUGUUAAUAUAUUUAGUCAGAAAAAUCAUAUCAAGAGAAAAUCAUGACCCCACGCACGGAUAAAUACGUUAAUUUCUAUACUAUUCACUUUCCUGUAGAAUCAAUUAUUUAAAAUGCAAGUUUGUGGCUACAGAAAACUCGCCAAAGAAAGAAGAUAAUAACAAUUGAGCAUUGAUAGCAAAACUAAUGCAUCCAAUUCUUCUUGACUUGAUGAGAUGGCGCCAUAACGUAGAAACAAGUACCUAAAUUGACCGGCACUGAGUGGUGUGAAUACUACCAGCCAGUUCAUCUCUUCCAGUCGUGCUUAAUCACAAUCACAAACACCACGAGAUCGACAUUUGCAUUAUAUAUAUCUUCAGCAAUCGAAACACCUUGCAUUACCAAAUUAACCAGCAACAAACAAAGCAAUCUUUCAUGGAGAGAAACCUUAGUCUCAGUAUGAUCACUGUGUCAUUAACCCACUGCCUGCUUCUUUGCUUGGUUGUUGCAGCAGCAGCAGCAGCAAGCAGCAAUAUUACCACAGACCAACAAGCUCUUCUUGCCCUGAAAGAUCAUAUAAUUUAUGAUCCGACCAACCUUUUAGCCCAUAAUUGGACCUCGAACACCUCUCUUUGUACCUGGAUUGGCAUCACUUGUGAUGCCAAUAGCCAUAGAGUCACAACCUUAGAUAUUUCUCAAUUCAAUCUACAAGGCACCAUCCCUCCUCAACUUGGAAACCUCUCUUCACUCACAACGCUUAAUCUUAGUCAUAAUAAGCUUUCUGGAAGCGUUCCCCCCUCCAUCUACACCAUGCAUACGCUAAAAUUUCUAGACUCCACUGCUAACCAGCUCUCUGGUUCAGUGUCUUCCUUCGUCUUCAACAUGUCUUCAAUAUUAGACAUUCGUUUGACCAAUAACAGACUUUCUGGUGAGCUUCCGAAAAAUAUUUGCAACUAUCUUCCUCAUUUGAAAGCC